rnacentral:lncRNA from 1 species
CCUGUUCGACCUAGCAAACCACUGAUUGGCUAUGUUACUGCUUGCUUAAACCCCGUUGAUAGCAUUGCUAGUUGCAGGUGCAUUGCUUCCAUGUGAAAGCAUGGGUUCCUUGUUAUAUCACCAUAUUAAUUGCUAUUUAAUUUAAUGCACCUAUAUACUUGGUAAAAGGUGGAAGGCUCGGCCCUUUUCUAGCCUGGUGUUUUGUUCCACCUUUGCCCCCUUAGUUUCGGCUACCGGUGUUAUGUUCCAUAAAUGAGCGCUCCUAACACGAUCGGGGUUGUUAUGGGGACCCCCUUGAUAAUUUGUUUUAGAUUAAAGCUGGUCUGGCAAGGCCCAACAUUGGUACUACAUUUGCCUAAUCACCUAAUAAAAAUUGCAUAGGGACCCGCCGACACCCGCGGACUAAUUUAAUCAACCCCCGGACCAGUGCUCCUCAUGAGUGUUGGUCCAAAACAGAGCACUGUGCGGGGCCACCGCGAGGAAACUCGAGGUUUGGCACUUGUACGCGUCGCUUAUCCGUCGUGUCCUGAGAACGAGGUACGCGACUCCUAUCGGGAUCGUCGACACGUCGGGCGGCCUUGCUGGAUUAGUUUUACCUUUGACGAGAUAUCUUUAGUCCCAACCGGGACUAAAAGGGGGCCUUUAGUCCCGGUUAGAGCCCCAAACCAGGACUAAAGGUCUCUGUGUAUAAGCGGGAUUUGGAUUUUUUCCAAUCCAUCGCCAGUUCCUUCUUCCUCCUACCUCUGACGCCGCUGGGCUUCCGGAGUCGCCGCCGCCCCCGAAGCCGUCCUCGUCGUCGCCGCCACCGACGUCGGCCACCUACACCUCCUCCCUCUGCCCGCCGAUGAGUAGCUGUUGUGCCCUGACCCUCCUCUGUUCCCACAGUGAGCUCGUCGGCCCGCUCCUCCCUCUCCUCCCAUGUUUUCUACUAAUGCCCUAGCUCCGGCCGCCUCCCGUCGGGCUUCGCUCCGGUGAGCCCUCCUCUCCCCACGCCGCGCUCCGGCACCCCCUCGUCUCCCCUCAUCGGCGCCGUGCACCCCCACAACCCUGGCCAACAGAUUUAUUUUCUAAAUUACGAUGAACAAAUGUUUUCUUAUGAUUAUAAGGACAUAGUAAUGUAUCUAUGAGACGGGCCACGCCCAGUGUCAAAACCGACAGAUCUCGGGUAGGGGGGCCCGAGCUAUGAGAUCGGAUCGACGGUAACACGAGACAAAUAACAUGAGGUUUUUACCCAGAUUCGGGCCCUCUCGAUGAAGGUAAAACCCUAUGUCAUGCUCUUUUUCUGUAUUGAUGAUGUAGCAAUUACGGAGUUGAUCUACCUCGAGAUUGUGAGUUUGUGGGCUAAACUGUAGGGGUUAUGAUGUUGUGUAUAUGGGUGUCGUCUGUGGGCUAAACCCCACAGUUUAUGUAGGCACCAGUAGUAUCUAGGGUUACAUGAAUGUUGGAUACUGAUGUCAACUGUGCUAACCCUUGCAACGGCACCAGAAGAAUGCUGCUAGCACUCUCCGGCAAUCGAAACUAGAAGAAUGUUGUUGACGGCCCACCAGCCCGUGGGAUCGUAGCAGUUUUCGAGGCUAGAGUAUUCGACCAAAAUUUGUUGAUCGCCAAGCAGGAGGUGAGAGAAUACUCUCGAGUAUUAGUAGCUGAAUUUGUCAGAUUCAACCACACCUGAAAGAUUCGUAUCUGCAAGCAAAGUAGUAACAGCAAAGUAGUAUGAUAACAACGGUGUCAGAAACGAUCUAUUGACGGCAGACUAUUCCUAACGAUUGUAUCAAUGGCGCCAAGUUGCCUCGUUGACGGAAAUUGUCAGUUCUCGUCAAUGACCAGCGAACCAAAAUUGUAGCACGUAGCAGCAGUGUAGCGAGCAAUAGCAGCGACAAGGAAAAACAGUAGUGACAGCAGUAGCAAGUAGCAAUAGUAGCAAGCGACAGUAAUAGCAACAGUACCAGCAGACCAAGACAAGUAAUAGCAGUAGCAACAGUAGUAAAAGCAGCAGAGCNNNNNNNNNNNNNNNNNNNNNNNNNNNNNNNNNNNNNNNNNNNNNNNNNNNNNNNNNNNNNNNNNNNNNNNNNNNNNNNNAGCAGAGCAAAACAAGUAACAACAGUAGUAGGACAAACUCGUAGGCAAUGGGUCUGUGAUUUGUUUGGAUGAUAUUCAUCAUGCAACAGUUAUAACACGGAGAGAUAUGUGGCUAGCUCCCGUUCGUCAAUGUGAUGUAGGCAUGCAUUCUGUGUGUCGUCAUACGUGCUUAGGGAAAAGAACUUGCANNNNNUCUAUUGUCCAUCCCUCCCGUAGCAGCGGGGUCCAAAAGGAAACUACAGGAUAUUUAGGUUCUCCUUUUAAUAAAGAACCGGACCAACGCAUUAGCACUUGGUGAACACAUGAACUCCUCAAACUAUGGUCAUCACCGGGAGUGGUUCCGGUUAUUGUCACUCCGGGGUUCCGGAUCAUAACACAUAGUAGGUAACUACAACUUGCAAGAUCGGAUCUAAAACACACAUAUAUUGGUGACAACAUAAUAAUUUCAGAUCUGAAAUCAUNNNNNNNNNNNNNUAGUGACAAGCAUUAAGCAUGGCAAAGUAGUAGCAACAUCAAUCUCAGAACAUAGUGGAUACUAGGGAUCAAUCCCCAUCAAAACUAACUCGAUUACAUGAUAGAUCUCAUCCUACUCAUCACCGCCUAGCGAGCCUACGAAUAGAUUACUCACGAACGACGAAGAGCUUCAUGGAAUUUGAGAGGGAAGAAGGUUGAUGAUGACGAUGGUGACGAUUUCCCCUCUCCGGAGCCCAAGACGGACUCCAGAUCUGCCCUCCAUAUGAAGAACAGGUGGUGGAGGCGGCUCCGUAUCGCAAACGCGACGAAAACUUCUCUUUUUAUUUUUUCUGGGACGAAAAUGAACUUAUAGAGCUGGAAUUGGGGGCGGCAGAGCCGUGUGGGCCCCACAAAGCCUGCCCACCGCCACCAGGGGGUGGUGGCGGAGCCAGGGCUUGUGGCCCACUGGCCCACCCCCUUAGGUGGAACUUGGUGCAGAUAUUUUUCAUAUUUUCCAUAAAUGAUGUCCGUAAAUUUUCAGGACGUUUGGAGAACUUUGAUUUCUGCACAAAAAUAACACCAAGGCAAUUCUGCUGAAAACAGCGUCAGUCCAGGUUAGUUCCAUUCAAAUCAUGCAAAUUAGAGUCCAAAACAAGGGCAAAAGAGUUUGGAAAAGUAGAUACGAUGGAGACGUAUCAACUCCCCCAAGAUUAAAACCUUGCUUGUCCUCAAGCAACUCAGUUGACAAACUGAGAGAGAAAGAAAAACUUAGACAAACUCUGUUUGAUUUUGUUGUUGCAACUAUGUCUAACUCAUAACCAGAAUUUCAGCAAGAUCACAAGUUAACCACAUAAGCAAAUGACACAUAGGUCUCACGGUAAACUAAUAUCGAUGGCAUAAUCAGCUAACGAGCAAAUAAUAAUGAGUUUCAAAUACCAACACUUCAGUCAAAACAAGCAUGAAGCAAUAUGAAUAGGUGGUAUCUUGCUAGCUCUUUCUGAGACUGCAAAACAUAAAUGCAGAGCACUUUCAAAGAUCAAGGGCUGACUAAACAUUGUAAUUCAUAGCAACCAAGAUCCAGUCAUAGUCAUACUCAAUAUCAAUCAAAAGCAAAGCAUAAAAAUGACAGAGGUGCUCUCUAAUUGGUGCUUAUAUAAGAGGAGGAUGACUCGACAGGAAAAUAAAUAGACAGGCCCUUCGCAGAGGGAAGCAUUGAUUUGUAGAGGUGCCAGAGCUCAAGCUUUGAAAACAGAGAUAAUAAUUUUGGGUGGCAUGCUUUCAUUUUCAACGCAAUGACCAAGAGUUCUUAAUAUCUUCCAUGCUACUCAUGCUAUAGGCUGUUCCCAAACAGAAAAGUAAAGUUUUAACUCCCCCACCACCAAUCAAUCACACUCCACGGCUAGCCGAAUCCUCGGGUACCGUCCAUACUAACAUCAAUCCAGGGGGAGUCUUGUUUUACAGUUAUGUUUUUGAUUUAAGCGUGGAACUGGGAAUUCCAAUUACCGACACCUUUAUCAUGAAUGACAGUGAAUAAACACAUGUCGAGGAUAACACUCCUAGCAUGGAAGAUACCAAUAGCCCCCUGUCACCACAUGAGCGGUUCAGGCAUGCAAAACAGAUUAUUUCUUGAAGGUUUAGAGAGUGGCACAUGCAAAUUUACUUGGAACACCAAGUAGAUACCGCAAAUAGGUAGGUAUGGUGGACUCUCAUGGAAAAACUUUUGGGUUUAUGGAGGUGGAUGCACAAGCAGUAUUCCGCUUAGUACAAGUGAAGGCUAGCAAAAGACUGGGAAGCGACCAACUAGAGAGCGACAACAAUCAUCAAGAUGCAAUGAGUUUGACUAACAUUGAAUGUAAGCAUGAACAGGAUAUAAAUCACCAUGAACACGAACAUCAUAGAGGCUAUGUUGAUUUUGUUUCAACUACAUGCAUGAACAUGCGCCAAGUCAAGCCACUUGAAACAUUCAAAGGAGAAUACCAUCCUAUCAUACUAAAUCAUAGUCAUCUCAAAAACUAUGUUGGCAUUCAAGGCAACCCAUUAUAAACUCUCAUCUAAAUAAGCAUGGCAUCAGAAACUAUGAUCUCUAAGUUGUCGUUGCAAACAUGGUUCUCUCACAACAAAGCUAAAUCUGGGUCGACAAGCUAGUCAUAUUUACAAAAACAAAAUAGAUAGAGUUCAUACCAGCUUUUCAGUCUCAGUCACUUCAUCAUAUAUCAUCAUUAUUGCCUUUCAUUUGCACGAUCGAACGAUGUGAACAAUAAUAAGAGUGCUCGUGCAUUGGACUAAGCUGAAUCUGCAGGCAAACACAAAGGAGAAGACAAAGUAAUAUGUCUCUUUGAAAGCUAAACAGGUAAGCAAGAAAAAGCCACUAAACAUUGGAACCAAUAUCUUCUACCUUGACCCAAAGAAAAAGAAAACUAUUUACACGGGAAAGCUCCCAACAAGCAAAAGAAGAAAGAAAAAUCUUUUUGGGUUUUCUUCAAAAGGACACAAAACAAGAAAACAAGAAAACAAAAAUAAACUAGCAUGGAUAAUACAGUGGCAAAGUGUAAUCACCGGCUAACAAAGUGAAAGCAUAAACAUGAAUGUAAAAUCGGUGAGAACUCGUACUCCCCCAAGCUUAGGCUUUUGGCCUAGCUUGGUCUACUCCCAAGGUGGGAAAUAACCAGCUCCAGGAUACUCCGGAGCAGACUGUGGAUGCCACUGCUGUGUGAGCUCCUCUAGCUCCCACUGAUAAACUGGCGUCUGGUACUCGACUGGCGGUUCGGGCACGGGCGCCUGUGGUUGGCCCAAGCCCCAAUAUGCGUAGAUGUCCGAGGGCAUAAUAGUGUACCUGCCUGCAUGAAGAUCGAACAAAGAAGGAGCAGGCAAAGUAAUAGUCUCUCGAGUACCCUGACUAAAUACCAGGUUCUAAAUCACCUGUCUACUAGCAUCUCUAUCCAGAAAAUCAUGGCGAACCAUGCUGUCAUAAUCCAUAUAUUUCUUAGGGAGAAGCAUCGCUCCUUACUCUCCCAGUCUAAUGGGUAUCUCAAAGUGUCUCGCAAGACGGGUAGCAUAGAUACCUCCAUAGACGACACACUUGGAACGGUUGAUGUUCAACCGCUGGGCCACUAUAGCACCUAGGCUAUAAAUCUUAUUGUUAUAAAGGCCUUCGUGCAAAACCGCAAGGUCUAGAGAACUAAGUGAUCCAGCCUCCCCACGUCCAAUCAAACAUUCUUCCACAAAUAGUGAGAAGUACCGAAGCACAGGAAAAUGUAUGCUAGCAAUUCUAGCGCAAGACACUCCUCUCUCCUCUCCAACAGCAAUAGUACCAAUGAAAUCCUCCAAGUCCUGUGGACGAGGGUCACGGAUAUCCCCAACAUAAGGUAAUUUUCCUACAUUGCAAAAAUCCUGUAGUGUCAUGCACUGGGGAACAUCGUAUAUCAUGAACUCAACCAUGGGAGGAUUCUUCCUCGGAUAAAAGUUGAAGCUUUGAACGAAAAUAUUGGUGAGGAGGAGGUAUUGUGAGCACUUAUCUGCAACGAACGCAGUAAGACCUGCGUUCUCCACCAAGUAAUAAAAGUCUUCAUAAAGUCCGGCGGCGCGCAAAAAUUCAUCACUUGGCCACUCGCACGCUCGAACUUCUGUAACUCGAGGGACUACGUACUUGGGGUGGUUCUUCUCAUCCUCCUUGGGGUUACGGCUUGAAGAGCCUCUCAAGAACCUCUUCAUCUUUUCCUCUUUCUAGCUCUGAAAAAUUCAGAAAUUUUUAGAGACUUCGAAAGAAAAGUGAAUAAAGAUUAACCCAACUUGUAGCAACUACUCCUACUAGUGCCUAGAGACCGUAUCACGCGCUAAAACUACUUGGGACCAACUAAAAUCAACAUUUCUAGCUCAAGAACAGGGUCACCAAGGUAGCAAGAAUACGCGAAGGAUAAAGCACUAGAGAAAAAACUAAUUGGACCAAUGGAGGAGUCACUUACCAAGGAGUAAUUUCCCCAAAACGGUUCGGAGAAUGGUGCUUUGAGCAAGGAGAUCGAAAAUCACAGCCAAAUGAGCAAGAACACGGGUUUGUGCUGUGAAACAAUUUUUUUUGGAGGUGGAAGAAGAGGCUGGGAGCUGGAAUGAGUGGAGGGGGUCCCUAUGGGCCCCACAAGCUUGCAUGCNNNNNNNNNNNNNNNNNNNNNNNNNNNNNNNNNNNNNNNNNNNNNNNNNNNNNNNNNNNNNNNNNNNNNNNNNNNNNNNNNNNNNNNNNNNNNNNNNNNNGAGUUGAAGUUUAUCUUUCAGAAGAACGCCCGGAUCGAGAGGUAUGAGACCUUCGAUAAAUUCUAUGCUUGCAAGAUGGAGAAGAACUCGUCUGUCCGUGAACAUGUGCUCAAAAUGUCUGGGUACUCAAACCGUCUAGCUGAGCUGGGGAUUGAACUCCCGCAAGAGGCUAUCACUGACAGAAUCCUUCAAUCACUGCCGCCAAGCUAUAAAGGCUUUGUGUUGAACUACAACAUGCAAGGGAUGAACAAGUCACCCGGCGAGUUGUUUGCGAUGCUGAAAGUCGCAGAGUCUGAACUCCGUAAAGAGCAUCAAGUGUUGAUGGUGAAUAAGACCACUAGUUUCAAGAGAAACGGCAAAGGCAAGAAGGGUAAUUCAAAGAAGAGCGGCAAGCCUGUUGCCAAUCCGACGGAGAAACCCAAAGCUGGACCUAACCCUGAAACAGAGUGUUACUAUUGCAAGGGUAUGGGUCACUGGAAGUGCAAUUGCCCCAAGUAUCUGGCUGAUAAGAAGGCGGCCAAAGAAAAAUCAGGUAUAUUUGAUAUACAUGUUAUUGAUGUGUACUUAACCGGCUCUCGUAGUAGUGCCUGGGUAUUCGAUACCGGUUCUGUUGCUCAUAUUUGCAACUCGAAACAGGAACUGCGGAAUAGACGAAGGCUGGCGAAAGAUGAAGUGACGAUGCGCGUAGGAAAUGGUUCCAAGGUUGAUGCAAUCGCCGUCGGCACAGUUUCACUUCAGUUACCAUCAGGAUUAGUUAUGAACUUGAAUCAUUGUUAUUUAGUGCCUGCGUUGAGCAUGAACAUUAUAUCUGGAUCUUGUUUAUUGCGAGACGAUUACUCUUUUAAGUCAGAGAAUAAUGGUUGUUCUAUUUCUAUGAGUAACAUCUUUUAUGGUCAUGCACCCAAUGUGAGAGGAUUGUUCAUAUUGAAUAUUGAUAGCGAUACACACAUACAUAACAUUGAGACCAAAAGAGUUAGAGUUAACAAUGAUAGCGCCAUAUUUUUGUGGCACUGCCGCUUAGGUCAUAUUGGUGUAAAGCGCAUGAAGAAACUCCAUGCCGAUGGACUUUUGGAGUCACUUGACNNNNNNNNNNNNNNNNNNNNNNNNNNNNNNNNNNNNNNNNNNNNNNNNNNNNNNNNNNNNNNNNNNNNNNNNNNNNNNNNNNNNNNNNNNNNNNNNNNNNAAGACAAGUAACAGCAGUCGCAACAGUAGUAACAGCAGCAGAGCAAGACAAGUAACAGCAGCAGCAACAGUAGUAACAGCAGCAGAGCAAAACAAGUAACAACAGUAGUAGGACAAACUCGUAGGCAAUGGGUCUGUGAUUUGUUUGGAUGAUAUUCAUCAUGCAACAGUUAUAACACGGAGAGAUAUGUGGCUAGCUCCCGUUCGUCAAUGUGAUGUAGGCAUGCAUUCCGUGUGUCGUCAUACGUGCUUAGGGAAAAGAACUUGCAUGACAUCUAUUGUCCAUCCCUCCUGUGGCAGCGGGGUCCAAAAAGAAACUACAGGAUAUUAAGGUUCUCCUUUUAAUAAAGAACCGGACCAACGCAUUAGCACUUGGUGNNNNNNNNNNAGCAGCGGGGUCCAAAAGGAAACUACAGGAUAUUUAGGUUCUCCUUUUAAUAAAGAACCGGACCAACGCAUUAGCACUUGGUGAACACAUGAACUCCUCAAACUAUGGUCAUCACCGGGAGUGGUUCCGGUUAUUGUCACUCCGGGGUUCCGGAUCAUAACACAUAGUAGGUAACUACAACUUGCAAGAUCGGAUCUAAAACACACAUAUAUUGGUGGCAACAUAAUAAUUUCAUAUCCGAAAUCAUGGCACUCGGGCCCUAGUGACAAGCAUUAAGCAUGGCAAAGUAGUAGCAACAUCAAUCUCAGAACAUAGUGGAUACUAGGGAUCAAUCCCCAUCAAAACUAACUCGAUUNNNNNNNNNNNNNNNNNNNNNNNNNNNNNNNNNNNNNNNNNNNNNNNNNNNNNNNNNNNNNNNNNNNNNNNNNNNNNNNNNNNNNNNNNNNNNNNNNNNNCCUUAAUUUCCCCAACAAUGACAUAAUUAGCCCAUUUAGCUCCAAAAAGACAUUAUAAGCUCAAAAUGGCAUAAGAACCUUGGUUAUCUCAUUAAUAUUAUAUACUUAGCUUGUUUUCCUAUAUAAUGAUGUAAUUAGCCCAUUUAGCUCCAAAAAGACAUAGUUUUCCUCUAUAGUGACAUAAUGACAUAAUGACAUACUUAGCUCCAAGAAGAGGAGAAGAGGAGCAAUGAAAAGAAGGAAGAAGAAGAAGAAUAAGAAGAGAAGAAGAAGAGAAGGAGAAGGAGAAGAAGAAGGAGGAGGAGGAGGAUAAGAAGAGAAGGAGGAGAAGAAGGAGAAGGAGCCCUCAUUCUUCUCCUUCUUCUCUCCUCUUCCUUCUCCUCCUUCUUCUCCUUCUUCUUCUCUUCUUCUUCUUUUUUUUGUUCUCCUCCUCCUUCUCCUUCUCCUUCCCCUCCUCCUUCUUCUUGUUUUUCUUAUCCUUGUUCUCUUCUUGCUUCUUAUCUUUCUUCUUCAAUUUAGCUUAUUUGUCAUAUAUAUGUUGUUGUUGUUCUUUUUCUGACUUUCUUAUUCCCAUUUUGCAGAUUGGAUGUACUACAUGCAUGGAAGCUGGCAUUGAUGGAGUGCUUUAGUUCUAGUUUUCAUUUGAGUUGAUGAACAAUGUGGAAUUAUAUGUAUAUGUAUAUAUGGAUGAACAGUAUAUGUGGAACUAUAUGUAUAUGUAUAUAUAUGGAUGAAACUUUGUGCUAUGAAUAUGUGUUGUGACCUAUAUAUGUGCUAUGAAUUAUAUGUGCUAUGUAUAUGUAUAUGUAUAUGUGUUGUGACCUAUAUAUGUGCUAUGUAUAUGUAUAUGUGGUGUGAAAUAAACAAAAAAAACUGUGACAAUAUGGGCUCUUUGUCGUCUGCCAACUGAUGGCAAAGGCCUUUGCCGUAAGCUGACCGACGGCAAAGGUGCCACGCGGCGCCCAGCUGUGCAACCUGGGCGGCAACAACUGGCCAUAUAGUAUCUUUGUCGUCUACUUCCUGGGGGGUGCAGACGGCAAAGAAGAGGGCACAAAGGAGGGGGAGGAGGGGUAGGCAGACGGCAAAGAGUGGAGGGGGGAGGAGGAGGUGGAGGCCGACGGCAAAGAGUGGAGGUGGAGGCAGACGACAAAGAGUGGGGGGAGGAGGUGGAGGCAGACGACAAAGAAGAGGGGGAGGCAGAUGGCAAAGCCUCCAUUAGCCCCUAACGGAGGCAACGCCUACCGGCUGUCGUCUCGACAUCUUUGUCGACUGCUCUUCUGAAAAGCUGACGGCAAAGCUCUUUGUCGUCCGCUUCGGUGGGGCAGACGGCAAAGAAGCUACAAUGCCGUCGUAGGCUGACGCAGAAAUUUUGCCGACAGUGGGAUUCUUUGCCGUCUGUGUAUUACUCUUUGCCGUCGGUGGUUUACUCUUUGCCGUCUGUGAUGGCAGACGGCAAAGAAGCUAAUUCCUGCAGUGAAACCUUUAUUCAAGGCCUCAUCUAGUUGCUUCUUAAGUUCGGCUAGCUCCAGGGGUGCCAUCUUAUAAGGUCUUCUGUCUAUUGGAACAGUUCCCGGAACAAGGUCGAUCACAAACUCUACAUCCCUGUCAGGUGGAAUUCCUGGCAGUUCUUCUGGAAAACAUUUGGAAAGUCAUGGACUACCGGAAUGUCUUCUAGUUCUGGAAGAGGGUUGGCAUUGAGGGAAUAGAGUUGGCAUUUGGCAACUCGAGUAGAGACAUUGACUAUCUCACCCGAGGGAUGGGUAAGCUGAACAUUUCUAGAAUGGGUAUCAAUCUUGGCAUAAUGAGCUGACAUCUAAUCCAUACCCAAGAUGAUAUUGAUAUCCGAAGAUUUCAGGGAUAUCAAAGAUGCUAGAAAAACUAGCAUCUCUACUAGAAUUUCAUUGUCAUAGGUUAUCCUGGAGGUUUGCCACUUACUACCAGGGGUUUGGACAACCAAUGGGAUUGGCAUAUCACAAAAGGACAUGUUAUGCAACUGUGCAUAACUUUCUGAAAUGAAGGAAUGAGAUGACUGUAGCGACCCGACUCAAAACGAGUCAAGCCUCUGUGUUUCUGUGCCAUCGCUGGAUCAGUAUGCUGGCACACACAGUACAUCAAUGUAUAUAUCAAAGUGCAAUCACAUGUAAAUAGCGUAAAACUGAUAUAUACCUUAAAUAUUUCAGCGGAAGCAGUCAAGGGAGUGGAGUCCCAAAUAAACACCAACGACAAGUUGAGUGUAGACCGUAACCCUGAAUAGUACUCUUACUCGUCGAAGAAAAAUAUCUGCAACAUAAGACGUUGCAGCCGUGUAGGUUAGCAUAUUGAAUAUGCCGGCAAGUCACAUAAGAGAGGGGUGAAAAGUAAUCAUCUAUACUAUAUGCAUAUAUGGCAGGUGGGGAUAUAAGUUUUUAGCGAAAAGCAAGUUUUCUCCUACAUCAAGAGAGGGCUAAAAGCAAAAUAUUAAUACAAGGUUGGUUGUUAACGAGAUGGUUCCGCCAACCAGUUCUCGUACCUGAGUUGUCAAUAAUUCCCACAUCAAUAUUAUUAUUUGUGUUGAGAAUUUCAGAUAACUUCAGUUCCUUUGGCUCAAGUUGUCCAUGACCGUGGACACGGCUAAUCGAUUAGGUUUGAGUACUCUGCACAGUUUUGCACACGUUCCCCACAAGAUUUGAUCGCCUCCGAGUAUGUCCUCGCACUUCAGGGUGUUUGAAGACCGGAUGAUCAAAACAUGGUCUUUCAACGGGUCCCUCUGAAUCCCUGUCGGAGCCCAUCCAAUCCUACCGUUCUUCUACAUCUGCUAGCACCGCCUGUCCAGAUUCGCCGCGUUGUCCAACCAAGCCAGAGACCAUAAUGACAUGUGGCUGUGCAGGUAAGCCUUGGGUCUUGAAAAUAUCCGUCCGUCUCUUUGAGCCUGGGUGAAGCUUUCCGCUGGAUGUCAUGGCCGUCUCCAGCAUCCCGGGUCAUCCACUGGUUUCUCCAGGGAGCCGAUCAACCGUCCUUCACCCAGAGUUGCAUUGCAUCACGAGGUCUUGAAAAGUCUUGACUUAACCGGUCUUGGUUAUUAAAUUAUUCUCGCAUCACUCGUGUUAUGCACUCAACCGAAAUCCCGUCUACUCAAGCAUAGCAAUAUGAAAUUUGUCCUCCCGGGGCCAAGUAUCGGGGUUGUUGUGUGCCUACCACAUGAUACUACAAUAUGUAACCAUAAUUUCCAAGUUCCUACUCAGCAUGCAAAUUGGGCAUAGGAUGUUAGAACUACGAUGCAAUAAAACAUAGGUGAUACAUGAUCAAAUGACUUGCUUGGUGAUGUUGACGAAGAAGAAUUUUCGUUCUCGGGAAAUACGUGAUAGAACUAUUCGUCACUCUCCGAUGAAAUCUAUAUAAUCAAACAUAGUAUUCACAUAAGCACUCACACUAGCAAUCAAUUAACAAACAGCAAUGAAAGUUGAUGCAAUCAAAAAUCAAUAAGAGAGAGCGGAUAAAAAUCCAAAGGAAACUUCAAAGAAGCUAGGAAGCCUUCUACUACAUCAAACACUAUAUACUUUUUGUUCUAACUGAAAAUAAAACACUAAAAUAGAAAAAAUAACUAAGAUAACAGAAGUAAAAUUUACAAAACAAUAUUUUUUUAUAAGUAUUUUCAAAAUAGGAAAUCAAACUAGCAAUGCAAUCAAUUCGCAAGUUAGUAUAGAACUAGAAUUGAUUCCAUGCAAACAAAUAAGAAUAAAAAAAUAAAAAAAAAUUGUUGUUGAAAAGUUACUCGUAAAUAUCAAAAAACAGAAUAUAACUUGUCACAAUUACGAAAAAAACAAAUUAAGAACAAUUAAUACAAAAGAAAUAGCAAAAAAAAACAAAAAAGGCUAAAACAGAAUCUGUUUUGCUUAAAACCCUAAGUAAAAAUAUUUUAAAAAAAUUGAAACUUAAACUACUAAAUGAUAUGAUCAAUACGAAGCAGCAGCAAAAAGAAUUAAAUUAAAAGCUAUUUUUAAACUCCCGGAAUAAGCAAAACAAGCUUUAAUUCAAAUCUAAUCUAACUCAAUUUUUCUAAAUCCAAACAUAGACAAAUUAUAUGUCUACAGAAACUACAGAAAAUUUGUGAUCCAACGCAAAAAGAAUCACCUAAUUCGGAGUUAUAGACUAAUAGAUAUGAAUUUUCUAAGAUUGGGAUUUUCUGAAAAAACUGCAAUACGGGAUUUCGUGAAUCUCAGCAUGGGUGACAGAGAGGAAGAACUCCGGCGAGGUAGCUGCUCCGGCGAGGUGGGGAGGUCGCCGGCGGGGUGGGGAAUCGGCGAAGGAGUAGCACGGCAGGGGGUGGGGCGCUGGAGAGGCUCGACAGGGGUGAUGGGGAAGCGCCACGAGACCUACUGUACUCCGUUCUUGACAGGAAGAUGAGGAUGGUGGCGUCGUGGCUACGAGCAUGGGAACGGGGCGUUUCUCGAGGGGAAUGGAACGAGGAGGACGAGGGGAUCCUUUAUAGGUGGCGAGGAGGUGCUGGGAGGGAAGGAGAUUCGCGAAUUCCGGAAGGGGAGGAUCUCUUGGUUCCUGCCAUGGAAGUUCCUCGUAACGUGAAUGACUAGAGGAAGGAGAAGAUACUAAACGGGCCAGAUUUGAAAACUCCUUAAUGGGUCAGCUCUUUAUUUCCUAUUAAACGCGAUUUCUUUCCUUUUUUCAAAAUUAGGAAACUAAAACGACAAAAGGGAAAUCAAAUCAACUCGGAAUAUAGAGUUUCUAUAUACCAAAAUUAUCAGAAAAAUAAAAUCUAAAUGAUGGGCAUUUUCCCACGGCCAAAAUAAAAACUAAAAAAAAUGUUUUUCCAAAAAUCCCUAAAAGCAUUAUUUAUUUUUGCAAUUAUGUUCUCAAAUUAAAUUUUGGUUUUUUUCUUGGCUCAAAAUAUUUCAAUGAAUGCCCCUGGUUUUUGGAGGGUCAUUUUCCUCCGCUAUUUCUUGCGUGCAAAAAUUUUGUCGGGGUAUUUUCUCGGGGAAGAAAAAUAUAGAAGCAAGGGCAAAUAUUUUGAAAGGAUUCAAAUGCAAACUCCGUUCAAAUUCUUUAUAGUUGAAGAAGUCAUGUCAUCUUCUCUCUUUGCUUUUAAAAGGUUGAAUUUGAAUUCAUCGGAGAUGGGGAAAGUCAUUUUAUUCCCUCUCAUUCAAAAGUUUUGAAAAGUUUCAAAUUUCACACAAGUUUCAAUCACUCAAGCAAACAAACCAACAAUCUAAUAAUUAUUUUAACAUUCCAAAAUUUGGGAUGUUACAAUGACACAGUGUAAAAAAGAACAGACGUUGGGUGAUGAUUGACAAGGAGCAUACCCAAUAUGAUGUCGGGAUCCUCUGCAGCUUCUUUUGCUGAAACAUAGUUCACGCGGCCACGUGCAGGAGUUGGCUUCACAUAGUAAGCUUUAACCGACUUGCCUUGCCCAACGGACUUUCCAGGUUGCUUGGCAGCCAUAUUCUAAGGACACUCUCGUGAGUAGUUCCCUGGUUCUCCGCACUUGUAAUAGAUCACCUAAUUGGUACGUGGUGCAGCAUUGCUAGCUGGACCACCAUAUGUUUUUGCUGGAGGGUUGGUCUGAUUCGCCUGAGGCGCCACAUAGGACGGCCUCGGGGUGUAUCUUGGCGGCAGAGAGCUAUUUGGAACGCGGAACCAGAUGACGAGCCAGAGUCACGAGAGUGCUUCUUUGUGGCUUCAUAGUCUGUAUGACCAGUCUCGGCACUAAUCGCCUUGUUGACAAGAGCUUGAAAGCUUGUACACUCGUGGAGGCGCAGGUCACGACGAGGUUCAGGUCUCACACCCUUGCGGAAUCUUGAUUGCUUCUUGGCAUCAAUUGAAACCUCUUCAGUUGCAUAGUAGGCGAGGUUACCGAACUCGCGGCUAUAAGAAUCCACGGUCAAUUUUCCCUGGGUGAAGGCACAAAAUUCCUCUCUCUAACCGUCCAUUAGACCCUGUGGAAUAUGGUGCAGACAAAAGGCUGCACUAAAGUCUGUCCAUGUGGCUGCUGGUCCGGCAGGAUGCAUGGCUUCAAAGUUCUCCCACCACAGAUUGGCGGGUCCUUCCAGAAAGUACGCUGCAAAGGUCACCUUGUCGGCCUCAGAAACAUUUGCAGAGCGAAUCUUGCGCGUUAUACUACACAACCAGUCAUCAGCGUCGAGGGGAUCGACGGAGUGAUGGAACUUUGGAGGAUUCAGUUUCACGAAGUCAUUGAGGGACACUGCAUCAUUCCUCGGCUGACGAGCCGUAUUUUGCUCAAUACGCUCUAGCAGACGGUUGGUCUCCCUUUUGUUCCUUUUCACCUCAAGCAUAAAUUCAGCCAAGGAGAGCGGGUGAGGCAGUUCCUCCUGCGAUGCUUGACUACCCUCUCCCUCCUCAUGUGCAGGGGCACGGUUCAACGUGGUGAACACCAUCCUGACAAACAAACUCACAGCUUAGACCAAUAUCAACAUCAAUACUAACUAUGGAUUAAGAAUGCACUAAACACAUGGAAUGCGGAAAUGAACAUCCGAACAACAUGGUAACAAGCAAGUGCUAUAUAUACACCAUGGUUCAUACACACCAUUACAUAGUUCAGUACAACCUUAACCGAAGAGCAAACUACUAAAAAGAUGAUACUACUCAUCAGAGGCUUUCUAGGCUUCCUAUACAUUAUUUAUCUAUGCCUCCGGAACUCAUCUCAUGAGAUAAGCAUACUCCACAAGACACACAAGACUGUGGAAGUACAGCUACUACCAUACUACUCUUUCACUCAUGGAUUCAGGCAUCCGCAUAGAACAUCUCAUAAAGGUUGCCUCCAUGGCCUGGGAGCUCGACCUACGGAUCAGGAAACACUCGAGCCUGAGACCCCUGGGAACCGUAAGGACACGGGUGUGGCCUUGGUCCCCUGACUGGUGGUAGUAGAGGUCCCCGAAGAGGGGUGACUCCUCCUAUAGCAGGCCAGUCAACAUGAGCCGGAAGAUGGGUCCUCACAGGGUUCAACAUCUCCAUAUCUCCAUACCCUAUCUGGACUACAGGUGUCGGCUGUGUCAAAGCCGUCCACAAACGGGCACGUGUAGCAUAGAGCUCCAUACGAAGGGCACGAGCAUCCCUGUCUCUAUUCUCUGGCAUCUCAGGGGUGGACUGCAGCAGCGGAUCCUCCAUAGAGGAAUCAAAGUAGACCCCACUGAGGUAUCCUUCUUCUCCCGGAUGAGCGGCAAGAACAUAGCAGAACUCUGAAUUCUGCAGUAGUGCAUGUCUGGCCCUCAUAAUGGUUAACAUCGAAUAGGUAGCAUCUUGAACUGCCAUGUCAACAGCAACCCCCAAUCCAUAAGACCAAUGGAUCGGCUCCUCGGCUUCAGGGUAAUCUGGGAAUACCCUAACAAGGCACAUAUACUAACUCUGAUUAAAAUCCCACUACUCCUCCUCCACUGUAUACUCUGGGUACCAGCGGUAACCGGCUACUGACAUCAUCCUGACCAGCAUGGCCAUGUGACGCGGCACAUCAAUGGACCUAGUCCGACGGACCACCUGAAGAGAAGGACGGCGAGGCAUCUGAAAUAGAGAGUAAUGCAAAGGCAUUAGAGCUCUGAAGACAAAAUUGGGUAGCAUAACAGCUGUAAAUGCUCAAAAACAAUUUUGAGACAACCCACAAAAGCUAAGAUAGCAUAACCACUCAACUAUCAACUUCAAUUCCAUUGUCAUCAAAACUUACUUUCUUUUCCUUGGAAUAAAAGAAACCCAGAGUAACUCUCGACUCGUUGUCCUAUAAUCUACCGAUCAGCAAUACACGAUCCUGAGAGAAAGAUAAGUAACCUAGUUCUUAAUCCCCGCAGAAAAGACGAGGAUGACCAGAAUAGAAUAAUUUAAGAAGAGAAGCAAGAAUCUUACAUUCCCUUCCGCAAACAAUUCCCUUAUAUAUAACUAAAGCAAUUCUAGACUCAACUUCGACCAUUUUGGCUUGGUAAUCCUACAGUCAGUCAGGCUCUGAUACCAACGCUGUCGGGACCCCGAUCCUAAGCCAUAGGAAUCUAGCCUGUAAUACAUCACAUCUCUUUGCGGUCUCACACAUGGUUAUCCGCACGGCUGGAGCCUUACCUUAGCCGGGAUCGUUUGCACCUUUCGACUCGCGUAUGCAAUUGUGUCGCUAGCAUUCCGAUGUCAAAGAACCCGGGUCGACAUGUCUAGUCAUAAACUUAAGUGGCAGUUCCGUACAGGGACAUGCAUACAUGACCGAGCAAAGCAGGUGUCGGUCAACAGCGAGUGUACACGAGUCGUAGCAAGCUACAAGGACUCCAUUACACCGCAUGACAUUUCCCCAAAGUGACAGACACAGCAACUAAGAAGGACACAUGCCAGUCAACGAAUGUGUCCGGAGUAGUAGCGAACUACCAUGACUCGAUGUAAUCACAAAGUGGCAUUUCCCCGUAAGGAGUGCUACUAAGGCAUACGUCUAGGUGUUCGAACCCCAUACAUAUCAAGUACAACACACGUACGCAUGGCAUACCGAUAUGCAUAGAUACAUCGAUGGCAUCACAACGUAACCAUAAACAUACAAACUUUAUUUAGAAGGCUCGGAAGAGCCUCACACAUAAUAUUACACAGAUAGGGGUGUGACGACCCAUCAUCACAAGUCAUUCAAACAAGUCUUACAAGCCAGCGGAAGAUUAAAACUGUCUGAGUACAGACAUAUGGAAAGGUAAAAGGCUCAUGGCCUGACUAUCUACAGACCCAACCUAGGGCCAGAUCGUAGCUUGGACACCAGCUCCUCGUCGUCGUCAACGUCUAGAUAGAACCCACCAUUAGGGUCAUUAAAAAACUUUGCAACAAUUUAUUAAGCAAACGUGAGUACAAAAGUACUCAGCAAAACUUUAGAAUAAUCUAUCUACUCAUGCAAAUGUAUCAACAAGGGGUUGUGGGGUUUCAAGCGGAAAGCCAGCUUUGACUCUUGGCUAGACAAACUACAUUUUCAAAUAGUUUUGACAACUUUGUUUUCGCGCACACGAGUCCGCUAGCACCACAACAAUACUCCAUCGUGGAAUCAUUUCAUCUCCCUACUGAAAUGCCAUCCACGACACUCACACUUAUCUUGACAUUUUUAUGAGUANNNNNNNNNNNNNNNNNNNNNNNNNNNNNNNNNNNNNNNNNNNNNNNNNNNNNNNNNNNNNNNNNNNNNNNNNNNNNNNNNNNNNNNNNNNNNNNNNNNNGGCUAUUCGAAUAGAUCAUAACCCUGCAGGGGUGUACUUCUUCACACACGCUCUCGCCACUUAUCGCCAUGUGCACGUCAUGCACCUCGGCAGCCUUCAACCGGAAGCCCAGCGAGGGAGUCGUCCACCGUUAACCACGCCAGGUUUAUCGCCUACCUGAGGGUAACCCGCACGGAAGUCCGGCCAAGGUUUCCUCCACAGCCCCAAACGAUGUGUGCAGGGUUCCCAAGCCCACCCUCCGGUGCCACUUGGUACACCAUGCCACUGCCUACCGCAUCAUAGCCCACCUCUAAGGUCAGCACUAUGCACGGCCUCCAGCAUGACUAUAAACACCAAAAACUACUUGCAACUCCUCGACCGAGUACUAGGCGAUUAAUAAGUCAAGAGGGUCAAUUAAGUAUCCCUACGUGUGGUAGUAUCUAGUCUUGGAUUACAUACACGGAACUCAGUUCGUAAGGACGGUUCCAAUGAAACAACCCGCCAUGUACUCGUACAUGGCCUUUCAACGGUACCUUUACCAAAUCAGGUUCAACACACAACCUUUAUUAACUGAACGNNNNNNNNNNNNNNNNNNNNNNNNNNNNNNNNNNNNNNNNNNNNNNNNNNNNNNNNNNNNNNNNNNNNNNNNNNNNNNNNNNNNNNNNNNNNNNNNNNNNUUUUUGGAGCUAAAUGGGCUAAUUAUGUCAUUGUUGGGGAAAUUAAGGAAAUGAGAAUAUGAAAGAGGAGAAGAAAGAGGAGGAGGAGAAGAAGAAGAAGAAAUAAAGAAGAAGGAGGAGAAGGAGGAGGAGGAGGAGAAGGACUAGAAGGUCCUUGGCCUUCUCCUCCUUCUCAUCCUCCUCCUCCUCCUCCUUCUUCUUCUCCUCCUUCUUCUCAUUCUCCUUCUCUUACCUUUCUCUUCUUCUUUUUGUUCUUCGUUUUCAUUUCUCCUCUUCUCCUCUUCUUGGAGCUCAAUUAGCUAACUAUGUCUUUUUGGAGCUAAAUGGGCUAAUUAUCCAAUUAUAGAGGAAAACAAGCUAAGUGUAUAAUAUUAAUGAGCUAACCAAGGUUCUUAUGCCAUUUUGAUCUUAUAAUGUCUUUUUGGAGCUAAAUGGGCUAAUUAUGUCAUUGUUGGNNNNNNNNNNCCUCCUCCUCCUUCUUCUUCUUCUCUUCUUCUUGUCCUCCUCCUUCUUCUCCUUCUCCUUCUCUUAUCUUUCUCUUCUUCUUUUUGUUCUUCCUUUUCAUUUCUCCUCUUGUCCUCUUCUUGGAGCUCAAUUAGCUUACUGUGUCUUUUCGGAGCUAAAUGGGCUAAUUAUGUCAUUAUAGAGGAAAACAAGCUAAGUAUAUGAUACUAAUGAGCUAACCAAGGUUCUUAUGCCAUUUUGAGCUUAUAAUGUCUUUUUGGAGCUAAAUGGGCUAAUUAUGUCAUUGUUGGGGAAAUUAAGGCAAGGAGAAUAUGGAAGAGGAGAAGAAAGAGGAGGAGGAGGAGAAGAAGAAGAAAUAAAGAAGAAGGAGGAGAAGGAGGAGGAUGAGGAGAAGGACUAGAAGGCCAAGGGCCUUCUCCUCGUUCUCCUCCUCAUGCUUCUCCUUCUUCUCUUCUUCUUCUCCUUCUUUAUUUUUAUUUUUCCUAUUUCUUCUCCUCUUCUUGGAGCUCAUUUAGCUAACUAUGUCUUUUUGGAGCUAAAUGGGAUACUUAUCCCAUUUUAGAGGAAAACAAGCUAAGUAUAUAAUAUUAAUGAGCUAACCAAGGUUCUUAUGCCAUUUUGAGGUUAUUAUGGCAUUUUGGAGCUAAAUGAGCUAAAUGGGCUAAUUAUGUCAUUGUUGGGGAAAUUGAGGCAAGGAGAAUAUGAAAGAGGAGAAGAGAAACUUACCGUAGUGGUAAUCAAGGAGGAGAAACACCUGGAGAAGGGUCGUGCGAUGCCACUCGGGAGUUAUUUUGCAGAAUAGAUAUUUUGCAAUGUCUCAGUUAGCAUGAUGACACUCAAUUAUUAAUACUAGUUUAUAAUGAAACUCACUGUGUCAAUCGAAGAGAAGACGGGCAUCGGCGGAGGGACUUGACCACUCUUCUCGCACAGACCCUGAAGAUUGGGUCGUAUUAGUUAGUAAUGAGACAGACAUUACACACAUGAUUUGGCUAAUGUGAAAAAAAACUUACCACAAAAAGCUCGUACAGGGCCCGUUGACCCGCCUCAUUCCUUGCCCUCUCCUCCUUAAUCAAUCGUGUCGUGGUCUGGUCCCUCUCAUCAAGAGCAGCCUGAAGAGCAGUCUGGCUUGCCAAUCUCUCUUUCGCAAGAGCAGCCUGGUUUACCGCUCUCUCUUUCUGAAGAGCAGCCUGAAACACCAUUCCUCGUUACCACAGUAAUGAUCUAUGGUGACACACAUAAUGACAUGGAUCAAAUUGUCUUAGUCCGUACAACUAACCUCGAUGGAAAGAUCGACUGGCCGUGGACGACGCGUUAUCUCAGGACAGCUACUCGACUCGCGCGCCUUGAUCUCCGAGAGAGUGAGUGGACAACGUAUUAUCCCAUCUCCAAUGGCUGUCGAGCCAUGGGGCCUCCCGCCACCAGAUAUCAUCACCAGCUCUGGAUCCAAAGGUUCCUGGCUAGGGUUAAAGUCAUCCCCUUUCGUAGCCUUCCUCGUGUCCCUGUAUGUCACGAGCUUGUGGUGGUAUGAUAUGUUGGUGAAGUUAUUUGUAUCAUCCAGGUCAGACUCAGAGAAUGCCUUAGCCUUCUUGUACGAGGCAGUAUGGGCCAUGCCAUAAAGGUCAUAAAAGUGUGGCAUCUCCGUCUUAUUGUGAUGCGCCUAAAAGAGAGGAACAAAAUAUUAGCAUGAAGAAUGAAUUGCAUGAAUCAUGAAGCAAAUCACAUACCCAGUUUCGUCCUAACUGAAGUAAGUUGGCGCUGCCUUGAUGGUGUGGCACACCAACCAUUUGGCUACGCCGAUCCUUCGCAUUCUCGUGGACGGCUCGCCAGCUGCCUGUGCACCACUCAUCAACCAACGCCUCCCAACAAUCCAUCUUAUCCGCACACCAUCUUGGGGGCACCUGUAAGUUAUUAGAAAGAAUUUUGAGCGCUACACCUAUGAAUGAAAUCAGGAAAACUACGUAGAAGGACUUAAGAAUAGGUAAUUACCUUCAUGUAUUGCUCCUUCUUCAGAAACUUUCCGCGGCAAUCCUUCUUCUGCUUUUUAAUACCACGCGUGGCGUAGUAGUCUCGAAUAGCGCGCGGCCGAGCCUCGUGGCGUAAGUUCUGUAGUAACCGCCUACACUCGGCCUCGAGAACCUUGGCUGCCUCCUCCUCAUAUCCAUCCUCACACCUAUAGAAGGUCUGCAAUCAAACGUGAAAACACCGAUUAGUACAAUAAUUAGCUAUAUUGUUAAUUUUAGAUUGUGUAAAAGGAUAAUUUACCCAAAAGCUCUUGAUCACCAUCUCGGGCCUCGUGUGGCACAAGACACCAUCUAUAAUCUCCUCCGCGGGGCCUACGCAGUCUGGUAGUGCUCCCAGGAAAAUCCUAGUGUAGGAACCUGACCCUCACCAGGCAACGUGACAAACCCCGGGAAAUUUGUCGGGCAAAGCACACCAAGGACGGAGUUCGGCCUGCGGAUUCCACGAGGGUGUGCCCAUCCCCUGCAUUAUGAUAAGUCAACGCAUUAGAUAUUUGAACAAACUUCAAGGCAAAAGCUAAAAAAAGAGUAAAUGUACUUACCUAUAUCCUUCAGGUUUAAUCACCGGCCUCUGCUCGCGGGUAGCCGGCACGACCGGGAGACGUGUACUACCACGCUUGUACAUGGUGGCCCCGUCCACCUGCACAUCGACCUCAUUAUCUGUAAACUCAUCCCCGCCAUCCCCGCCCCCUGAGCCAACCGGACCCUCGGUCCAAUCCAGCAACUCGGUCCGAUCCGGCCAGGUAUCCCAUCCGAGCCUCUCCUCGUCGGGUGAAGCCUCCGGAACCGUAGUCUCGUGGGCCGAAUGCACCUCGACCCGAGGCUGAUCCUGGACCGGAGUCUCAUGGGACGAAUGCCCGUCAACACCAGGCUCCUGGACCGAAGUCCCCGUAGCCUCCUCCGCAAACGGGUCAGCCAUAGUAGUCCUAUGCUCGGGUGAAUGAGGUUGUGGUGGUGGCGAGGACGGCUCAACAGUCCUCCUGGAUCUUCCGCGGCCACCACCUCUCCCUGUACCCUUCCCCUUCUUCCCUACUCGACCAACACCUCUCCCAGUGGGCAAUGCCGCCGACGAAGAAGAACCCACGGGUGGUGUCGACAGACUGUCUGCCAAGGCUCUACGGAGAGAUAGGGGUGGAAGGGAAGUACCACCCCAAAUGCGGGGCGGCUGGGAAGAACCCGUCCAGCGCUCUAGACCAGCGCCCACCAUCUUUCAACACCUGGUGACCUGCCAUGAUAAAGAUUAAAAGAAAUUAGUACAACAUAAAAAAAUUGAAUAACUAACAUGAAUAAUAAUAUGUACAUGAAUAAUAAACAUUAAAAUAUACAUAAUUUAAGUUGUCAAUCUUACAAACAAAUAAUCAUCAUCAAUAAAUGCAUCAUCAUCAUCACUAUCACGCAUGUCUUCAUGAAUGACGUGCUCGUCGGGUUAAUCAGGUUCGCCAUUUUUAUUACGUCCAGGCAACCUACACGCUAAUAGGUGAAGAUAGGUCCUAAUCCCACCCGAGUAUGUGUAGAUUGGGUUCGUUUUCCCAUGCUCUGCUCCAGAUCCAACGCAAAAUUUUGGCAGCACCUCCCUGCUGUUCUCCUGAUACACUUCUCCGCAAUAAACAGAGAGGAUGUGCAUCCGGAGAACAACAGGGAGGCACUGACGAAAUUCCGCAUCGGAUCCAGAGCACAACAUACGGGACAACGAACCCAAUCUACAGAUACUCGGGCUGUCCAUGGAUAAUGUUGGACAAUUCGAAAGGAUGGCGGUUAUAAAUAUGCAAAGACAUGCAUAUUUAUAGAUGUCGCCCUUCGAACGGGAGACGCAUACUCGUCACGCAUACUGAUAAAUUAAUUUAAUUACCUAAAUCUAGAAAGUUUCAUCCGGAAACCGAGCCAUAGUAAAUGAAGGGGCGAGGAGGAGAUGAAAUUUGUAUUGACCCACGAAUGCAGGGGCGGAGCUCGUACAACGCACGGGGAGUUCUUCGCACAACAGACCUCACAGCGACGAGAAAACUAUCACAUGUAAAUACACCCGAUCAACACAAAUAUUCUAAUUAUGUCAUUUUGGAGGCAAACAAGUUAAGAAUAUAAUAUUCAUGAGCUAACCAAGGUUUUUAUGCCAUUUUGUAGCGGAAUGGGCUAAUUAUCUCAUUGUUGGGGAAAAUAAGGUAAGGAGAAUAAGAAAGAGGAGAAGAAAGAGGAGGAGGAGAAGAAGAAAAAGAAAUCAAGAAGAAGGAGAAGGAGGAGGAGGAGAAGAAGGAGGAGAAGAAGGAGAAGGAGGAGAAGGUAUUCUUCUUCUCUUCUUCUCUUCUUCUUCUCUUCUUCUCUUCUUCUUCUUUUCUUCUUCUCCUUCUUAUUUUUGUCUUCUCCUCCUCCUCUUCUUCUUCUUCUUCGUCUUCUCCUCCUCCUCUUCUCCUCUUCUCCUCCUCCUCCACUCCUUCUUCUUCCUAUUCUUUCUAUUAAGCUAACUAACUAACUAACCUAACUAACCAAGCUAACUAAACCUAUCGCUAGACCUAUAUAGCACUAAACAGCAAAAAAAUAACAAAAACAGAAUCUACCACUAAGUAACUAAAAAAGAAUCUAGCUACCACUAAUUAACAAAACAAAAUCUACCACUAAACUACCUACUAAAUCUACUAAUUAACUAACUAAAUCUACCAACUAACUAAACUAUUACUAAAUCUACUAAUUAACUAACCUACCAACUAAACUAUAUAUGCCACUAAAUCUGUUAAUUAGCAAAAAAAGAAGAAAAAAGGACUCACCGGAGGGGGCGGCCGGGCAGGAGGAGGGCGUGGCGGUGGUGGAGGAGGAGGUCCCGGGGAGGAGGAGGGGGCGUGGUUGAGGAGGGGGUGGUGGAGAAGGGGCGAGCUCCGACGACGGUGUUGGGGGAGGAGGUCCCGGGGAGGAGGAGGGGCGUGGUGGAGGAGGGGGCGCAGGGAGGCCGGAGGAGGACGGGGCGGCGGCGCAGGGAGGCCGGAGGAGGAGGGGGCGCAGGGAGGCCGGAGGAGGAGGGGCGCAGGGAGGCCGGAGUAGGAGGGGGCGGCGGCGCAGGGAGGCCGGAGGAGGAGGGGCGCAGGGAGGCCGGAGGAGGAGCGGCGGCGGCACAGGGAGGCCGGAGGAGGGCGCGGCAGUGGUGGUGGUGUCGGUGGGUGAGAGAGAGGGGUGUGGGGUGGCUGUUAGGGGUGAGAGAGAGGAGCGUGGGGGUGGGGCUAACGGCCGUUAGGGCGCACCCUCUUUCUCGUCCGCCUCCCGACGGCACAGAGGAGUAAAGCGGACGGCAAAGAAAGAGGUCGUUAGGGGGGGAGAGAGGGGGUGGGGGUGGGCCAGCCGAGCUCUUUGUCGUCUGCCUGAGUGAUAUUUGCCGUGCGCCAGCUCACGGCAAAGAGCUGGCUGAUGGAAAAUAGUACCUUUGCCAUCAGCCUUCUCUUUGCCGUCUGGUUUCUCGUAGCUGAUGGCAAAGAGGGUCUUUGACAUCAGCCAGCAGACGGCAAAGAAGCAGCAGAUGGCAAAAUCUCUGAUUCCAGUAGUGUUUCAUUCGUCCUAGCUCUUCUCCUUGGGCUUGUCCCGUCCUCUUCAUAAAGAAGAAAGACAAAACGGAUCGGAUGGUUGUAGAUUAUCGACCAGUUAACCUGGUCACCAUAAAGAACAAGUAUCCGCUGUCCAGGAUCAACGAUCUGUAUGAUCAGCUCACUCGAUCCUCAAUCUUCUCCAAAAUGGAUUUGAGGUUGGGUUAUCAUCAAAUCAAGAUCAAGAACGGGGACAUUCCAAAAACGGCUUUUGUCACUCGUUAUGGCCAAUACGAGUACACCGUCAUGUCCUUCGGUUUAACCAAUGCCCCAGCCACAUUCUCUCUCUUGAUGAAUUCAAUCUUCAUGGAGUAUUUGGAUAAAUUUGUCAUGGUAUAACUCGAUGAUAUUCUCAUCUACUCGAAGAACGAACAAGAACAUGCCGAGCAUCUAAGGCUGGUAUUGAUGAAACUUCGAGAGCACCGCCUUUAUGCCAAGUUUUCAAAAUGUGAAUUUUGGUUACCAUAAGUGACCUAUCUAGGCCACGUAAUCUGUGGUAAGGGUAUUGCUGUCAAUCCCUAGAGAGUUCAAGCCGUCCUUGAUUGGACUCAACCUGAAUCGGUUAAGCAAGUUAGGAGUUUUCUUGGUCUAGCGAGCUAUUGUCGCCGCUUUGUCGAGAAUUUCUGCAAGGUUGCGAAGCCUCUAACUGAACUCCUCAAGAAAGAUAAAAAGUUCGAAUGGACACCACAGUGUGAGCAUAGUUUUCAGGAACUGAAAAGACACCUGACUUCCGCACCUGUGUUGCUACCACCAGAUUUUUCGAAGGACUUUGUUAUCUAUUGCGACGCCUCACGACAAGGAUUAGGUUGCAUUCUCAUGCAGGAUCGUGAUGUGAUUGCAUACACAUCUCGACAGUUGCGUCCACAUGAUAUCCCACACAUGACCUUGAGCUCGCAGCUGUAGUCCAUGCACUUAAAACCUGGCAACAUUACCUUCUUGGCAAUCGUUGUGAAAUAUUCACUGAUCACCAAAGUCUAAAAUAUAUCUUCACCCAGCCGGAUUUGAAUCUCACGCAAAGACGAUGGGUUGAGUUGAUCACAGAUUAUGACGUAGGGAUAACUGACACCCCGGGGAAGGCCAAUGUUAUGGCUGAUGCACUAAGUCGUAAGUCUUAUUGUAACAAUCUGAUGUUACAACGAGGUCAACCACAUCUCUAUGAGGAAUUUUAGAAGUUAAAUCUUCACAUUGUUCCUCAAGGAUUCCUUUCUAACCUGGUGGCGAAACCUACUCUUAGGGAUCAAAUCAUAGCCGUGCAGACAUAUGAUAAGGUUAUAUCCCGAAUCAAGGAGAAUAUUGCUAGCGGAAACGCUAGGUAUUUCUAUAUUAAUGAGCAAGGUGUCGUGUUCUUUCAAAAACGUCUAGUGGUUCCUAAGAGCAAAUGUCUGCGGCGGUUGAUCCUUAAGGAGGCUCAUGAUUCUCCUCUCACCAUUCAUACUGGUAGUACUAAGAUGUAUCAGGACCUACGCCAAAGGUUUUUGUGGACUAGGAUGAAGAGAGAAAUUGCUGAGUUCGUUGCUAACUGCGACGUUUGUCAUCGAGUUAAGGCAGAACAUCAAAGGCCUGCUGGCACCCUUCAACCUUUAGCUAUUCCUGAAUGGAAAUGGGAUAAAGUUAGUAUGAAUUUCAUCAUUGGAUUUCGCAAGACCAAAAAAGGAAAUAAUGCUAUCUUUGUGGUCAUUGACCGUCUUUCCAAAGUAGCUCAUUUUCUUCCAGUUCGUAAGAGUAUUACAGCAAGCCAACUAGCAGAGUUAUAUAUCUCUCGAAUAGUGUCUCUUCAUGGUGUUCCUCUAGAGAUUAACUCAGACUGUGGAAGUAUCUUUACUUCUCGCUUCUGGGAGAGUUUUCAGAAUGCCAUGGGGACUCAUUUAUCUUUUAGCAAUGUUUUCCAUCCUCAAUCAAGUGGUCAAGUAAAAAAGAGUGAAUCAAAUCCUAGAAGAUAUGCUCCGAGCUUGUGUUAUACCGUUCGGUAUGAAUUGGGAGAAGUGCCUACCAUUCACCGAAUUUGCCUAUAACAAUAGUUAUCAAUCAAGUUUGGGGAAAGCUCAUUUUGAAGUUCUCUAUGGACGAAGAUGUCGAACACCUCUUAAUUGGUCAGAAACUGGAGAGAGGCAACUCUUUGGUCUGGAUAUGACCCAGGAUGCAGAAGAGCAAGUUCACAUUAUUCGUGAAAAGUUGAAAACAGCCCAGUCUCGUCAAAAGUGCCAAUAUGAUCGUCAUCAUAAGGCUGUGACCUUUGAAGUUGACGAGAAGGCUUACCUUCGGGUUACACCUUUGAAGGGUACCCAUCGUUUCGGUAUCAAGGGCAAGUUGGCUCCUCGUUAUAUCGGUCCUUUUAGCAUUCUUGUCAAACGAGGAGAAGUUGCCUACCAAUUGGAACUUCCUCCGUAUCUUUCCAAGGUUCAUGAUGUAUUCCACGUCUCGCAACUCAAUCGUUGCUUUUUGGAUCCUAUCCGUGAAGUGGACCACGAAACGCUUGAUCUCCAAGAUAACCUUUCAUACCGAGAAUACCCUGUUCGUAUUCUUGAUCAAGCUGAGCGUACCACUCGACAUCGAAACCUCAAGUUUCUUAAAGUUCAAUGGUCAAAUCAUUCUGGAAAGGAGGCAACAUGGGAAAGAGAGGAUCGUCUUCGACUUGAGUAUCCUGCACUAUUCCCGACGACUUCCAAAUCUCGGGACAAGAUUCUUUUGAGUGGGGGUGAGUUGUCACAUCUCUGAUCCCUACUAGAGUAUAACAAGUUCGUGCUCAUGUCUUAUUCAUUGCAUCCAAGAAAAUGAAAUGAAAUCAAAAGAAAAGCAAAGAAAACCAAAGCAAACCCUAGCAACUCUAUAUUCAAAAGCUUUCAAAUUUGGUGGCAAUUUAAUGUUUCCAAAAUGGCCAUUAGAAAAGUUCAUCAUUUCUGAUAUAUUGUUGAAAACAGAAUAUGAGGGGUGAAAUAUAUUUUCAAAAUUCUUUUGGCAUUUUAUUUUAAAGAUAAAAGCUACUGAAAUCAACUAUAUAAUUGAUUUCAAAUAUUCCAAAGUUUCCAAAAAUGNNNNNNNNNNUAUAUAUGUUUGGAAAUAUUCAAAAUAACAUUUCAGCAUGUUUCAAACUAUUUUAGGAAUAGCUUGGAGCCAAAAAUAAAACAAAACAAAGUCAGAAAGUAAUUAACUGAAACAGAAAUGAAAAACAAAUUGGAAAAGAGUUAUUUGGCGAUUACCUUGGCCGAGGGCCAUCUCCUUCCUUUCUGUCGUCUUCAUCCUUCGCCUGUCGGUGCAGGAGGUGGCCUCCACUCCCUCCGGCGCGGCCACGCACCUAUAAGCAUGCCUGGCUCGCCCAGAUGAGCUGGAGAGGGAGGAUAAGCCUCCCCAUACUCGUUGCCAUCCUCUCCCUCUCCUCAUUCGCCCCCUGUGCCUCUUCCCCUCUCGGCCGCCAUUGCUGCGAGCUCGAGCUCGAGCUAGCCUUCGCUCCGGCCGUCCUUCCUCGCCUCUGAGUGUGCCGUUCUCUCCACCUCGACGAGCUGGUCAUCCCUGCCAAAGGAGAAGAGCCCCCGAGCCCUACAACGCCGUGACGCUAUCGUCUUAAACCUCGGAUCCCCGGAGCUCGCCGCCGUCGUUCUCCCUCUCAAACCGUCCCUGAGCCCGCUCUCGUCGCCUCUGCACUCCGUGUGAGCUCAGGGUGCUUUUCCCCUCAUUUUUCCCUUUGAUCCCGAGCCGUAGGCCCCGAUUUCACCGGAGCCCGACGAGAUCCGCCGCGGGACCUCAUCGCCGGUAGCUCUACGGUGAUCGGCUGGUCAUUCUGAGGCCAUCGUUAUCUUGAGUGCAUCGUGUAGGUGCUGUACGAGCCCAGCCCCGUGCGUGAUAGGCCGUGUAGCUAUGAUCCCGAUGGUGCCCGAACUCCGGCAACCGCUGAGCUCGUCGCCGGCGUCAUUUCCGGUGGUUUCAGCCCCUGCUCUUUGCAAAAAUGGAGCUGUGAUUGAGUGGCCGAUCGUCUGGUGCCCUCCGCCGUGCAUUUGUUCACCGGAAUAGCAAACCCAAGGCCCUCCGCCAUUCUGGUGGUCACCGGAGCCUCGCCGCCGGUGGGUUUGACCCCAUCGCCGGUGGGGUUGACUCCUCUGAGUCUCUGGCAAGUGGGGCUAGGCCCCUGUUUAAUUAAAGUUUAGUCAAAAUAAAAAUAAAAAUAAUAUUAAAAGUUAAAUAGCCACUGACAUGUGGGUCCAGUCCUGUUAAUUAGCUAAUUAAGUUUAAACUUAAUCUAAAACUGGCCAGAGUCACUGACCAGUGGGUCCCACUGGUCAGCUUUGACUUUCAACGGCCAGCUGACCUAAUGAUGUCAUGCUGAUGCAAUAAAUCUAAUUCUGGUUUUAAUAUAAUUCCAGAAUAAUUGCAAUACUUUGGAAAUUCAUAUAAAAUUGAAUAUAACUCCAAAUCAAACAAUUAAUAUAUGCAAAUUGAUCUGAAAAAUUUAAUGAACAAAAUGGUGCUACUUUCAUGCAUGAAAAAUAAAGUUAUGAAACAGCAUCAGGUCAAGUCAAUUAAAUGAUUAAGAUAAAUAUGCCAUUUCAAAUAAUAUUUGAAUUAGGAUUUCAAACCAGAUGCAAACUAAGGUUUCACCAACCACAUUGAAACNNNNNNNNNNNNNNNNNNNNNNNNNNNNNNNNNNNNNNNNNNNNNNNNNNNNNNNNNNNNNNNNNNNNNNNNNNNNNNNNNNNNNNNNNNNNNNNNNNNNGACGUUUCAACCGUGGUAUUAUAGGAGCAUACCACAUAACUUUAGCAGGAACCUUCUUCCUGAGGGGCUCGUCAUCGCCCUCAACAUCACCAGGGUCAUCUUGUCUGAUCUUGUACCGACAUGCAGUGCAUACCGGGCAUUUAUCCAUAUUCUCGUACUUCUCACCGCGGUACAGGAUGCAGUCAUUAAUGCAUGCAUGUAUGUUCUGCACAUCUAAUCCAAGAGGGCAGAUAGCCUUCUUUGCUUCGUAUGUAGUCUCGGGCAAUUCGUUAUCCUUUGGAAGCUUCGCCUUCAAUAUUUUCAGUAACUUCUCAAAUCCCUUGUCAGAUAAACCAGUUUCUGCAUUCCAUUUCAACAGUUCUAGUGUGGUGCCCAGCCUUGUGCUGCCAUCUUUGCAAUUUGGGUAAAACAACUUUUUAUGAUCCUUUAGCAUGGCCUCCAACUUCAGCUUCUCCUUGUCUGUAACGCAUUCUCGCUUUGCAUCACAAAUGAGCGGGCUCAUCUAAUGCCGGUUGUUCUUCACCUCCUUCUUCUUCAUUGUCUUCUGUUGCAGUAUCACCGUAUUCUUCAAUGAACAUAGGAUAGUUGUCAUCAUCAUCUUCUUCUUAAUUGUCUUCCAUCCUAACCCCUCUUUCUCCGUGCAUGGUCCAUCAAUAAUAUCUGGGCAUGAAACCUCUCCGAAGCACGUGGCCUUGAAUGGUUUUUGAGCCAGAGUACUCCCUGACGUUUCGACUCUCAACACAUGGACAAGGCAUAAAAUUAUCCACUUUGUUUGCCUCAGCCACAUCGAUAAAUUUAUGCAGGCCUGCAAUAAAUCCGGAACCGCGUCGUUCGCCGUACAUCCAUCGCUUCCGUGCAUCGAUCUGCAUCAUACAUGAAUAGUGAAAUGACCAUCGUACAUGGACACGUGCAAUAUUUUUGUAUUGAUUAUAGAUGAAAAUGAUAAGUUUGCUAACCUCGGUCGAGUAUACCAUUUUGUGUGAACUUAAGUGUGACUCGGGCAUUUCAUCAAACACCUCUUGUGCGUAGCAAAGAAAAAUAAUAAGUGGGUGGGGAGGGUUUAUUUAUAGGCACGGGAGGGACAAUAGUCCCGGUUCGUAAUGUACUAUGAAGUGCAUCGGUCACCAUACAUCCAUUGGCGGUUCAUCUAUAUUAUGAAAUUAAGUAUAUCAAAAACCAUUGCAGAACAUCAUGAAUAGAGAAAUGACCAAAUUAAUACNNNNNNNNNNNNNNNNNNNNNNNNNNNNNNNNNNNNNNNNNNNNNNNNNNNNNNNNNNNNNNNNNNNNNNNNNNNNNNNNNNNNNNNNNNNNNNNNNNNNCUAGGAGAUGAACCACCCGCUACGGCUGAUCAGGAUGUUAAGAACGCUUGGUUAGCACGUAAGGAGGACUACUCAGUAGUUCAAUGUGCAUUCUUGUAUGGCUUAGAACCGGGACUUCAACGUCGCUUUGAGCGUCAUGGAGCAUUUGAGAUGUUCCAAGAGUUGAAGUUUAUCUUUCAGAAGAACGCCCGGAUCGAGAGGUAUGAGACCUUCGAUAAAUUCUAUGCUUGCAAGAUGGAGAAGAACUCGUCUGUCCGUGAACAUGUGCUCAAAAUGUCUGGGUACUCAAACCGUCUAGCUGAGCUGGGGAUUGAACUCCCGCAAGAGGCUAUCACUGACAGAAUCCUUCAAUCACUGCCGCCAAGCUAUAAAGGCUUUGUGUUGAACUACAACAUGCAAGGGAUGAACAAGUCUCCCGGCGAGUUGUUUGCGAUGCUGAAAGUCGCAGAGUCUGAACUCCGUAAAGAGCAUCAAGUGUUGAUGGUGAAUAAGACCACUAGUUUCAAGAGAAACGGCAAAGGCAAGAAGGGUAAUUCAAAGAAGAGCGGCAAGCCUGUUGCCAAUCCGACGGAGAAACCCAAAGCUGGACCUAACCCUGAAACAGAGUGUUACUAUUGCAAGGGUAUGGGUCACUGGAAGUGCAAUUGCCCCAAGUAUCUGGCUGAUAAGAAGGCGGCCAAAGAAAAAUCAGGUAUAUUUGAUAUACAUGUUAUUGAUGUGUACUUAACCGGCUCUCGUAGUAGUGCCUGGGUAUUCGAUACCGGUUCUGUUGCUCAUAUUUGCAACUCGAAACAGGAACUGCGGAAUAGACGAAGGCUGGCGAAAGAUGAAGUGACGAUGCGCGUAGGAAAUGGUUCCAAGGUUGAUGCAAUCGUCGUCGGCACAGUUUCACUUCAGUUACCAUCAGGAUUAGUUAUGAACUUGAAUCAUUGUUAUUUAGUGCCUGCGUUGAGCAUGAACAUUAUACUGGAUCUUGUUUAUUGCGAGACGGUUACUCUUUUAAGUCAGAGAAUAAUGGUUGUUCUAUUUCUAUGAGUAACAUCUUUUAUGGUCAUGCACCCAAUGUGAGAGGAUUGUUCAUAUUGAAUCUUGAUAGCGAUACACACAUACAUAACAUUGAGACCAAAAGAGUUAGAUUUAACAAUGAUAGCGCCAUAUUUUUGUGGCACUGCCGCUUAGGUCAUAUUGGUGUAAAGCGCAUGAAGAAACUCCAUGCCGAUGGACUUUUGGAGUCACUUGACUUUGAUUCACUUGACACGUGCGAACCAUUCCUCAUGGGCAAGAUGACUAAAACUCCGUUCUCCAGAACAAUGGAGCAUGCAAGUGACUUGUUGGAAAUCAUACAUACCGAUGUGUGUGGUCCGAUNNNNNNNNNNACGUGCGAACCAUGCCUCAUGGGCAAGAUGACAAAAACUCCGUUCUCCGGAACAAUGGAGCGUGCAAGUGACUUGUUGGAAAUCAUACAUACCGAUGUGUGUGGUCCGAUGAGCGUAGAGGCACGCGGCGGAUAUCGUUAUUUUCUCACCUUCACUGACGUUUUGAGUAGAUAUGGUUAUGUCUACUUAAUGAAGCACAAGUCUGAAACAUUUGAAAAGUUCAAGCAAUUUCAGAGUGAAGUUGAAAAUCAUCGUAACAAGAAGAUCAAGUUUCUACGGUCUGAUCGUGGGGGUGAAUAUCUGAGUUUCGAGUUUGGUGCUCACUUAAGACAAUAUGGAAUUGUUUCACAGUUGACACCGCCUGGAACACCACAGCGUAAUGGUGUGUCCGAACAUCGUAAUCGUACUUUAUUAGAGAUGGUGCGAUCUAUGAUGUCUCUUACCGAUUUGCCGUUAUCGUUUUGGGGUUAUGNNNNNNNNNNAACAAUGUGGAAUUGUUUCACAGUUGACACCGGCUGGAACACCACAGCGUAAUGGUGUGUCCGAACGUCGUAAUCGUACUUUAUUAGAGAUGGUGUGAUCUAUGAUGUCUCUUACCGAUUUGCCGUUAUCGUUUUGGGGUUAUGCAUUAGAAACAGCUGCAUUCACUUUAAAUAGGGCACCAUCAAAAUCCGUUGAGACGACACCAUACGAACUGUGGUAUGGCAAAAGGCCAAAGCUAUCGUUUCUUAAAGUUUGGGGAUGUGAUGCUUAUGUCAAAAAGCUUCAGCCUGAAAAGCUGGAACCCAAAGCGGAAAGGUGCGUCUUCNNNNNNNNNNNNNNNNNNNNNNNNNNNNNNNNNNNNNNNNNNNNNNNNNNNNNNNNNNNNNNNNNNNNNNNNNNNNNNNNNNNNNNNNNNNNNNNNNNNNNNNNNNNNNNNNNNNNNNNNNNNNNNNNNNNNNNNNNNNNNNNNNNNNNNNNNNNNNNNNNNNNNNNNNNNNNNNNNNNNNAAGCUUUUCUCGAGAAGGAGUUUCUCUCGAGAGAAUUGAGUGGGAGGCAGAUAGAACUUGACGAGGUUGUCGAACCUCUCAUCCCUCUGGAUGGCGGCGCUGGGCAAGGGGAAACCUCUGUCGUUGCGACGCCGGUUGAGGAGGAAGUUAAUGAUAAUGAUAAUGAAACUCCGGUUCAAGUUUCUGUCGAACCACGCAGGUCGACGAGACCACGUGCUGCUCCAGAGUGGUNNNNNNNNNNNNNNNNNNNNNNNNNNNNNNNNNNNNNNNNNNNNNNNNNNNNNNNNNNNNNNNNNNNNNNNNNNNNNNNNNNNNNNNNNNNNNNNNNNNNUAAGUGAGUUAUAUGAUCUCAUGGUCAUAGGAACAAAUACUUGACACGCAGAAAAACAGUAGCAACAAAAUGACACGAUCAACAUGCUACGUCUAUUAGUUUGGGUCUAGUCCAUCACGUGAUUCUCCUAAUGACGUGAUCCAGUUAUCAAGCAACAACACCUUGUUCAUAAUCAGAAGACAGUGACUAUCUUUGAUCAACUAGCUAGCCAACUAGAGGCUUGCUUGGGACAGUGUUUUGUCUAUGUAUCAACACAUGUAAAUGAGUCUUCAUUCAAUACAAUUAUAGCAUGGAUAAUAAACGAUUAUCUUGAUACAUGAAUUAUAAUAAUAACUAUAUUUAUUAUUGCCUCUAGGGCAUAAUUCCAACAGUCUCCCACUUGCACUAGAGUCAAUAAUCUAGCCCUCACAUCAUCAUGUGAAUUACAUUGUAAUAAAUCUAACACCCAUACAGUUCUGGUGUUGAUCAUGCUUUCCCGUGGAAGAGGUUUAGUCAGCAGGUCUGCUACAUUCAGAUCCGUGUGCACUUUGCAUAGAUUCACGUCCUCCCCUUCAACGUAGUCGCGGAUGAGGUUGAAGCGUCGUUUGAUGUGUCUGGACUUCUUGUGAAACCGUGGUUCCUUCGCUAAGGCAAUGGCACCCGUGUUGUCACAGAACAAGGUUAUUGGAUUCAGUGCACUUGGCACCACUCCAAGAUCCGUCAUGAACUGCUUCAUCCAGACACCCUCCUUAGCUGCCUCCGAGGCAGCCAUGUACUCCGCUUCAAAUGUAGAAUCUGCUAUGACGCUUUGCUUGGAACUGCACCAGCUUACCGCACCCCCAUUAAGAAUAAAUACGUAUUCGGUCUGUGACUUAGAGUCGUCCGGAUCUGUGUCGAAGCUUGCAUCGACGUAACCAUUUACGGCGAGCUCUUCGUCACCUCCAUACACGAGAAACAUCUCCUUAGUCCUUUUCAGGUACUUCAGGAUAUUCUUGACCGCCGUCCAGUGAUCCACUCCUGGAUUACUCUGGAACCUACCUGCCAUACUUAUGGCCAGGCUAACGUCCGGUCUAGUGCACAGCAUUGCAUACAUGAUAGAACCUAUNNNNNNNNNNUUGCUUCAUCCAGACACCCUCCUUAGCCGCCUCCGAGGCGGCCAUGUACUCCGCUUCACAUGUAGAAUCUGCUACGACGCUUUGCUUGGAACUGCACCAGCUUACCGCACCCCCAUUAAGAAUAAAUACGUAUCCGGUUUGCGACUUAGAGUCGUCCGAAUCUGUGUCAAAACUUGCAUCGACGUAACCUUUUACGGCGAGCUCUUCGUCACCUCCAUACACGAGAAACAUCUCCUUAGUACUUCGGGAUAUGCUUGGCCGCCGUCCAGUGAUCCACUCUUGGAUUACUCUGGAACCUACCUGCCAUACUUAUGGCCACGCUAACGUCCGGUCUAGUGCACAGCAUUGCAUACAUGAUAGAACCUAUGGCUGAAGCAUAGGGGACGGUGCGCAUAUGCUCUCUAUCCUCAUCAGUUGAUGGGCACUAAGUCUUACUCAAUCUCGUACCUUGUAAAACUGGCAAGAACCCUUUCUUGGACUAUUCCAUUUUGAACCUCUUCAAAACUUUAUCAAGNNNNNNNNNNUCAUAUGCUCUCUAUCGUCAUCAGUUGUUGGGCACUGAGUCUUACUCAAUCUCGUACCUUGUAAAACUGGCAAGAGCCCUUUCUUGGACUAUUCCAUUUUGAACCUCUUCAAAACUUUAUCAAGGUAUGUGCUUUGUGAAAGUCCUAUCAGGCGUUUUGAUCUAUCCCUGUAGAUCUUAAUGCCUAGAAUGUAAGCAGCUUCUCUUAGGUUCUUCAUAGAGAAACUUUUAUUCAAGUAAUCCUUUAUGCUCUCCAAAAACUCUACGUUGUUUCCAAUCAGCAAUAUGUCAUCCACAUAUAAUAUUAGAAACGCCACAGAGCUCCCACUCACUUUCUUGUAAAUACAAGAUUCUCCAACCACUUGUAUAAACCCAAAUGCUUUGAUCACCUCAUCAAAGCGUUUNNNNNNNNNNAUAAGCAGCUUCUCCUAGGUCCUUCAUAGAGAAACUAUUAUUCAAUUAAUCCUUUAUGCUCUCCAAAAACUCUACGUUGUUUCCAAUCAGCAAUAUGUCAUCCACUAGUAUAAACCACUUGUAUAAACCCAAAUGCUUUGAUCACCUCAUCAAAGCGUUUGUUCCAACUCCGAGAUGCUUGCACCAGUCCAUAAAUGGAUCGCUGGAGCUUUCACACCUUGUUAGCAUUCUUAGGAUUGACAAAACCUUCGGGUUGCAUCACAUACAAUUCUUCCUUAAGGAAACCGUUAAGGAACGCAGUUUUGACAUCCAUCUGCCAGAUUUCAUAAUCGAAAAAUGCAGCUAUUGCUAACAUGAUUCUGACGGACUUAAGCAUCGCUACGGGUGAGAAUGUCUCAUCGUAGUCAACUCCUUGAACUUGUGAAAAACCCUUUGCCACAAGUCGAGCUUUAUAAACGGUCACAUUGCCGUCCGCGUCCGUCUUCCUCUUAAAGAUCCAUUUGUUCUGAAUAGCCUUCCGGACCUCAGGCAGUACUUCCAAAGUCCACACUUUGUUCUCAUACAUGGAUCCUAUCUCGGACUUCAUGGCUUCUAGCCAUUUGUUGGAAUCUGGGCCCACCAUUGCUUCUUGAUAAUUUGUAGGUUCAUUGUUGUCUAACAACAUGAUUGACAAGACGGGAUUACCGUACCACUCUGGAGCAGCACGUGGUCUCGUCGACCUGCGUGGUUCGACAGNNNNNNNNNNCAUAAUUUGCAGGUUCAUUGUUGUCCAACAACAUGAUUGAUAAGACGGGAUUACCGCACCACUCUGGAGCAGCACGUGGUCUCGUCGACCUGCGUGGUUCGACAGAAACUUGAACCGGAGUUUCAUGAUCAUCAUCAUUAACUUCCUCCUCAACCGGCGUCGCAGCGACAGAGGUUUCCCCUUGCCCUACGCCACCAUCCAGAGGGAUGAGAGGUUCGACAACCUCAUCAAGUUCUAUCUUCCUCCCACUCAAUUCUCUCGAGAGAAACUCCUUCUCGAGAAAAGCUCCGUUUUUAGCAACAAACACUUUGCCCUCGGAUUUGAGAUAGAAGGUGUACCCAACUGUCUCUUUUGGGUAACCUAUGAAGACGCACCUUUCCGCUUUGGGUUCCAGCUUUUCAGGCUGAAGCUUGUGGAUGAGCAAGACACCCCAAGUAAUUAUUCAGGGAUACUCAGAGUAAAUAAGGCAAACGGUUUUCUAUAUGUGUAAGCUUGUGGAUGCCAUGGAAGUUAUCCCAUCUUUCUUCUUCAACAAUUAUCAGUAUGUCUCGGUUUUUGUUUUGUUCACAUGAUAUGCGUAAAUAAUCGGAGCAUCGUGUGCCUUUUAUUUUCCUUUUUGCAAUUCACCAUGAUGGUUUGGGAAAGUCCAUGGUUGACUUAUAGAACGCUCUUUGCAUUUCACUUAUAUCUUUUGAGUUUAUUUAUAGACUGCUUCAUGUGCUUCACUUAUAUCAUUUGAAGUUGGAUGAAUGUUUCUCUACAUAUAGAAAACCGUUAUUUUUAGAAUGUUGUUUUGCUUGACUUAUAUUCAUUAUAGAACGGUCUUUUUAGAAAGAAUUAAACUCUCGUUCUUCACUUAUAUUUGUUUGAUAGUUAAUAACUAGUGAUGGUAAUUUGCAUGGGUCAUGACUAGUCCAAAAAUAAUAGGUAUUCAAGGAGUGAUAAUCAAAACCUUCAUGUAGCACAUUAAAGAGAAAUUAUGCGUUAAUGUUAUUGAUGUGGUAAUGUUAAAGGAUGUGAUUGUAUCAUUGUUGAUUCGAAUAAGUAUCGGUAUUAAGAGGUGUUAACUUCUUGUUCAUCUAAAAAUUAGAAGGGCAUGGUGAUGAUGUGUGAGCAUUUAUAUUCCUCAUUGAACUCCUCGUGUUGUUUCGACUCAGAGUCAAGCGAUGGUUAAUUCCUCCCAACCCUCUCCCUUGGGGCAUGUGAGUAGUACUUUUAUUUGUAAUAAAACUAAUAAAACUUUGCAAUAAGUAUAUGAGUUCUUUAUGACUAAUUUGACACCAUGGACAUACGCAAUAUCAUCUCCUCAUAUUUGCUAGCCUCUUCGGUACCGUGGAUUAGCCGUUCUCACCUCGAGGAUUGGUGCAACUUUCACCGGUGCAUACAAACCCCAUGAUAUGGUACGCUCUGUUGCACAUAAGCCUCAUUAUAUCUUCCUCAAAACAGCCAUCAUACCUACCCAUCAUGGCAUUUCCAUAGACAUUUCAAGAUAUAUUGCCAUGCAACUUCCACCGUCACUUCAUAUGACUUGUACUUACAUUGUCAUAUUGCUUUGCAUGAUCAUGAGAUAGUUAGCAUGAUAUUUCCAUGGCUUGUACAUUUUUUGAUAUGUUUUGUUAUGCUAGAUCAUUACACAUACUCGUACACUACUAGAGGCAUUCAUAUAGAGUCAUAUCUUCCUACCAUUUUUUCAUAUCCAGUUGUAAGUAAAUAAAAGUGUGAUGAUCAUCAUUAUUGGAGCAUUGUCCAAGUGAGGAAAUAAAAUGAGGGAGUCCAAAUGACCCCACCAUAAAAAAAUAAAAAAAAAUGGGGGACGCAAAAAACAGAAAAAAGCCCACCAUGAAAAAAACAAAUAAAAUAAACAAAUAAAUGAGGGAAAAAGAGAGAAGGAACUUAACUAUUAUCCUUUACCACACUUGUGCCUCGAAGUGGCACCAUGUUCUUCAUAUAGAGAGUCUCUCGUUUUGUCACUUCCAUAUGCUAGUGGGAAUUUUCAUUAUAGAACUUGACUUGUAUAUUCUGAUGACGGACGUUCUCAAAUGCCCGAGGUCUUGAUGAACAAGCAAGUUGUCGGGACCCCGACCCUAAGCAAUAGGAAUCCAGCCUGUAACACAUCACAUCACUUUGCGGUCUCACGCACGGUUAUGCCCAUGGCUGCAGCCUUAUCUUACCCGGGACCGUUUGCGCCUUUCGACUCGCGUAUGCAAUUGUGUCGCUAGCAUUCCGAUGUCAAANNNNNNNNNNNNNNNNNNNNNNNNNNNNNNNNNNNNNNNNNNNNNNNNNNNNNNNNNNNNNNNNNNNNNNNNNNNNNNNNNNNNNNNNNNNNNNNNNNNNNNNNNNNNNNNNNNNNNNNNNNNNNNNNNNNNNNNNNNNNNNNNNNNNNNNNNNNNNNNNNNNNNNNNNNNNNCAUCAAAGCAGGUGUCGGUCAACAACGAGUGUAGACGAGUCGUAGCAAGCUACAAGGACUCCAUUACACCGCGUGACAUUUCCCCAAAGGGACAGACACAGAAGCUAAGAAGGACACAUGCCGGUCAACCAAUGUGUCCGGAGCAGUAGAGAACUACCAUGGCUCGGUGGAAUCACAAAGGGCCAUUUCCCCGUAAGGAGUGCUACUAAGGCAUACGACUAGGUGUUCGAACCCCAUACAUAUAAAGUACAACACACGUACGCAUGGCAUACCGAUAUGCAUAGAUACAUCGNNNNNNNNNNNNNNNNNNNNNNNNNNNNNNNNNNNNNNNNNNNNNNNNNNNNNNNNNNNNNNNNNNNNNNNNNNNNNNNNNNNNNNNNNNNNNNNNNNNNNNNNNNNNNNNNNNNNNNNNNNNNNNNNNNNNNNNNNNNNNNNNNNNNNNNNNNNNNNNNNNNNNNNNNNNNNNNNNNNNNNNNNNNNNAGGGUCUGACGACCCAUCAUCACAAGUCAUUCAAACAACUCUUACAAGCCAGCGGAAGAUUAAAAAUGUCUGAUUACAAACAGAUGGAACGGUAAAAGGCACAUGGCCUGACUAUCUACAUACCCAACCUAGUGCCAGAUCGUAGCUGGGACACCGGCUACUCGUCGUCGUCAACGUCUAGAUAGAACCCACCAUUAGGGUCAGUAACAAACUCUGCAACAAUUUAUUAAGCAAACGUAAGUACAAAAGUACUCAGCAAGGAUUUAGAAUAAUCUAUCUACUCAUGCAAAUGUAUCAACAAGGGGUUGUGGGGUUUCAAGUGGAAAGCCAGCUUUGACUCUUGGCUAGACAAACUACAUUUACAAAUAGUUUUGACAACUUUCUUUUCUCGCACACGAGGCUACUAGCACCACAACAAUACUCCAUCGUGGAAUCAUUCCGUCUCCCUACAGAAAUGCCAUCCACGACACUCACACUUAUCUUGACAUUUUUAUGAGUAGCCAUUAUAGUUGUCUAUGAACAACAUAUAUUUCCAAGUAGUCCAUAUCCGCGGACGCGGCUAUUCGAAUAGAUCAUAACCCUGCAGGGGUGUACUUCUUCACACAUGCUCUUGCCACUUAUCGCCAUGUCCACAUCAUGCACCUCGGUAGCCUUCAAGCGGAAGCCCAGCGAGGGAGUUGGCAACGACCGUUGACCACGCUAAUACUAGUCCAGGUUUAUCGCCUAUCUGAGGGUAACCCGCACGGAAGUCCGGCCGAGGUUUCCGCCACGGCCCCAAACGAUGUGCGCAGGGUUCCCAAGCCCACCAUCCGGGUGCCACUUGGUACACCGUGCCACUGCCUACCGCAUCAUAGCCCACCUCUAAGGUCAGCACUAUCCACGGCCUCCAGCAUGACUAUAAACACCAGAAACUACUUGCAACUCUUGGACCGAGUACUAGGCGAUUAAUAAGUCGAGAGGGUCAAUUAAGUAUCCCAACGUGUGGUAGUAUCUAGUCUUGGAUUACAUACACGGAACUCAAUUCCUAAGGAUGGUUCUAGUGAAACAACCCGCCAUGUACUCCUACAUAGCCUUUCACCAGUACCUUUACCAAAUCAGGUUCAACACACAACCUUUAUUAACUGAACGCAUUCUCACGAUCCUAUUCAUCACCCAGAUGACAGACCAUACACAACUCUAAGCAUAGCAUGCAUAGCAGGAUAAGACACAUCAUAGCUCAAGCAUCUACCAAGUAUGCUAGGUUGCAAGGUUUAGCUAAUUACUGUGACAAGGACAGGUCAUCCAAAGGAAUGGAUUUAACUAACGCAGUAAAAGCAUUGAAAGCAUUUUGACCUAAUGCAAUAAGUAAGAGCAGGAGCGAGAACAUGGGAUUUAUCGGGAUGAUAAAAAAGGUUGCUUGCCUUAUUGCUCAGCACAGGGGUGAUAUCCGUUAGUCGGAUAAUCAGUCGUAUCUGAAGGGGCGGGGCCUACCGAAUAACAACAUACAAUAUUAACAAUCAUAUGCAACAGUCAUGAUGCAUGAACAUGACAUGAAAUGAAGGGUGAUAUGUUUCAAUGUGGUUGGUGAAACCUUAGUUUGCAUCUGGUUUGAAAUCCAAAUUCAAAUAUUAUUUGAAAUGGCAUACUUAUCUUAAUCAUUUAAUUGAUUUGACAUGAUGUUGUUUCAUAACUUUAUUUUUCAUGCAUGAAAGUAGCACCAUUGUGUUCAUUGAAUUUUUGUAAUCAAUUUGCAUAUAUUAUUUUUCUGGUUUGGAGUUAUAUUGAAUUUUCUAUGAAUUUCCAAAGUUUUGCAAUUAUUCUGAAAUUAUAUUAAAACCAGAAUUAGAUUUAUUGCAUCAGCAUGACAUCAACAGGUCAGCUGGCCGUUGAAAGUCAAAGCUGACCAGUGGGACCCAAUGGUCAGUGACUCUGGUCAGUUUUAGAUUAAGUUUAACCUUAAUUAGUUAAUUAACAGGACUGGACCCACAUGUCAGUGGCUAUUUAACUUUUAAUAUAAUUUUUUUGACUAAACUUCAAUUAAACAGGGGGCUGGCCCCACUUGCUAGAGACUCAGGGGGGUCAACCCCACCGACGAUGGGGUCAAACCCACCGGCGGCGAGGCUCCGGCGACCACCAGAACAGCGGAGGGCCUCGGGUUUGCUAUUCCGGUGACCAAAUGCACGGCGGAGGGCACCAGACGAUCGGCCACUCGAUUGCAGCUCCAUUUUUGCAAAGAGUAGGGGUUGAAACCACUGGAAAUGACGUCGGCGACGAGCUCAGCGGCUGCCGGAGUUCUGGCACCAUCGGGGUCAUAGCUACGGGGCCUAUCACGCACGGGGCUGGGCUCGUACAACACCUACACGAUGCACUGAAGCUAACAGUGGCCUUAGAAUGACCAGCCGAUCACCGGAGAGCUACCGGCGACGAGGUCCCGCGGCGGAUCUCGUCAGGCUUUGGUGAAAUCGGGGCCUAGGGCUCGGGAUCGAAGGGGAAAAUUAGGGGAAAAGCACCUUGAGGUCACAGGGAGUGCAGAGGCGACGAGAGCAGGCUCGGGGACGGUCUCAGGAGGGAGAACGACGGCGGCGAGCUCCGAGGAUCCGAGGUUGAAGACGAUGGCGUCACGGCGUUGCAGGGCUCGGGGGCUCUUCUCCUUUGGCAGGGACGACCAGCUAUCGAGGCGGAGCGAACGACACACUCAGAGGCGAGGGAGGACGGCCAGUGCGAAGGCUAGCUCGAGCUCGAGCUCGCAGCAAUGGCGGCCGAGAGGGGAAGAGGCACAAGGGGCGAAUGAGGAGAGGGAGAGGAUGGGAAUGAGCUCGGGGAGGCUUAUCCUCCCUCUGCAGCUCAUCUGGGCGAGCCAGGCAUGCUCACAGGUGCGUGGCCUCGCCGGAGGGAGCGGCGGCCACCUCCUGCUCCGACUAACAAAGGAGGAAGAUGAGAGAAGUGAAGGAGAUGGGCCUGGGCCAAGGUAAGCGCGAGAUAACUCUUUUCCCAUUUGUUUUUCAUUUGUGUUUCUGUUAAAUACUUUUUGACUUUGUUUUUUUUUAUUUUUGUCUCUAAGCUAUUCCUAGAAUAGUUUGAAACAUGCUGAAAUGUUAUUUGAAAUAUUUCCAAACAUAUAUUAAAGUUUCAGCAUUUUUGGAAACUUUGGAAUAUUUGAAAUCAAUUAUAUAGUUGAUUUGAGUAGCUUUUAUCUUUAAAAUAAAAUGACAAAAGUAUUUUGAAAAUAUAUUUCACCCCUGAUAUUGUGUUUUCAACAUUUAUCAGAAAUGAUGAACUUUUCUAAUGGCCAUUUUGGAAACUUUAAAUUGCCACCAAAUUUGAAAAGGUUUUGAAUAUAGAGUUGCUAGGGUUUUCUUUUGUUUUCUUUGCUUUGCUUUUGAUUUCGUUUCAUUUUCUUGGAUGCAAUGAAUAACACAUGAGCACAAACUUGUUAUACUCUAGUAGGGAUCAGGGAUGUGACACAAGUUGGAUGCGCACCUACUUAGAUUCACUCAAGCUUUCACACACUUAUAGCUAUAGUGCAUCCGUUGCAUGGCAAUCCCUACUCCUUGCAUUGAUAUCUAUUGAUGGGCAUCUCCAUAGCCCAUUGAUAUGUUGGGGAAUGUUGCAUGGGAAACAAAAAAAUUCCUGCGCACACGAAACACCUAUCAUGGUGAUGAUCAUCUACGAGAGGGAUGAUCGGAUCCACAUACUGUUGUAGAUCGCUAAGCGGGAAGCGUUAAGAAACACGGUUGAUGUAGUCGAAUGUCUUCACGAUCCAAUCACGAUCCAUCCCACGAACUCCGUCCUGAUCUCGUACCGAACGGAUGGAACCUCCGCAUUCAGCACUCGUACAACUCGGUGAAGAUCUCCACCUUCUUGAUCUAGCAAGAGGGGCGAAGAGGUAGCUGAAUUCUACGGCAGCGCGAUGGCAUGACGGUGAUGGUGGUGGAGCUUACUCCAGUAGGGCUUCGCCGUGCCAGACUAAUCUAGCUACUGGGGUGUCGAAGUUGUGGAGGAGGAGAGGGCUACACUUUGGCUUGAGUCCCAAAAUCCUCUCUCCCCUCCAUUAUAUAUAGGAGGGAGGGAGGGGCGGCGCCCUAGGGAAACCCUAGGGUUUCUAUCGAUGCAAGAGGGAGGAGGGAGGAGUCCUCCUCCAAUUCCACUUGGAAGGAGGAGUCCUUCCUUCCCAAAAUCAGAUUGCCCCUCUCCUUGCCUUUUCUCCUAUUUCGGCCGACCUAGGCCUUCUUGGGAUGGACACCAACCCACUAGGAACUGGUGUGCCACCCUUGGGCCCCUUUUGGUCUUCUCCCGGGUGAGUGGCCCCUCCGAGCAGAACUCCGGGACCCAUUCGUCAUUCCCGAUAUGUCACCGGUAAUGCCCAAAAACCUUCCCAAAGCCAAAUUGAUACUUCCUAUAUAUCAAUAUUUGUCUUCGGACCAUUCCGGAAACCCUCGUGACGUCCGGGAUCUCAUAUGGGACUCCGAACAACCUUCGGUUACCAACAUCAAUUAUUCAGCUAUACCGAAACAUCACCGAACCUUAAGUGUAUAGACCGUGCGGGUUCAAGAACUAUGUAGACAUGACCGAGACACUCUCCGGUCAUUAUCCAAUAGCGGGACCUGGAUGCCCAUAUUGGAUCCUACAUAUUUUAUGAAGAUCUUAUUGGUUGAACCUCUAUGUCAAGGAUUCAUUUAAUCCCGUAUGUCAUUCCCUUUGUCCUUCCGUCUGUUACCGACAAGUCUCUUUACACGUUCCGUAAUAUAAGAUCCCGUGGCUAACUCUUUAAUCACAUUGCUUGCAAGGCUUGUUUGUGAUGUUCUAUUACCGAGUGGGCCCCGAGAUACCUCUCCAUCACACGGAGUGACAAAUCCCAGUCUUUAUUCAUGCUAACUCAACAGACACCUUCGGAGAUACAUGUAGAGCACCUUUCUGAUCCCGUUAUCAAGUGACAACACUUGUCUUUGCCUAGGAAACCUUAACCAUCCUUGAUCAACGAGCUAGUCAACUAGAGGCUUACUAGGGACAAUGUUUUGUCUACAUAUCCACACAUGUAUCUAUGUUUCCAUUCAAUACAAUUAUAGCAUGGAUAAUAAACAAUUAUCUUGAAAUAGGAAAUAUAGUAAUAACUAUUUUAUUAUUGCCUCUAAGGCAUAUUUGCAAUAGUCUCCCACUUGCACUAGAGUUAAUAAUCUAGUAUCACAUCUCUAUGUGAUUUACAGUGUAACAAAUUUAACACCCAUAUAGUUCUGGUGUUGGUCAUGUUUAGAUCGUGGAAGAGGCUUAGUCAGUGGGUGUGCAACACUAGGAUUCGUGUGCACUUUGCAAGUAGUUAUGUCCUCCUCCUUGAUGUACCCCCAGAUGGCAUUGAUGCGUCGUUUUAUGUGUCUAGUCCUCUUGUGAAACCUUGGUUCCUUGGCUAGAGCAAUGGCACCAGUGUAUUUCACAUAACAGAUUUAUUGGAUCUAGUGCACUCGGCACAACUCAAAGAUCUGUCAUGAACUGCUACAUCCCGACAGCCUCCUUAGCCACCUCUAAGGAAGCUAUGUACUCCGCUUCGCAUGUAGAAUCAACUACGACGCUUUGCUUGGAACUGCACUAGCUUACCGCACACCCUUUAAGAAUAAAUAGUCAUUCAGAUCAGUGUCGAAGCUUGCAUCUACAUAACCCUUUAUGACGAGCUCUUCAUCACCUCCAUAAACGAGAAACAUUUCCUUAGUCCUUUUCAGGUACUUCAGAAUAUUCUUGACCGCUAUCCAGUGCUCCACUCGUGGAUCACUUUGAAACCUGCCUGUCAUACUUAUGGCAAGGCUGACAUCCGGUCUUGUGCACAACAUUCCAUACAUGAUAGACCCUAUGGCCGAAGCAUAGGGGAUGACAUUCAUCGUUUCUCUACCUUCUCCAGUUACUGGGCAUUGAGUCUUACUCUACUUUAUGCCUUGUAACACAGGCAAGAACCCCUUCUUGGAUUGUUCCAUUUUGAACUUCUUCAAAACUUUAUCAAGGUAUGUGCUUUGUGAAAGUCCUAUUAUGCGCCUUGACCUAUCUCUAUAGAUCUUGAUGCCCAAUAUGUAAGCACCUUCUCCCAGGUCCUUCAUUGAAAAAAUCUUAUUCAAGUAAUCCUUAGUGCUCCCCAAAAAUUCUAUAUUGUUUCCAAUCAGCAAUAUGUCAUCCAUAUAUAAUAUUAGAAAAGCUAUAGAGAUCCCACUCACUUUCUUGUAAAUACAACCUUCUCCAAAAACUUUUAUAAACCCGAACGCUUUGAUCACCUCAUCAAUACGUUGAUUCCAACUCCGAGAUGCUUGCAUGAGUCCAUAAAUGGAUCGAUGGAGCUUGCAUACUUCGUUAGCAUUCUCUGGAUCAAUAAAACCUUUGGGUAGCAUCAUAUAUAAUUCUUCCUUAAGAAACCAAUUAAGGAACGCCAGUUUUGACAUCCAUCUGCCAGAUUUCAUAAUCAAAAAAUGCAUCUAUUACUAACAUGAUUCGGAUAGACUUAAGCAUCACGGGUGAGAAUGUCUCACCGUAGUAAACUCCUUGAACUAGUGAAAAACCCUUUGCCACAAGUCGAGCUUUAUAAACGAUCACAUUACCGUCCGCGUCUGUCUUCUUCUUAAAGAUCCAUUUGUUCUGAAUAGCCUUUCGUCCUUCAGGUAAUACUUCCCAAGUCCAUACUUUCUUUUCAUACAUAGAUCCUACCUCUGCUUCUAACCAUCUGUUGGAAUCCGGGCCCACCAUUGCGUCUCCAUAAUUCGCAGGCACAUUGUCAUCUAACAAUAUGAUUGACAAGACACGACCACUCAAGAGCAGUAUGUGCCCUUGUCGACCUAUGAGGUUUGAUAGCAACUUGAUUCAAAGUUUCAUGAUCACCAUCAUUAGCUUCCUCUUCAACUGGUGUUGCUUCGACAUAAAUUUCUUUCUACCCUGCGCGACCAUCUUCUUGAAGUAGAGGUUCUACAACCUCAUCAAGUUCUAUCUUCCUCCCACUGAAUUCUUUCGAGAGAAACUCUUUCUCAAGAAAAGCUCAGUUCUUGGCGACAAAUAAUUUCCCUUAGAUCUGAGAUAGAAGGUAUUGGGGAACGUUGCAUGAGAAACAAAAAAUUUCCUACGCACACGAAGACCUAUCAUGGUGAUGAUCAUCUACGAGAGGGAGAUCAGCUCUACAUACCCUUGUAGAUCGCUAAGCGGGAAGCGUUAAGAAACGCGGUUGAUGUAGUGGAACUUCUUCGGGAUCCAAAUCGCCGCCGUCCCACGAUCCGUCCCGAUCUAGCACCGAACGGAUGGCACCUCCGUGUUCAGCACACGUACAGCUCGAUGAUGAUCUCCGCCUUCUUGAUACAGCAAGAUAAACAGGGAAGUAGAUGAGUUCUCUGGCAGCGUGAUGGUGCACCGGUAAUGGUGGAGAUCUAUUCCUGCAGGGCUUUGCCUAAGAACUACAGAAUUCUCGUACCACUCGGGAGCAGUACGUCCUCUUGUCAACCUGCGAGGUCCGACAGUAACUUGAUCUGAAGCUUCAUGAUCAUCAUCAUUAGCUUCCUCUUCAAUUGGUGUUGCCUCGACGGAAAUUUCUUUCUGCCCUGCGCCACCAUCUUGUUGAAGCACAGGUUGUGUAACCUCAUCAAGUUGUAUCUUCCUCCCACUCAAUUCUUUCAAAAGAAACUCUUUCUCAAGGAAAUCUCGGUUCUUAGUGACAAACACUUUGCCCUCGGAUCUGAGAUAGAUGGUAUACCCAACUGUCUCUUUUGGGUAACCUAUGAAGACACACUUUUCCACUUUGGGUUCCAGCUUUUCAAGCUGAAUCUCUUUGACAUAAGCAUCAAAUCCCCAAACUUUAAGAAACGACAACUUUGGCUUCUUGCCAUACCAUAGCUCAUAUGGUGUCAUCUCAACGGAUUUUGAUUGUGCCCUAUUUAAAGUGAAUGCAGCUGUCUCUAAUGCAUAGCCCCAAAACGAUAAUGGCAAAUCGGUAAGAGACAUCAUAGAUCGCACCAUAUCUAACAAAGUACGAGUAUGAUGUUCGGACACACCAUUACGCUGUGGUGUUCCUCGCGGUGUCAACUGUGAAACAAUUCUAAAUUGUCUUAAGUGAGCACCAACUCGUAACUCAGAUAUUCUCCUCCUCGAUCAGAUCGUAGGAAUUUGAUCUUCUUGCUACGACGAUUUUCAACUUCACUCUGAAAUUGUUUAAACUCUUCAAACGUUUUAGACUUGUGCUUCAUCAAGUAGUUAUAGCCAUACCUACUCAAAUCGUUAGUGAAAGUGAGAAAAUAACGAUAUCCGCCGUGCACCUCUAUGCUCAUUGGUCCGCACACAUCAGUAUGUAUGAUCUCCAAUAAGUCACUCGCACGCUCCAUUGUUCCAAAGAACAGAGUCUUAGUCAUCUUGCCCAUGAGAUAUGGUUCGCAUGUGUCAAGUGAUUCAAAAUCAAGUGACUCCAAAACUCCAUCAACAUGGAGUUUCUUCAUGCGCUUAACGCCAACAUGACCUAAGCGGCAGUGCCACAAGAAAGUGGCGUUAUCACUGUUAACUCUACAUCUUUUGGUCUCAAUGUUAUGGAUAUGAGUUUCAUCACAAUCGAGAUUCAAUAUGAACAAACCCCUCACAUUGGGUGCAUGACCAUAAAAGAUGUUACUCAUAUAAAUAGAACAACCAUUAUUCUCAGACUUAAAUCUAUAACCGUCUCGCAAUAAACAAGAUCCAAAUAUAAUGUUCAUGCUCAACGCAGGCACUAAAUAACAGUUAUUUAAGUUCAUAACUAAUCCCGAUGGUAACUAAAGUAAGACCGUGCCGACGGCGAUCGCAUCAACCUUCGAACCAUUUCCCACGCGCAUCAUCACUUAAUCCUUAGCCAGCCUUCGUUUAUUCCGCAGUUCCUGUUUCAAGUUGAAAAUGUGAGCAACAGAACCGGUAUCAAAUACCCAGACACUACUACGAGAGUUGGUGAGGUACACAUCAAUAACAUGUAUAUCAUAUAUACAUUGUUUGGCGUUGGCCACCUUCUUAUCGGCCAAAUACUUGGGACAGUUGCACUUCCAGUGACCAGUCCCCUUGCAAUAGUAGCACUCAGUUUCCAGCUUAGGCCCAGCCUUGGGUUUCUUUGUCGGAGGGGCAACAAAUUUGCUAGUCUUCUUGGAGUUACCCUUCUUUCCUUUGUCAUUCUUCUUGAAACUAGUUGUCUUAUUGACCAUCAACACUUGAUGUUCUUUCUGGAUUUCUGACUCAGCGACUUUUAGCAUCGCAAAUAAUUCGUCGGGUGACUUAUUCAUCCCUUGCAUGAUAUAGUUCAACACGAAGAUCUUGUAGCUAAGUGGUAGUGAUUGAAGAUUUCUGUCAGUGGUAGCUUCUUGCGGGAGAGCGAUCCCCAGCUCAGCUAGACGGUUUGAGUACACAGACAUUUUGAGCACAUGUUCACCGACAAACGAAUUCUACUCCAUUUUGCAAGCAUAGAAUUUAUUGGAAGUCUCAUACCUCUUGAUCCGGGCAUUCUUCUCAAAGAUAAACUUCAACUCCUGAAACAUCUCAUAUGCUCCUUGAGGUUCAAAAUGUCUUCGAAUUCCCGGUUCUAAGCCAUACAAAACUACACAUUGAAGUAGUGAGUAGUCAUCCUUACGAGCUUGCCAAGCGUUCAAAACAUCUUGGUCAGCCGUAGCAGGUGGUUCAUCUCCUAGCGCUACAUCAAGGACAUAAUUGGUUUGCCCAACUUGGAGGAUAAGCCUCAGAUUUCGAGCCCGGUCUACAAAGUUGCUACCAUCAUCUUUCAACUUAGCUUUCUCUAGGAACGUAUUGAAAUUCAGGGUUGCUCCUGCGGGAGCCAUUGAUCUACAACAUAAAAUUUUGCAAAUAUUACUUACACUAUGCUCAAGACAAUUGAGUUUAGCUAAUCAUAUUACUAAUAAACUCCCACUCAAAUCGACAUACCUCUAGUCGUUCGAGUGUCGCAUUAUCCAAAUUCACUAACUCAAGUCCGAUCAUCACGUGAGUUGAGUAUAGUUUCAGUGGUGAACAUCUCCAUGUUGAUCAUAUCCACUAUAUGAUUCAUGCUCGACCUUUUGGUCUCUUGUGUUCUAAGGCCAUGUCUGUACAUGCUAGGCUCGUCAAGUUUAACCCGAGUGUUCCACGUGUGCAACUGUUUUCCACCCGUUGUAUGUGAACCUUGAGUCUAUCACACCCGAUCAUCACGUGGUGUCUCGAAACGACGAACUGUAGCAACGGUGCACAGUGGGGGAGAACACAAUUUUAUCUUGCAAUUUUAGUGAGGGUUACCUUAUAAUGCUACCGUUGUUCUAAGCAAAAUAAGGUGCAUAAAAGGAUUAACAUCACAUGAAAAUCAUAAGUGACAUGAUAUGGCCAUGGUCUUGUGCUUCUUGAUCUCCAUAACCAUAGCACCGGCAUGAUCUUCAUCGUCACCGGCGCCUCACGAUGAUAUCCAUCAUCAUGAUCUCCAUCAUUGUGCCGCCAUCGAGGUUGUCAUGCUAUCUAUGCUAUUACUACUAAAGCUACUACCUAGCAAUAUAGUAAAUGCAUCUACAAGCACAAACGCUAGUUUAAAGACAACCCUAUGGCAACUGUCGGUUGCCGUAGCAUCGACAUGCAAGUUGAUAUUUAAUUAUUACAACAUGGUCAUCUCAUACAUCCAAUAUGUCACAUCAUGUCUUUAGCCAUAUCACAUCACAUGCAUACCCUGCAAAAACAAGUUAGACAUCCUCGAAUUUUUUGUUGCAUGUUUUACGUGGCUGCUAUGGGUAUCUAGUAUGAUCUCACAUUACUUACGCAAAGCCACAACGGUGAGAUGCAAAUUGCUAUUUAACCUUCUCCAAGGACCGCCUCGUUAAAAUCCGAUUCAACUAAAGUUUCAGAAACAGACACCCGCCAGUCAUAUUGAUGCAACAAGUUGCAUGUCAUUCAAUGAAACCGGUCUCUCGUAAGCGUACAAGUAAGGUUGGUCCGGGCCGCUUCAAUAUAACAAUACCGCUGAAUCGAGAAAAUACUAAGGAGGGCAGCAAACAGAACAUCUACGCCCACAAACUCUUUUAUGUUCUACUCGAGAUUUCAUCUAUGCAUGAACCUAGCUCAUGAUGCCACUGUUGGGGAACGUUGCAUGGGAAACAAAAAAUAUCCUACGCACAAGAAGACCUAUCAUGGUGAUGAUCAUCUACGAGAGGGAGAUCGGAUCUACAUACCCUUUUAGAUCGCUAAGUGGGAAGCAUUAAGAAACGCGGUUGAUGUAGUGGAACGUCUUCACGAUCCAAAUCACCGCCGUCCCACGAUUCAUCCCGAUCUAGCACCGGACGGACGACACCUCCGUGUUCACCACACGUACAGCUCGAUGACAAUCUCCGCCUUUUUGAUUGAGCAAGAGAGACGGGGAAGUAGAUGAGUUCUCCAGCAGCAUGACGGCGCACCGGUGAUGGUGGUGAUCUAUUCCUGCAGGGCUUCCCCUAAGCAUCGUAGAAAUCCGAUCUAAAGGAAGAACUACAAACUAGAGGAGAGGGUUGCACGUGGCUAAAAUUGUGUCUCAAAACCCUCAAACCUCUAGUAUAUAUAGGAGGAAGGAGGGGCUAGGCUUGCGCACCACGGGAGCCUCCCUUGGGCUCGGCCGAACAAGGAGAGGAGGAGUCCUCCUCCAAUCCUACUUUGAUUAGGACUCCUCCCCAAGUUGUCCUCUUUUGGUUUUUCCACCUUUUACCUCAUGGGAUUUCUUUGGUUGACUAGUCAGCCCAUCAAGGGCUGUUCCGCCACCAUCAAGUCCACGUGGCCCCCUUGGGGAGUGGUGGGCCCACUUGGUGGACCCCUAUACUCAUUCGUCAAUCCGGGUACAUUGUGGGUAAUGCAUGAAAUCCUUCCAGAAUCCAAAUACCAACUUCAUAUAUAUGAAUCUUCAUUUCCGGACCAUUCCGGAACUCCUCGUGACGUCUGAGAUCUCAUCUGGGACUCCGAACAGAACUUCAGUCACAAGCACCUACAACUCAACUAUACCGAAAUGUCACCGAACCUUAACUUUGCAGACCCUGCGGGUUUGAGAACUAUGUAUACAUGACAUGAGACACUCUCCGGUCAAUAUCCAAUAGCGGGACCUGGAUGUCUAUAUUCGAUCCUACAUAUUCUACGAAGAUCUUAUCGGUUGAACCUCUAUGUCAAGGAUUCAUAUAAUCCCGUAUACCAUUCCCUUUGUCCUUCGGUAUGUUACUUGCCCGAGAUUCGAUCGUCGGUAUCUCCAUACCUAUUUCAAUCUCAUUAGCGGCAAGUCUCUUUACUCGUUCCAUAAUACAAGAUCCCGUGGCUAACUCUUUAGCCACAUUGCUUGCAAGGCUUGUAUGUGAUGUUGUAUUACCGAGUGGGCCCCGAGAUACCUCUCCGUCACAUGGAGUCACAAAUCCCAGUCUUGAUCCAUGCUAACUCAACGGACCCCUUCGAAGAUGCCUGUAGAGUACCUUUAUAGUCACGCAGUAACGUUGCGACAUUUGAUACACACAAGGCAUUCCUCCGGUGUCAGUGAGUUACAUGAUCUCAUGGUCAUAGGAAUGAAUACUUGACAUGCAGAAAACAAUAGCAACAAAAUGACACUAUCAUAUGCUACGUUUAUAGGUUGGGUCUUGUCCAUCACAUCAUUCCCCUAAUGAUGUGAUCUCGUCAUCAAGUGACAAAACUUGUCUAUGGCUAGGAAACCUUAACCAUCCUUGAUCAGUAGGUUAGUCAACUAGAGGCUCACUAGGGACAUACUUUUGUCUAUAUAUCCACACAUGCAUUUAUGUUUCCAUACAAUAAAGUUAUAGCAUGGAUAAUAAAUGAUUAUCUUGAAACAGGAAAUCUGAUAAUAACUAUUUUAUUAUUGCCUCUAGGGCAUAUUUUCAGCAGAAGGUAUACCCAACUAUCUCUUUUGGGUAACCUAUGAAGACACACUUUUCUGCUUUGGGUUCCAGCUUUUCAGGCUANNNNNNNNNNNNNNNNNNNNNNNNNNNNNNNNNNNNNNNNNNNNNNNNNNNNNNNNNNNNNNNNNNNNNNNNNNNNNNNNNNNNNNNNNNNNNNNNNNNNUGACUAUAAAGAUGCUCUACAGGUAUCUCCGAAGGUGUUCGUUGAGUUAGUAUGGAUCAAGACUGGGAUUUGUCACUCCGUGUGACGGANNNNNNNNNNCUGCAUGUCAAGUAUUUGUUCCUAUGACCAUGAGAUCAUAUUACUCACUGACACCGGAGGAAUACUUUGUGUGUAUCAAACGUCGCAACGUAACUGGGUGACUAUAAAGAUGCUUUACAGGUAUCUCCGAAGGUGUUCGUUGAGUUAGUAUGGAUCGAGACUGGGAUUUGUCACUCCGUGUGACGGAGAGGUAUCUCGGGGCCCACUCGGUAAUACAAACAUCACACACAAGCCUUGCAAGCAAUGUGACUUAGUGUAAGUUGAGGGAUCUUGUAUUACGGAACGAGUAAAGAGACUUGCCGGUAAACGAGAUUGAAAUAGGUAUACAGAUACUGAUGAUCGAAUCUCGGGCAAGUAACAUACCGAAGGACAAAGGGAAUGACAUACGGGAUUGUAUGAAUCCUUGGCACUGAGGUUCAAACGAUAAGAUCUUCGUAGAAUAUGUAGGAUCCAAUAUGGGCAUCCAGGUCACGCUAUUGGAUAUUCACCGAGGAGUCUCUCGGGUCAUGUCUACAUAGUUCUCGAACCCGCAGGGUCUGCACACUUAAGGUUCGACGUUGUUUUAUGCGUAUUUGAGUUAUAUGGUUGGUUACCGAAUGUUGUUCGGAGUACCGGAUGAGAUCAUGGACAUCACGAGGGUUUCCGGAAUGGUCCGGAAACGAAGAUUGAUAUAUAGGAUGACCUCAUUUGAUUACCGGAAGGUUNNNNNNNNNNUAGGUCCCUCUAUUGGAUAUUGACCGAGGAGUCUCUCGGGUCAUGUCUAUAUACAUAGUUCUCGAAACCGCAGGGUCUGCACACUUAAGGUUCGACAUUGUUUUAUGCGUAUUUGAGUUAUAUGUUUGGUUACCGAAUGUUGUUCGGAGUCCCGGAUGAGAUCACGGACGUAACGAGGGUUUCCGGAAUGGUCCGAAAACGAAGAUUGAUAUAUAGGAUGACCUCAUUUGAUUACCGGAAGGUUNNNNNNNNNNGUCGGAGUCCCGGAUGAGAUCACGGACGUCACGAGGGUUUCCGGAAUGGUCCGGAAAUGAAGAUUGAUAUAUAGGAUGACCUCAUUUGAUUACCGGAAGGUUUUCGGAGUUACCGGGAAUGUACCGGGAAUGACGAAUGGGUUCCGGGAGUUCACCGGGGGGGGGGGGCAACCCACCCCGGGGAAGCCCAUAGGCCUUGGGGGUGGCACAUCAGCCCUUAGUGGGCUGGUGGGACAGCCCAAGAAGGCCCUAUGCGCCAUAGAAAAAAAUGAAAGAGAAAAUAAAAAAAAGGAGGAGGUGGGAAAGGAAAGAAGGACUCCACCCACCAAACCAAGUAGGACUCGGUUUGGGGGGGGGGAGACCUUCCCCCCUUGGCUCGGCCGACCCCCUUGGGGCUCCUUGAGCCCCAAGGCAAGGCUCCCCCUCUCCCACCUAUAUAUACGGAGGUUUUAGGGCUGAUUUGAGACGAGUUUUCCACGGCAGCCCGACUACAUACCUCCACGGUUUUUCCUCUAGAUCACGUUUCUGCGGAGCUCGGGCGGAGCCCUGCUGAGACGAGAUCAUCACCAACCUCCGGAGCGCCGUCACGCUGCCGGAGAACUCUUCUACCUCUCCGUCUCUCUUGCUGGAUCAAGAAGGCCGAGAUCAUCNNNNNNNNNNNNNNNNNNNNNNNNNNNNNNNNNNNNNNNNNNNNNNNNNNNNNNNNNNNNNNNNNNNNNNNNNNNNNNNNNNNNNNNNNNNNNNNNNNNNAAGCUUUACCUUCUGGCCCUGAUGCACGCUGGCAUGGCCGUGAGAUUCCAGCUGGCUUUGCUAAAGUCGGGGUGGAUGAAAUCAUGACGGGGUUUAAUGAUAUGGAGCUCGACAUAGCUGGACCCGAAGAUAAGAGGACACUCGGAGAAGUACUGGGUGGAGUCAUCCUAUGGGACAAGAACUACAUCAAGCUUCCAGGCUCGGCCCCAAGGACAACACCGCCUCCGAGUCGUCGCAGGUCACCUACACCUCCAUUACCUCCAAGCCCUCCACAUGACGUCGUCCAGCACAACACGAGUCCAUCUCGAUCACCGCCGCCGGACUUGGGUCGUCCGUCUCCGCCGCCGCCUGCUCCGGAUACAAAGCGGGAGCGUGCCACCAAGAACGCUCCGCCGACGAUUCCUAAGCCACAGAGCACCCCAAAGCGCAAACGGUUUCCCCUCCCAAAGGUACGUCAUGCUAAUCUUCCUAUCAGACCUUAUGAUCGUACCCCCGAGGAAAACGCCAGGAUAGCAAAGGAACAUUAUGAUGUGCAGAUGAAAAAGAAGGAACCCAAUCCCCGCCCGGAAUACACCGAGAAGCAAAUAGCAUUUGCAAAAUACUUCACGACCCUUCCAUCACAGUAUGACGACGAAGGUCCUACCAGAGCAAUGCGCGAUUGCUGUUGCAGAGGAGCUUGCGACCUUUCUGAGGACGGAAACUAUAGAUGACAAAGGACGAUAUAGUGUAGCUAGGGGGCAUUACUGAUAUUCGUCCAUGUAAUCGAAUAGACGGGCUCUAGUCCCGAUAAUUCAGAUCUCCAUAUAAUUGUAUAUAUAUAUGCUCGCUUGUAAGAUAAGUUAACCUUAUAUAUAUAUAUAUGUAUAAUUAUUUCUAUAUAAAUUAUAUGAAAACUAAUUCUCGAACACCAAACGAGGCAUCACGUUAAUCUCCCGAACACCUAAACCCUAAAACCCAAAAAUAAUUUCAUUCAAAAAAAACCCCGAAAAUAAGCAAAAUCUGAAACUCUUUAGUUCCGGCCCGUGUAACGAACCGGGACUAAAGGUCCUGCCCCUGGGGCGCUACAAGGCGCCCACGUGGAGCACCUUUAGACCCGGCUUGUAACAGGGCCGGGACUAAAGGUUAGGCCUUUAGUCCCGGUUGGUGAACCGGGACUAAAGCCCCUUACGGGCCGGGGCUAAAGGCCCCGUCCCCACUAGUGAUAGUGGAUACUAGGGAUCAAAACCCAUCAAAACUAACUCGAUUACAUGAUAGAUCUCAUCCAACCCAUCACCGUCCAGCAAGCCUACGAUCGAUGAGAUUACUCACGAACGGUGAAGAGCAUCAUGGAAUUGGCGAUGAAGGAUGGUUGAUGAUGACGAUGACGUCGAUCUCCCCUCUCCGGACCCUAGAACGGACUCCAGAUCUGCCCUCCAGAGGAAGAACAAGUGGUGGCGACGGCUCCGUAUCUUAAAACGCGAUGAACUCUUCUCCUUUUAUUUUUUCUGGGCGAGAUAGACUAUAUAGUGCUCGAGUUGGAGGCGGCGGAGCCACGAGGGCCUCACAAGCCUGCCAAGCGCGGCUAGGGGGCCACGCCUCCUGGGCUUGUGGGCUCCUGGCUCCGUCCCUCCACGUAAUUCUUGCGUCAGUAUUUUUUAUAUAUUCGACAAAAAAUCCUCGUAAAUUUCCAGGUCAUUCCGAGAACUUUUAUUUUUGCGUAAAAACAACACCAUGGCAAUUCUGCUAAAAACAACGUCAGUCCGGGUUGGUGCCAUUCAAAUCAUGCAAAUUAGAGUUCAAAACAAGGGCAAAAGAGUUUGAAAAAGUAGAUACGGUGGAGACGUAUCAGUGAUCAAAUGUUAUUACUGCAAAAAUAAAUACGUAAAAUUCAUAUAUUGUGCUCAUAAAACAACAUACAACUAUGUAAAACAUUUAAAUGCAAGAACAAAUGUGAUCAACAUCACAACUAAGGUAACAAUUGACCCAACAUCAUAAUGAUACCAAGCCUCUUUAUCAAUGGCAUAUUUUCUAAUAUUCCUAAUCUCUAACCACACUUCAUCCAUCUUCAAGCGCAUUGCGUCCAUCUUCAAUCGCAUUGCAUCCAUCUUGAUCUUGUGAUCAACGACGACAUCGGCAACAUACAACUCCAAUUCCAUAUUCUUCUCUUUAAUUUUUUCUAUUUUUUUCUUCAAGUAACUAUUUUCUUUUUCAACUAAAUUUAACCUCUCGACAAGAGGGUCGGUUGGAGUUUCCGGUUCACAUACCUCCUAGAUAAAAACAUCCAUGUCACGUUGGUCGGCAUAAUUGUCAUAAACACUAAAUAAAACAAAUAGUUAUAAAAGAAAAUAUAGCACGUCUCAAUCAUAGGCCGGACGAGGACCGACGUGUGUGCAUACCAAUACCAUCGCACUAUAUAAUAACAAACAAUAAUAAAAGUAAGAAAUUUACACAAGUAUCUAUCUAAAUCAUACCAGUAAGAUUUUAUUUAGAAAGAAGAUAAGAACAAGAGGCUCACCAUGGUGGUGCCGGCGAUGGGAUCGAUUGUGCAUCUAAAUCAAAAGAACUCCCACAUACACUCCUACACUAAAACCCACAAGCACUCUACUUCUAGAGCAUUUAAAAUUAGCUAAACUAGCGGUGAGCGAUGAAAGAAUGAAGUAGCUAACCUUUUAGAACACUUGUGUAGUUGCUGCACCACCAAACCUAGACAAAUCUUGAGGAAAAUGGAGCUUGGAGGUCGAGCUUGGAGAGGAGAAAGCUUAAGUGUGGCUCGGGCAUUUCAUCGAACACCUCAUGUGCAUGCAUAGAACGGUGAACAUAGCAGGGCAUGCACACCUCCCACAUGGCCAAAAAACAGAGGAGAGGGUGGGCAGGGGCGAGGGUAUAUAUAAGUAUCUCUUUGGUCCCGGUUGGUGGCCAGAACCGGGACAGAAGACUGACUUUUAGUCCCGGUUCCACCCACCAACCGGGACUAAAGGUGCUGCGCGAGGAGUGAGGACCAUUGGUCUCGGUUCGUGUAUGGAACCAGGACCAAAGGAGUCAGACGAACCGGGACCCUGGCCCAGCCGACGCCCUGGCCUCAUGAACAGGGACUGAUAUGGUCCCGGUUCGUAACAGAAUCGGGAUUAAAUCUCUUAUCUCGCCUCGACCAAAGCCCUGUUUUCUACUAGUGUUGAUUUUCUGCUCGGACACAUGCCACUCCUUUCUCUUCGCACGUCAUCAAAUUUGUGAAAGAUUCAUCGUUAUUUUUUUCCAACAAAAUUGUAUUAUCUCAUCGUACAAACUUUCCCGGUCCCAGGUAGAGGUCAGUUGCAUUCUAGAAAAAAGUAAUGGUGCUCACUCAUGAGUGAAUCUAGCAUCGAUACGACAUCUUAUGUUAGACAUUUUUAUAUGAUGACUUUGUAUUAAAAAUGGCAUCUUAAGAUACCUUAGUUUGUGCUUUGCUUCGCAUUCGAGAGGUUUUUGGAUCCACCACAGGUGAUUAGACAAGGUGCUAAGUGCAUCGAAGGACUUAUGAACUAAACUCACAUAUGCAUGUACAUAACUUAGCUUUUUCUAGCUAAGAUUUCUCCAUUUUAUGGUUUAGCAACAAAAUUCCGCAUGCAUAUGAUAUUUUGCAUAGAUUUACUCGUUUGACAUUGUUGUUUCUUCCUUGGGUCUUCAUGCUAUCUCUUCUUCUAAUUAAUUACUUUGCUACAUUAACUUUUUGCCGAUGUGACACUUUUAGCACCGUGGAGCGCUGAAAAGGCCCUAAAGCACAUAAGGACAAGAACUAGCUAACUGCCCAAAAGUUUCGGUUUUGAGAGAUGCAUUACCAUGUGAACUGUGGUCGCAGAUGGUUUGAUACAAACAUGUUUGCUUGCACGUAUUUCAUAACCAUCAUCUUUAUCAUACACUUGACCAAAUUUCUCUUGGGAUGGAUGACAGCCAUAAGGUCGCCUUUUUUCCAUUGCCGCCUGUGAUUAACGACACUUUGUUUUCAUUGCCAAAGUCGGCUCCUUGGCAUGGCAAGAAGGACAAGGUACAAUAUUUGUCCAUAAGCUCUUUUAAAAAGUAUCAUGUUUAAGGAGUGAUAUGCAACUAGAAACCGAUUUUGUCAUUGUCGCAUGUGGUUAAUGAUUGUGAGUGGAGUUUAGAAGAGGAGUGAAGUAGAGUUUAGAGGUGGAGUGUAGCACUUCAAACACACUCGUAGUUAACAGCUAAGAGGUUUUGUUUUUCGUCCGGCUGGCAUGAACACGUAACAUUUACCUACAACAACCAUCGCUUGGACAUCCUGUGUGCCACAACCACCAUCUCCUAUAACUAAGAGCCAUCCAAGCCUAGUCUCAGUAAUCCCAUCAACCAAAGCCUGUGUUCUACAAGACAGCCAACCAGCCAUGGGCCUCAAGGGUGUGAUGGUGUGUUUACUUAUACUGGGGUUGGUUCUCGAACAGGUGCAAGUAGAAGGCAAGAGUUGCUGCAGGAGCACCCUAGGAAGAAACUGCUACAAUCUUUGCCGCGUCCGUGGUGCUCAGAAGCUAUGCGCAGGCGUCUGUAGGUGUAAACUCACAAGUAGCGGAAAAUGCCCUACAGGCUUCCCCAAAUUGGCCCUUGUGUCCAACUCAGGUAAAGGGAAUGAACUCCUUAUAUUCCAUAUUACUAGUUCUUUCUAAAAUAAGAUGCCAUCAUAUAAAGCGUAUGGCGAGUUAGAGUUUUCUAAGUUUUCCUAAUAAUAUAAUGAACUUUUUUAAUUUUUUUCCGAUGAUAUUUGUAUGAGUUUUUCCAUGAACAACGUUUCCAUAAAUAUAAGUUUUCGUAUUUUUUUACCAACAAGUAUUUUUUUCGAAAGGCUGUCUCUUAGGAUCCGAUUCAUCAAAAAAGUUAGAAAAGAGUUGCCUGGUUACCGAAAAGUAAUUGUGAAAUAACUAAUAAAAAGCGAAUGACGGAGACGAUGCCAAUAUCAAAGACGAUAAUGUAUUGUAAGAGAGGAAUUGUUUGUCUUAUACGCGAUUAUAUUUACAUGCUAGAUGUUUUAUUUUGACAGAUGAACCAGACACCGUCAAGUAUUGCAACUUGGGGUGUAGGGCUUCCAUGUGUGACUACAUGGUCAACGCAGGUAAAUAAAAUUCAUCUGGUAUGUGUAUUCCUGUAAACUAAUUGAAAAGGCUACUUCUUGACACAUAAUAUGCUAUAUAUUUGGGCACCAGCUGCUGACGACGAAGAAAUGAAACUCUAUUUGGAAAAUUGUGGUGAUGCUUGUGUCAAUUUCUGCAACGGUGAUGCUGGCCUCACAUCCCUUACUGCCUAAUGAUGUGUAUCCAUGGUCUGAGAUUUCACAGGGCAAGGUGUGUCUGACCUUUGCGUUCAAUAAAAUUGGAUCCCAUCGAGAGUAUCCAAACCAGUGUGUCAACCUGUUUUAUGUGUGUGUAUUUCCAUUCCUUGUUCGAAUAAAAGCCGUCAUAAUGAAUGCCAUGUUGCUGCCGUGAAGUACCGCCAUGACUGAGAUAAAAUGGUACAUGUUGUAUCAUUUGCCUGUGGAUAUAAACUUCAUGAGUACAUGCUUCAAGUAAUUUUCUCUAGUCCUUUUUUUAUUUAGGCUUGAGCACAAGUUCUGUGUUGUCGUGACGUAAGCCUGAAAUGGAUCAAUUUUUUUGCAUUUUUGGUGAGCAAUUCUCUGAGCUUUUAUUUUUACACAUGAGGCACAAGAUCUUUGACCCUUUUAUUAAUUAAGAAGCAGAUUUUGCUCGGUUAAUUAUGAAAAACCUGGCUAAAACCGAUACAAAGGUGAAGUCCACUCCCAAACAUUGAAACACACUGGGACAAGCCCACACCCGUCGACGAUGGGCUGAACACCAUAACAAACGCCAACCAUGCAAACACACAACAACGUGAAGCCCUCCUCCGCCAAGUGAGCCAACUGUCCACUGCCGCCGAAAAGAAGAAGUUAACAUUGUUAUGGGAGGAGCGGACUCAGACUCUCCCGCUGAGGUGAAGAGACAAGUACCCACAAAGACAUACAUCGGAUACACUAGAUGACAUGUCAAUGACCAACUUUGACGGCAACCUCAUCGCCCACACGAUUCUGAGAUCAAUGCAGUCCAAGCUGCCAAGCUAUCGGGGUCGCCACCCCGACAUCCACCUCUUCUCUCUACGCACUCAAUCAACACAGCCUUCCAGGACCGCCACCCCGACACAUCACCACUUUUCUCGAAUUGCAACACCUUAUGACCCAGCUGCCUACAGUCAACCGUCCAUAGACCACGUCCGUCGCACCACAUCCAUGGCCGCUGCCCCCACAUACCAUCCAACCGCCCCCGCUAGGAUGCGUCAAUCGAGCCGAAAACCCUAUUGCCCAUGCAGCCAAGGUUGUCAUCCAAGCCACGUCGAGCUGUAAACCUGCUUCAUGGAGCUGCCGCCGCAUUCUACGAGAAUGCACUUCACAUAUUAGUUUUGAUCUUUUGUUGAACUAUUUUUUGUUGAACUAUUUUAGGAUCGAGUGCAAAUUGUCAUAUGUCUAUCAUAUAAUCCAUAAUCUUUAGACUUUAAUGUUGGGGUUUUUCCUUUGGCACAUAUCCUGGUAAUAUUUAUGGCAUUCAACAAACAAGUUCGGGCUAGUACUACAUAUAAAAGCGCUAACUUCUCUACACUAUUACAUUAUUACAAGGACAUUUCGGUCGCACUCGAGCUGUCAUAGGACUCAAGUGAAUUGACUAGUCGAGUACCUACAAGACUAGUAUACACUAGUAGAAAAUGAGGCUUUCGGUCGGAGGCCCAAAUCCCAGUAGCCCUGGUCCAAGUGAAACCGAGACCAAUGUGAGGCAUUGGUCCUGGUUCGAGCUGCCAGAGCCUCACGGGGCAAUAGUCCUGAUUAGGUUCGAUGCAUUAGUCCCGGUUCGUCCCUAAAAUCAGGACUAAAGAUCCAGCGACUGACACGUGGCGUUCCGCGGAGCAUUAGUCUUGGUUGGGAGCUGGAACCGGGACUAAUGGUUAGUCUUCUGUCCCGGUUCCGGCCACAAACCGGGACCAAAGAGAUGCCUAUAUAUACCCGCGCCCUGCCCACCCUCUUCUUUGUUUUUUGGCCUAGGUCUGCAUGCAUGCCAUGCUCUUGUUGCCACCCUUCUAUGCAUGCACAUGAGGUGUUGGAUGACAUGCCCGAGACACACUUAAGCUUUCUCCUCUCCAAGCUCGACCUCGAAGCUCCAUUUUCCUUAAUAUUUGUCUAGGUUUGGCGGUGCACCAACUACACAAGUGUUUUAGAAGGUUAGCUACUUCAUCCUUUCAUCUCUCACUGCUAGUUUCGCUCAUUUCAAAUGCUCUAGAAGUAGAGUGGUUUGUGGGUUUUAGUGUAGGAGUGUAUGUGGGAUUUUGUUUUUAUUUAGAUGCAAAAUUUGAGCUUAAAUUAACUUCUUAGAGUCUGCACAUGUGUAAGGUACCGUCCCAUACCCGUCCUCACCAUCAUCGAUCGCCCGCACCGAUCUCGUCACCAGCACCACCGUGGUGAGCCUCUUGUUCUUAUCUUUUUUUUAAAACAAAAAAAAAUUCUCAUUUGUAUGAUUUAGAUAGAUACUUGUAUAAAUUACUUACUUUUAUUAUUUUUUGUAAUUAUAUAGCGCAAUGGUUUUGCUAUCCGCUCAUGUCGACCCUCGUUCGGCCUAUGAUUCGGACAUGGUAUAUUUUCUUUUAUCAUUAUUUGUUUCAUUUAGUGUUUAUGACGACAAUUAUGCCGACCAACGUGACAUGAAUAUUUUUAUCUAGGAUGUAUGUGAACCGGAAAUUCCAAUCGACCCUCUUGUCGAGAGGUAAAAUUUAGUUGAAAAAUAAAACAAUUAUUUGAAGAAAAAAUUGAAAAUAAUUGAGGAGAAGAAUAUGGAACUAGAGUUGCAUGUUGUCGAUGUCGUCGAUGAUCACAAGAUCAAGAUGGAUGCAAUGUGCUUGAAGAUGGAUGCAACGCGCUUAAAGAUUAGAAAUAUUAGAAAAUAUGUCAUUGAUAAAGAGGUUUUGUAUCAUUAAGUUGUUGGGUCAAUUGUUACCUUAGUUGCGAUUUUGAUCGCAUUUGUUAUUGCAUUUAAAUGUUUUACAUAGUUGUAUGUUGUUUUAUAGGAGAACUUUAUGUAUUUAUUUUUGUAAUAAUAACAUUUGAUCACUACUGUACUUUGGUUUUAAUGUGAUGAUAAACUUGUAUUAAUUUGGUCAUUUCUCUAUUCAUGAUGUUCUGCAAUGGUUUUUUGAUAUACUUAAUUUCAUAAUACAGAUGAACCGCCAAUGGAUGUACGGUGACGGACGCACUUCAGAGUACAUUACGAACCGGGACUAGUGUCCCUCCCCUGCCUAUAAAUAAACCCUCCCCACCCACUUAUUGUUUUUCUUUGCUACGCACAAGAGGUGUUUGAUGAAAUGCCCGAGUCACACUUAAGUUCACACAAAAUGGUAUCCUCGACCGAGGUUAGCAAACUUAUCAUUUUCAUCUAUAAUCGAUACAAAAAUAUUGCAUGUGUCCAUGUACGAUGGUCAUUUCACUAUUCAUGUAUGAUGUAGAUCAAUGCACGGAAGCGAUGGAUGUACGGUGAACGACGUGGUUCCGGAUUUAUUGCAGGCCUGCAUAAAUUUAUCGAUGUGGCUGAGGCAAAGAAAAUGGAUAAUUUUAUGCCUUGUCCAUGUGUUGACAGUCGAAAUGUCAGGGAGUACUCUGGCUCAAAAAUCAUUCAAGGCCACGUGCUUUGGAGAGGUUUCAUGCCCAGAUAUUAUUGUUGGACCAUGCACGGAGAAAGAGGGGUUAGGAUGGAAGACAAUGAAGAAGAAGAUGAUGAUGACAACUAUCCUAUGUUCACUGAAGAAUACAGUGAUACUGCAACGGAAGACAAUGAAGAAGAAGGAGGUGAAGAACAACCGGCAUCAGAUGAGCCCGCUCAUUUGUGAUGCAAAGCGAGAAUGCGUUACAGACAAGGAGAAGCUGAAGUUGGAGGCCAUGCUAAAGGAUCAUAAAAAGUUGUUUUACCCAAAUUGCAAAGAUGGCAGCACAAGGCUGGGCACCACACUAGAACUGUUGAAAUGGAAUGCAGAAACUGGUUUAUCUGACAAGGGAUUUGAGAAGUUACUGAAAAUAUUGAAGGCGAAGCUUCCAAAGGAUAACGAAUUGCCCGAGACUACAUACGAAGCAAAGAAGGCUAUCUGCCCUCUUGGAUUAGAUGUGCAGAACAUACAUGCAUGCAUUAAUGACUGCAUCCUGUACCGCGGUGAGAAGUACGAGAAUAUGGAUAAAUGCCCGGUAUGCACUGCAUGUCGGUACAAGAUCAGACAAGAUGACCCUGGUGAUGUUGAGGGCGAUGACGAGCCCCUCAGGAAGAAGGUUCCUGCUAAAGUUAUGUGGUAUGCUCCUAUAAUACCACGGUUGAAACGUCUGUUCAGAAACAAUGAGCAUGCCAGGUUGUUGCGAUGGCACAAAGAAGAGUGUAAGUAAGACGGGAAGUUGAGACACCUCGCCGAUGGGUCGUAGUGGAGAAAAAUUGAGAGAAAGUACCCGGACUUUGCAGGUGAUGCGAGGAACUUAUGGUUUGGUCUAAGUACAGAUGGCAUGAAUCCUUUUGGGGAGCAGAGCUGCAGUCACAACACCUUGCCCGUGACUCUAUGUAUCUACAACCUUCCUCCUUGGUUGUACAUGAAGAGGAAGUUCAUUAUGAUGCCAGUGCUCAUCCAAGGAUCGAGGCAACCCCGGCAACGACAUUGAUGUGUACCUAAGGCCAUUAGUUGAUGAACUUUUGUAGUUGUGGGCCAAACCAAGUGUACGUGUGUGGGAUGAGCACAAACAACGGGAAUUUGACCUACGAGCAUUGUUGUUCAUAACCAUCAAUUAUUGGCCUGCUCUUAGUAACAUUUCAGGACAAUCAAACAAGGGAUACAAUUCAUGCAGGCACUGUUUAGAUAAGACUAAAGGUACAUAUUUGUAAAAUCUAAGAAGGUUGUCUACCUAGGGUGUCGUCAAUUUCUUCCGACCAAUCAUCUCGUAAGAAAGAAAGGCAAGCAUCUCAACGGUGAGGCAAAUCACCGGAAGAAGCCUAACCUCCCUACUGGUGAUGAGGUAUUGGGUAUGGUCAAGGAUUUGGAUCAAAUAGUAAUCUUUGGAAAGGGUCCUGGCGGUCAAUCUGUUCUGAAAGACGUCGUUACCGGACACGUGCCCAUGUGGAAAAAGAAAUCUUUAUUUUGGGAGCUACCCUAUUGGGAAUACCUAGAGGUCCAGUCUUCAAUCAGCGUGAUGCACGUGACGAAGAAUCUUUGCAUGAACCUGCUAGGCUUCCUGGGCGUGUAUGGAAGAUAAAAGAUACACCAGAAGCACGGGAGGAGUAGCAACGUAUGAAAGACCUAUACGACAAGAAGAUCGAUAAAGGGCGUCAAUACUUAAGCAGCUACGCUCUUACCAAAGCAGAGAAGGAAAUCUUGUUCGAAUGCCUGAGCAGUAUCAAGGUCCCUGCUGGCUUCUUGUCUAAUAUAAAGAGAAUAAUAAAUAAGGCAGGGAAAAAAUUCCAGAACCUGAAGUCUCAUGAUUGUCACAUGAUUAUGACGCAGUUGCAUCCGGUUGCAUUGAGGAGGCUUCUACCGGAAAAUGUUCGAUUACCCAUUUUGAAGCUAUGUGCAUUACUCAAUGCAAUAUCUCAGAAGGUAAUUGACCAAGAACGUCUGGAAAGGCUACACAGGGAUGUGGUCCAAUGUCUUGUCAGUUUUGAGUUGGUGUUCCCCCGCCCUUCCUCAAUAUUAUGACGCAUGUCCUAGUUCACCUAGAACUAAAACAACUACGGGAACUAAAAUAACUACGAGAACUAAACCCUAAGCAACUACGCCAACUUUCAACCUUUUCAGAUCCCAUUUAUAGUGUUUUUCAAUUACAGGGUCAAUUAGCUCAAAGAAUAGCAAAAAGAAUGAAGUAAAAAGAAUCAACUAAAACAUUAACUCAAAAUAAUAAACUAAAAAGAAUCAACUAAAAUUAUCAAAGUGUUUAUUUGUUAUAAAGAAUCAAGUAAAACACUAACUAAAAAGAAUCAAAAACAUAUCAACUCAAAAGAAUUUUCAUAAAGUUUUCAGAGCCCAUUUGUAGUGCUUUUCAAUUUCAGGGUCUAUUAGCUCAAAGAAUAAACUAAUAGCAAAAAGAAUCAACUAAAAAGAAUGAACUAAAAAGAAUCAACUAAAACAUUAACUAAACAGAAUGAACUAAAAAGUAUCAACUAAAAUUAUCAAAGUGUUUAUUUGUUAAAAAGAAUCAAAAAAAUAUCAACUCAAAAGAAUUUUCAUAAAGUUUUUUUUGUUAAAAUAUUUAAUAGAAAACUAAAAUAAAAGAGAAAUAAUAUUUAAUAACAAAGAACUAAAAUAUAAACUGAGACUAAAAAUUAUUAAAGUAAAAAAAUGCCACCUACUAGGCCAUCACGGCGCGCAUAUGACUAGAAACCCUAGAAGCUAGAUGGGCUAGGAUGCAGGCCCACAGAAGACCGAGUAGGACCACAUGGCAAAGAGAGUGUGUUUAGGCCCGUAGGCCUACUUUUGAGAGAAGCUCAAGAGGGUUGGCGCAGCGGGGCUUAUAAACCACUCUCAGCUCCUCUCAACUAGCGAGGUGGGACUAAACAUUUGGCCGCGGCAUCACCCUCCUUUAGUCUCGGUUGGGGGCUUCAACCGGGACUAAAGCCCCCCUUUAGUCCCGGUUGGAGCCACCAACUGGGACUAAAGGAAGGUGCUUCCCGCCCUUCGGCCUGACGAAAAUGAGCUUUAGCCCCGGAUGAUGGCUCCAACCGGGACUAAAAGGGGGCCUUUAGUCGCGGUUAGAGCCCCAAACCAGGACUAAAGGUCUCUAUGUAUAAGCGGGAGUUGGAUUUUUUCCAAUCCAUCGCCAGUUCCUUCUUCCUCCUACCUCCGAUGCCGCUGGGCUUUCGGAGUCGCCGCCGCCCCCGAAGCCAUCCUCGUCGUCGCUGCCACCGACGUCGGCCGCCUACGCCUCCUCCCUCUGCCUGCGAUGAGUAGUUGUUGCGCCCCGACCCUCCUCUGCUCCCAUAGUGAGCUCGCCGACCCGCUCCUCCCUCUCCUCCCCUGUUUUCUACUAAUGCCCUAGCUCCGGCCGCUUCCUGUCGGGCUUCGCUCCGGCGACCCCUCCUCUCCCCACGCCGCGCUCCGGCACCCCCUCCUCUCCCCUCAUCGGUGCCGCGCACCCCCGCAACCCUCGCCGACAGAUUUAUUUUCUAAAUUACGAUGAACAAAUGUUUUCUUAUUAUUAUAAGGACAUAGUAAUGUAUCUAUGAGAGUGGUGAUGAUCAUCAUUAUUAUGAUGUGUUAUAUAUCCCUAUGCCAAUAUCCGUACUAAAGAGUAACACAUAUAGUACAAUUAGUAGCAGUGCAAAAAUUUGCAUCACAAACAAUGGAAGUGCUUAACCUGUAGAAAAAUCGACCAAGGCAAAAAUUUCCUGUGUUAGAUGAUUUUCCAUGAGCAAAUUUGUACUAGAUCAUGUAAUGUUAAGUUUGAUUAAUUUUAUCACCCUAGGUAAAUUUUCUUUUUUGUUAGUUUGAUACUGGUAUUUCUCUAUUAAUAUUUUAGAACUAUUUUAUCAAUAUUAAAUAGUUGUAAAAGUUUAGAAAAGUUUAUUAAAUAGUAGAAAUUUAAAUACUUGUAGAAUUGGUUCUCGGCGUCGACGUACGAUGCCUGGCCCGCAUCCUCGUCGUCGACUCGGUGGCGACCACCUGCUUGAGAGGUGCCAGCAUGUGCGGGACUGGGCUCCGCCGGGCUGGCACUGGGAGGAGCUAUCUUCCGGGGCGCGCAUCUUGGUGAGGAAGCGGGCUCCCAUCGUCGACCCGGAGCUUCUUUGGUGGUGGUUGCGUGGUCCACUUUCGGUGUUGAGGGUGCCGGCCCCCGAGGAGGAGGUACGUCGUCGUGUCACGGAGGAGGACGAGCACGUCCGUCGCUACAUGGAGGCGUUAGAUGCCAGGUUCUCCAAUACGUGGCAGGUUCUUUAGGGAUCUCACCCGAGCUAUGAUCCGGUGAUGGUUCCCGCUCUUUGGGUGUCCAUCGUACGCGCCUCAGUAUAGCGACAGCUCUUUGUAACACCCUGAUUUUUGCAACUUUUUCUUUCCAAAACCUUUUGAGUUUUUUACUUGCAAACCUGGUUGCUUUUCAAAACUUUUCAAACUAAUUUGGAUCGGUGAAUAUGUGAACUUUUCCAAGUAACCCAAAACCCUCCUCCUCUUGCCAAAACCUUUCCACACCUCUCUUGGAUUAAUUUCCAAUAUUAAACCCUUUCCAAUAAUUCUUUUCUUUAUUUGGGGAAUUAUGCCAUCACCAUGGGUUGUGAAGCAACAUAUAGUUUGGAUGAUCUAUAAAACCCCAAACUUUUUCCCCACCUUCUCAUCAUCAUAUGAUUCCAAUAUAUCCAAGAAUAUUCCAUUGCCCAAUGCAAAUAUUUUGGCCAGAAUAACUAUUUCUUUUCUGACCAGAAAUGCACCAUUGUGAAGAAACCCCAUCUUUCCUACCUUGGAAAAUUUCCAAAAAAUUUCUCAAGCUCCUAGGGAUCCUAUCUAGCCACAAUAUCCAAUAAUAUCAUUUGGUUCAGUAUAAUUUUUGAGCAGGAGAACUCUGUUAAUUUCCUGCUGAUUCUGAACCUUUGUGAAGGAAGUACCAGCUAGGGGUGCACAAAUGAUCUAUAAUUUUUUGGGCAUGUGUGCACUACCAAAUAACUCUCCUCCACCAAGUUUCGGCCUCAGCGGAGUAAGCAUGUGAGCACCUCAAGCUCAUCUCUAUUCUGGACCAGAAUAGUAGUUUCCAAAGGAGCUAUGCUCAUUUCUUCUUCAAAUUCUUUCAAACUUUGCCAGUUUUAAGUCCUUCCUAUGCUGAUAACCCCAGACACUCCAUUUAGCUCCAUCCCUAUCCCAAUUCAUCUCUAGAACCUUCCCAAGUUUGGAGUCAGGGAGUGUUGGUGAUGCUGCCUCUCAUCUGAGUGGCUUUCUGGGCAAGGCAGUGCCACGAGGGGACUCUACAGAGCACGAACGAUGCUCCGGACAAGGUGUGGUAGGCCAGCACGCGCCACCAGUGCCAGUGCACGCGGUGAGCGCGUAGCUAGCCUGCCAAAAUCGCGCUCUGGGCGCCGACAAACUCGGGUCUCGUCGAAGUGAGACGCCCGCGUGGCCAUCUCGUGCCAACUCGCUUCCCGACAGCUUCCUAGACCUUCCACACCCUUCCCCCUCGCUGGAGAAGCCCUCGCCGGCCACCACCGCAGCGCUGCACUGUAAAACCCGCGUGGUCACAGUGGCGUUCCCGCCGUCGUCUUCCCCCGCGAGCCGUCCCUUCGCACAUUGAAUGCCCCUUCUCUCUUCCAUCUCUUCGCCUCGCGUCGCGAUAGCCAGCUCACCGUCUCUGCUCCAGUGGCGUAGCCACGUCGCCGCCGUUCCAGCGAGAUCACCGCCCUCGCCUCCCGCCCAUUGAAAGCCCCGCGCAGCCCCUCCAAGCUCCUCACCCCUCCUAGCCACCCUCCAAUCGCCUCCAUAGCGCCCCAGUUAGAGCCGGGAGUUCGUCUCCCUCAACUCCAGCGAAGGCUCUGCCGCCCAAGCCCCUCCUAUCGCCAGCCACUUCCGGUCUGCCCCAGCCCCACCUGAGGCCGCCAUCGAGAUCACCUGGUCCCCCUGGACCUCCUAGAGCCCUCAGCUAGCCCACCCUUUGCCGGAUUCGACGCCGUCGACGACCACCGAAGUGCCCAUCCGCCGGAGAGGAAGGAGGUGACGUCAUCCGACCACCUCCGAAGGAACUGCGGGUACAGGGAGGACCGCCGUCGAGCACCCGAUCCAUUCCUCCCAUCUCAUAGCCCAACCGCCGUCCCCAUCACCGGUGAGCACCACCGGUGAGCCGCCUUUCCCCUCUGUCUCUCUCCCUCUCUCUGUUUUAAACAAACAUGCCCCAUGUGUCGGCGACAGGAGCCCGCGCCUGAAUCGAUAAGUGGAGGCGCCUCCUCCACUUUACGCCUUCGAUGUGGCCCCUCCUCUGUUUUCUAAAUUCUGUUUUAAAAUACAGAUUUAAACAGAAACUUUGAACCCUUCCAACUUUUUAUUUACAAGUCCAAAUCAAUUGAUUCUUUUUGCAUUGAGUUAAUACCGAGCCCCUGUAAUUUCUAAUAAAUUUUGGUAUUUUUCCUAUGCUCACAGAAUCUCUGUUUAACAAAAAGGUAUCAUAUGACAUUUUCUUUUUGCAAAUUCAAAAUGUUUUAGAAGCAAACUUUGGUGAAUUUGAAGACCAGGAGUGCUUGAACAACCCAACUGAGCAAGGCAAGCCAUGAUACCCAUGUUAUGUAGUAUUUCCAUAGCAUUGCAUACUUUCACACAUUAUGCUUAGUUAUUUGUUGUAGGAUAAAUUCAUAUUAAAUUAUUUAAAGUAAUUAGUUUCUCAUUAUUAUAAAUCACUAUAUUGGAAAUGACUUAGUGGUUGAUCUAGAGUCACCUGUCCGAGCUUAACCGUGCAACCACAUUUGCCGGUAUGGGACAACCGUGACUUGGGCUGAUCGCGUGACCUUUCACCGGUACCUCCAAAGAGGGAGGGUUAUGCACGCGUGCUACCCUGAUCAGGUAGGCGGUGAUAACCCUGUGAGCCUAGUUGAGUUGUUUUGGGCCCGUCCCCGUUUGGGACAGUUUAGUUUGGCCACGAUGGUGUCAAAUGUCAUGAGGACACAGGGGCCACCCAGGGCAGGACUCCGGGGGAGGAUGAAUGCCGGUGGUGUUGGAAAUAUGCCCUAGAGGCAAUAAUAAAUUGGUUAUUAUUAUGUUUCCUUGUUGUAUUGAUUGGAAACUCAAAUACAUGUGUGGAUACAUAGACAAAACACUGUCCCUAGUAAGCCUCUAGUUGACUAGCUCGUUUAUCAAGGAUGGUUAAGGUUUCUUAGCCAUAGACAAGUGUUGCCACUUGAUAACGGGAUCACAUCAUUAGGAGAAUGAUGUGAUGGACAAGACCCAAACUAUAAACGUAGCAUAUGAUCGUGUCAGUUUAUUGCUACUGUUUUCUGCAUGUCAAUGUAUCUGUUCCUAUGACCAUGAGAUCAUGCAACUCCCGGACCCCGGGGGAAUACCUUAUGUGUAUCAAACGUCGUACACUUAAGGCUCUGCAUGACAAAGGGAACAACAUACGUGAUUAAGUGAAUCCUUGACAUAGAGGUUCAACCGAUAAAGAUCUUCAUAGAAUAUGUAGGAGCCAAUAUGGGCAUCCAGGUCCUGCUAUUGGUUAUUGACCGUAGAAGUGUCCCGGUCAUGUCUGCAUAGUUCUCGAACCCGUAGGGUCUGCACACUUCAGGUUCGGUGACGUUUCGGUAUAGUUGAGUUAUAGGUGUUGGUAACCGAAAGUUGUUCGGGGUCCUGGAUGAGAUUCCGGACGUAACAAGGAGCUCCGGAAUGGUCCGAAGGUAAAGAUUGAUAUAUAGGAAGUUCUUUUUUGGUCAUCGAAAAAGUUUCGGGCUCAUCGAUAGUGUACCGAGAGUGCCGGGAGGGUACCGGGGACCAUCGGGAAGGGUGUCACGCCCCGAGGGGCCUUAUGGGCUAUGGGAGGAUACAAACCAGCGCCUAGUGGGCUGACAUAAGCUCCCACUAAGGCCCAUGAGGUUUGAGAGGCAAAAAACACAAAGGUGGAAAGGGUUUCCAAGUGGAAAGGAGGAAUCCUACUUCUAGUAGGAUUGGAGUAGGACUCCUCCACCUCCAAUUUCGUCCAAACCUUGAGGGUUUGAGGCUGCCUCCUCCCCUCCCUCCCUCCUAUAUAUACUAGAGGUAUUGAGGGUUUUUGAGACAGAGAAAAACAACCACGUGCUGCCCUUUCUCUAGAUCUGUUUCUCCUCUAGUCUAGUUUCAGCGGUGCUUAAGCGAAGCCGUGCUGGAAUAGCUCCACCACCACCACCACCAUGCCGCCGUGCUGGAGAACUCAUCUACCUCUCCGUCCCUCUUGCUGGAUGAGCAAGGUGGGGAUCUUCAUCGAGCUAUACGCGUGCUGAACGCGGAGGUGCCAUCUGUUCGGCACUAUAUCGGGAUGGAUCGUGAUGGGAUCGCGGGACGGAUCGUGAUGAGAUCGUGGGACAGGCUGCGAUUUGGAUCGCGAAGAUGUUCCACUACAUCAACCGCGUUAUAUACGCUUCCGCUUAGUGAUCUACAAGGGUAUGUAGAUUCACUCUCCCCUCUUGUAGAUGAUCAUCACGAUGGAUAGGUAUUGCUUGUGCGUAGGAUUUUUUUUGUUUCCCAUGCGAUGUUGCCCAACAGGUGAUACAAUGGGAGAGUCACGGGUCAGGCAGGUUUCGUUGGAGCAAUACUGAUCCACCCGAAUGGGAUCACGAGGUCAGUGCUCCAUGAUGUGGAUAAAGUGUGCAACCUCUGCAGAGUGUCAAACCUAUUCGAAUAACCGUGUCCACGGUAUUGGACAGCCCGUCCAGACCUCAGUAGGUGGUCAACCAUAUUAGUGUUGGUAAUGAUGGAAAAACUCUUCGCAUGAUCGAAGAUGCUCGAUGAGUAUUCUGGCUGUGGUGAGACAACCCAGAUGAGAGUAAGUUGGUAACUGGUACAAUUAGUAAUGUUGCUUAGUAAUUUAUCGUAUUGAUUGCCAUGCUAUUGUUUGCUGUAUUACUUGGUUGUUGUGAGAUUGCGAGUACAUUCAAAGUACUCAUCUGGCGUAUCAUGCUAGAUGCAGGAGAAGCCGAGGACGGAGGUCCUGAUGGUCCGUACUAGGAUGUGUCCACAACAGUGUCUCUGUGGAUGGAGUUGCCGCUAUGUUCCGCUACGCCGUAGUAGUAUUUAGUAGUCUCGAGGCCCCGCUAUGUUUUAUAAAUAAUGUAGAUACUCUCGCAGCACCGAGGGUGCCUUUGGCCUCGCUAUCGUUGUAAGAUAUGUGCUUGUACCGUAUGCCAUCAAUAAAGUCAGUUCAGUUCUGUUCCAAGUUGUUCUGUGUUGGUAAUCCGGUUCUCUGAGCCGGGGUGCCACACUCUUUGUUGGUUGAUCAGUUAGAUAUUAUUGGAGAGAUGUAUUACUGUAUUCGAGAGAUGUAUUAGUGAUGUAUUCCAGAUUAUAUAUUCGAUAAUAUUAAGUGGAUUAUUCAAUGAUACAUUAAUUAAGUGGAUUAUUCGAUGUAUAUAAGCGGGAGUUUUAGUUGUUUAGUUAAUUUAGUUUUUUUAUGUUUAAUUAAUUUGCAUAUACUAUGGAUCCAAUACACGGCAGAGAUGAAUAUCACGAAGACAUGAUGCAUAAUGUCAUCCGCGGGGAUGAUUUUAUUAUUGACGAUGUCAUCAAUCAGUUUCUGAACAAGUCCGGCGAGGUAGAUGAGUCUCUCAACACAUGAGGUAGAAGCUUCGAUGCCUCGGCCGAGAGAGGACUCAACGGCUCCGAUGAGGGAGAAGCCGACGCUCCGGCGAGGUGCAUAUAUGUAUUAAUAAAUUAAUCCUCUGCCAUCUAUAUCUAAGUAUUAACGCUCUUUCUUCUUUCAGCUUUUCGAAUCGAGCAAAACUUUAGUACGGACGAGACGAGGCCUGCUACCAACAGCCAAGAAAUGAAAAUCAAUGUGAACGUUGCGGUCGUGCUUGUGAUAGUUUCUGUAAUCAAGGAGGAUACUCACCUGGCAUCCCUUGAUGCGUAAUGAUGCAUAUCAGCAUAUGCAUGAUCUGAAAUUUCGCAGGCCAAUGUCAUGUCUCACCAUCCUGUUCAAUAAAACUGGAUCUCACUGAGAGUAUCCAAACCAGUGUGUCAGUUUGUUUAUGUGCUCGUGCGUAUUUUCUUUCGUUGCUCCAAUUAAAGAUUACAACGGUUACAGUGAUUGGCCAAUUUAGGAGCCGUCUACGGUCUAUCCACCUCAAUCUAAUGGUGAAAAAAUAAAAGUUACAAAGAGUUACGAGAUUGAAAUUACAAGAAAUUAGAAAUAACGGUGGGAUCAUUACAUAUUUUUGAUGGGAUCAGUUUUUCUUUCAAAGGGUAGAUUCGUCAAGGAAAUAUGUAACUCAGCACAUAGAGUUUUCUUGCAAAACUGCCGAACGACUCAGAUCGCCUCUCGCCUUGCUCGUGGCUUCGAUAUUUUUUUGCUGGCGUCCAUCUUCCCUGGCUCGCUGGCCUCGGCCCCGCUGAGCACCUUCGCUGACAGUGAGAUCAGCAACAGCCGGCAGCCGGACUUGUGAAUCGUCUCCAUCGGCCGUCGGCACACCGGACUUGACCUCGCGCGCCGCAGCAACGCCGAUGUCUCCCUAUCGUGUUAGAUCAGGUUACCUAGCGCGGUGGACGGACGAUGAGUCGGGACCGCGCACCGCAAGCACGCCUAACCCAAGGAUCCUUCUACCUGGUGAGGAAGUACACUAGCAUGAAGAGCCGAGGAAGGACGCCAUGAGGGUUCCCAUUCUCGUCAGCAGCAAUCAGUUACAAAUUCACUGAUUCAGUUUUAAUUUAACACCUUCUCUACUGGUAGGCUACAACACAGAGCACCCAACCGUCUGAUUCGAUAAAGGAAAACUAUGUGUCCAUGUCGUUUAUUUCAUCUCUGUACCAUAAGAGCAACUUCAACGGACCGACUCAAACGAACGACGACUUUGUUCGUUUUUUGUCCGUUUGGGUCGGUCUCCCGCCCAACGUCCGUCCUGUUUUAAAUAUCGAUCGGCAGUGCGUCCAACGUGUCGAUCCAUUUCAUGUCCGCAAUUAACAUUUAAUAAAAGGGCCUGCGGCCGAUCGUGCUAGCGGUCAUGUCUCAUGCCGGCACCAUGCCAGCACCGGCAUACAAUGCCAGCUUCAAAAAAUAACACCACAGUUUCAUGCUAGCGCACUCGCCAGCCGGCCGACACACAUGCCAGCACACAAAAGGGGUUGGACUUGAGUUCGACCACGCCAUCGCGGCCCCGUGGUCAUGCGAGUACACCUGACGGCAUACAAAAUGAUGGCUCUCGUCGCCAUAGAUCACUCCUCGUCGAACUUGAUCAUGUCGGCCUGCAUCUUCUCGAACCACGACCUCUUCCUUUGCGACACGGUGUUGAGAUCCACCUUCAUGAUCUCCACUCAGGUCUUCAUGCUCGCGAGAGCCAGCGGCCACCGGUGUAGCGUUGAGGUCGAUGGGCGCGGGCGCGAGCGUGGAAGGCGCGACCACGCUCACCUUGGGCGAGCACCCCUCGUGAGGCGGGAGGCCUGCGGGUAGACGUGGAAGCCGGGCACCGGGUUGCAAGUCGACGCGCGGGGCGAGUCGGGCAGCACCGUCCGAGGGAAGCCGGAUGAGCCGGUGCUGACCGCGGCGGCCACGGCGGCGUUGACGAGGUCGUGCUAGCUAGGGUUUAACCCAAGUAUGCAGAGCGCCUCCCUCGUUGCCGACGCGGCGGCGGCGGCUUCUUCCCUCGCGUCCGCCGCGUGCCUCCGGUCCUUCCUAUUGGAUGACUCCUUUGCCUGCUUUCAGCCGUCAGCACCUUCUUCGGCUUCGGCGCGGCGGCCUUCCGAGGGGCACGAGGUUUGCCGGAUGAGGCGACGGAGGCGGGGCCGGUGGCGGCGUCGAGGUCGAGGUCGUCGUCCAUGGCGGACGUGGGUGAGAGCGGGAGUGGGAGCGCACGAGGGCGGGAGGGUUUUUGAGGGAAAUGGUGGUGGAUGCCACCGACCGGCGGUCCCGAGGAGAGGAGUUGGCGCAGGCGGGCGUCCGUCUGUGUCCGCGCUGACGCAAAUCCGGCUCAAAAUUGGGCCGGGAAUGGGUCGCCAGGCGUACGCCAAGCGGACGUGCGUCCGUUUAGAUCUGCACGUUGGACCAUCUUUUUUUCCGCGCCGACCUAAACAAACGGAACGGACGAAAUGGAUCGCCCCAUUAAAGUUGCUUGGAGUUGCUCUAAGAAAUUGAUUCCAGUGAACAAGGUAAACAAUAAUAGGCAUGAAACAAGCCAUCAAUUAGCUAGCCAUUGUCUCACGUCAAGAUGAUUAGUUCUUGUCUGAACGCAAUCUGCCCAAUCCCAAUUCAUGGAGCACUAGCAUUCGUCCUAGUCUAAUUGAAACACCCACUAAAAUUAGCCCUGGUACUUGCAAUCCCGCUAGCCAUAAUAAAACAAGAAGCUAGCUAGAAGUUUCGACUAUUUACUCAUUCUCAAAUCAGUUUGCCGGGCUGGUACUAAGUACUCCCUCCGUUCCUAUUUUAAAGAUUUCACUAGGGACUACAUAUGAAGUAAAAUAAAUGAAUAUACACUUUAAAUUAUGUCUAUAUACAUCUGUAUGUAGUCUUCUAGUGAAACCUUUAAAAAUACUUAUAUUUAGAAACGGAGAGGAGGGAAGUCUGUUUUAGACCUUUAGAUUGUAGAGCCGGUCUGAAAUGAACCCUCACAUUCAGAUCCCUGAAGUCUGUACCCUGUACUCAUGAAUCACGGUCAAUCUCAACCUUGAACCCAGGGCCGGCCCUGAGGGGGGCAGGGGGGCGGCCGCCCCGGGCCCCCAAAAUCCAGCCCCCCCCAGGUAUGUAUGUAGAUUAGGGCCCAUAUUAUUAGAAGGAAAGGAUCUCUCGAUCGCUUGAUUUCAGCGACAUAACCUAGGGUCGUUAGAAAACGAAAAACAAGCAAUCUGACGAUUCCUUUACCGAGCCCUAGCUACUGUCCGCCGCCGACGUCGCCGUAGUGGCCGACUGGCCGUACGCAGCAGAAGCAGUCCUGCAGGAUAACAGGAGAGACCCUGGCCCUGUCUUCAGAACACAGCGCAGCAACGGGAGCAGCCCUGUAGGACAGCAGGACGCAGACGCUUGAAACUUUGAAAGUGAACAAAACGCCGGGUUGAUCUCGGAAGACAACAGGAGAGUCAGACGCAUCACGCGCAUGCUUGAGCCUUGAUCACGCAUGCAGCCAGCCUGUACUCGUCUACUCGCCGCCGUCCUCUGGUAAUUAACCGUUUUUUGAUUAAAACGAUUUCAGCAAGCCUACAUACUACAGAAAUUAGUAUGCCGUGCUUAAUUCCUUUCAUUCAUGUGCAGACCUGCAGAAUAUAGUCUACACAGUACACACACGUACAAUACAGAGUAUUUAAAAUCUGAAAUUUGGCCAUCAAGAUUCAGGAUCAGGUGAAUUCUUUUUUCAUUCAUCUGCAGAUUUUUUUUGGUUCACAGCUGGCACCGUUCAACAACUGAUGCAACAUUUUUUUGUUUUCAGCAUUGUGUCUGUUGUCAUGCCGGCCAACAAGAGGAAAUAUCCAUCGGGUAGCGACAAAAGGAAAAAAAAGAUGGCCGUGAAAAAAUUGAUAAACUCGCAACGCGUAGGUAUUCGACAAUUUCUCAAGCCAAGUAAUAUUGGUGCUUCGAGUACUUCGCCAAACCUAGAUGAUGCGUUGGCGAUUGUUGCCAUAGUGGAAGAGCAACCGACUAGUGAAAAUUCGGACUCUGAUCAGCAAGAAGAAAAUAUCAACUCCAACAUCGGCGAUAGCAAUGUAAGUGGCUUCGAGAAUGUAGGUAAUUCAUCAGAUGCACAUGUUAAAUCUGCUAGUGUUGAUGAGCAACCAGUUUAUACUGCCGAUAUUUAUGAUCCAAGAAAUUGGGACAAUCUUGAUAAUAAAGCAAGAGAUAUUUUAGUUGAGAAAGGGCCUGUCAGAGAGGAUAAAAUGGAAUACCAUGUAGAUGAUGACGAAAGACAUUUUUCGUGCACUCAUUAUCGUAGAAAAUUAAGCAAUGGAGAGGAACAUGAUAGGAAAUGGCUAGUUUAUUCAAAAGAUGUCAACAAAGUUUUUUGCUUCCGUUGUAAGAUCUUCAAGUCUAGCACCAACAGGAUACAAAGUUCCUUAGCACAUGAUGGAUUAGGACAUUGGAGGUAUAUUAGUGGGAAGCUUAAAGAACAUGAAAAUAGCAUCGAGCAUAUUAAUAACAUGAACAAGUGGAAUGAAUUGAGGGUUAGACUACGGAAAGAGGAGACAAUUGACAAGGAAUUGGAACAUCAAAUAACGAAGGAGAAAGAACGUGUCAGGCAAGUUCUGUUAAGAAUAAUAGCCGUUGUAAAAUAUCUUGGUAAACGCAGCUUGGCUUUUCGUGGAAAUAGUGAGAAGCUUUACAAGGAUGAUAAUGGUAAUUUCUUAGCUUGCAUUGAGAUGAUUGCAGAAUUUGACAUGGUAAUGCAAGAUCACCUUAGACGUAUUGAGAACAAAGAAAUCCAUUAUCAUUAUCUCAGUCAUAAAAUACAGAAUGAGUUGAUAUCUCUUUUGGCUUCUGACAUCACAUGUUCUAUCAUAAAGGUUGUUAAAGAGGCCAAGUAUUUCUCCGUUAUCCUAGAUUGUAACCCUGAUGUUAGUCAUAAAGAACAAAUGACUUUUUUAGUUCGAUGUGUUAAUCUGUCUGAUGGGAAAAUAAAAAUUGAGGAGUACUUUCUGGGGUUCUUGAAAGUGGAUGACACUUCUGGCUUAGGGAUUUUUAAAGUACUGCUUGAAUCUCUUGAGUCUUUUGGCCUAAAUAUUAAAGAUAUAAGGGGUCAAGGUUAUGACAAUGGUUCUAAUAUGAAAGGAAAAUAUCGAGGGGUACAAUCUAGGUUACUUGAUAUGAAUCCAAGAGCAUUAUAUAUGCCAUGUGCUUGUCAUAGUCUCAAUCUCACUCUUUGUGAUAUGGCAAAAUCAUGUGAAAAAGCUGUUUCAUUUUUUGGAAUUGUUCAGCGCAUAUAUGUAUUAUUUGCUGGCUCUACAAAAAGGUGGAAUGUUUUGCUUAAACAUGUUCCUAGUUUGACCGUGAAGUCAUUGUCCAAUACUCAUUGGGAGAGUAGAAUCAAAAGUGUUACAUCAAUAAGAUAUCAAGCCAGUGAGUUAAGAUCAGCUUUGUCUGAGUUACGCCAUGCUUCUGAAACUGAUCCUAAGGAUAAAAGUGAUGCAAAAAAAUUUAUUUGAUGUACUUGGUCGCUUUGAGUUUCUAGUUGGUAUGAUUAUUUGGCAUGAUAUUCUAUUUGCUGUAAAUAAAGUUAGCAAGAUGUUGCAAUCAUCAACCAUGUGCAUCGACUCCGCUUUGAAGCAAAUAAAAGGUAUAACACAAUAUUUUGAGAAGUACAGAGAUGAGGGAUUUUCUUCCAGUUUGAGCAUCGCUGAAGGUAUUGCAACUGAAAUGGGAAUAGAGCCAUUGUUUCCAGUGAAACGCCGUGUUACGAGGAAGAAGCAGUUUGACGAAAAUGAUUGUCAAGAAGAAAUUCUAGAAGGUGAGAAGGCUUUCCGUGUUAAAUAUUUUAAUGUUUUGGUUGAUAUGACGAUCAAUUCUUUGAAUGAUAGAUUUAAAGAACUCAUGGUGUUUAAAGAUAUAUUCGGAUUUUUAUUGAGCUCGGGCACCCUCAAGUCAUAAGUGACAGUGUACUUGAAGAAUGUUGUACGAAAUUUGCAGAAACUUUCUUUUUUAAUGGUUCAUCAGAUGUUGAGGUAUACAAUCUUAUUUCUGAACUGAAGAUUAUGAGAUUCACUUUGCCGGAUGGCGUAAUGUCCGCUAUGGAGAUUUUUGGGCAUGUGAGAGAAGUUGAUUGUUAUCCUAGUAUCUCCAUUGCCUAUCGCAUCUUAUUUACAGUGCCGGUGACGGUCGCAUCAGCUGAAAGAAGCUUUUCAAAAUUGAAGUUAUUAAAGAAUUAUUUAAGGUCAACAAUGACUCAAGAGAGAUUAAAUGGUUUGGCUACUUUAUGCAUGAAGAAAAAAUUAUUGGAUGAUAUUGACAUCGACCCAUCAUAAGUGACUUUGCAUCGAGGAAUGUUAGAAGAAAUUUUUAAGGUAGUACGUAUAAAUUAUUUACUACGCAUACAGAUUUUGGUUGCAUCUAAGUGUUACUGAUAAUAAUUUCUAUAUACAUUUUUAGACAACUAUAUAUAUAUAUGUAUUUCUGAGGCAAACUAUAUAUAUAUAUAUAUAUAUAUAUAUAUAUAUAUAUAUAUAUAUGUAUGUAUAUAUAUAUAUAUGUAUGUAUACAUAUAUUAUAAAGACUUAUAUAUUAAGGCCCUCAAUUUUUAGUUCGCCCCGGACCCCCAAAUUCUCAGGACCAGCCCUGCUUGAACCUAUCUAGGCCAAUUUGACGUGCUAGGAAAUCAAAUAUCCCGACCGGAAUCACACUUUAAUUUCACUGACUGGAUAAGCAGUAGCUAAACGAUCUAGCACCGAACGCUCAUAUAUGUGCUAACCAACUUAAUCAAUCUUGGCCUAGUGAUAUGAUUGAAUCUGUGCACAACGGGGACCAGCGUGUGGCUGCUAAGGAUGGAUUCAGCAUGUAUGAGGCGCUCUGCAUCUGCAACUUCCCGUUCGUCUCCGGCACCGUGCCGCGAGCUCAGCUGCGUUGGUCAGCGUGGUGGCCACGAACUACGGCCGCUCACACGCAGUGAGCUUGAAGCCGCGAAUGGCGAGAACGAAAUUGCAGAACCUGCUGUGCCAGCAAGAGUGUGACUCCAAGCUCGUCUCCGGCGGGCACUUGCUUGGUGAACACCCGUGAUGGCGCCGCCGUCCAGGGCUCUUGACUACACACCAUUGUUCGUUAACGACCCUCGAGGCGCGCAUUGUUGUUCUCUGCCUUGGUGGCGUCCAGGUGUCUGCGCUGAUUUGGAGAGAGAGAAGGAUGGAUCUAAAAUGUGGGAUGAGGAUGUAAGUUAGAGGUAGAGGAUUUUAAUCCCGGUCGGGAUGUUUCUUUUCCCAGGGCGCCAAACACGCCUAGGGUCCAGAUUGACCGGGAUAAAUAAGUACAGGAUAUAGAUUUCAGGUUUUUAAAAGUAAGGGUUUAUUUCUGACGAGCUGUAUAAAUUCAAGGUUUAAAAUAAACUUCAUCCAACGGAGGGAGUACUAACCACUAAUACCAUCAUGCAAUACAUAUCCAAUUAACCAUGGAUUAUUCUACUAUAUAUUUCUUAGAAACAAUGCAUCGCUAGUAAGAUUAGAGGAUCGCGUAUCAAAAGAAGAGACCAACCUAGAGCUUCAAAGCUUUAGGACCGCUGUGCGAGCAGGUCUCCAUCAGCGGAGCGGCUGCGGCUUCCAUGAGGUGCGGCCUGGGAGAGCCGCCAUAGCCCUCGAUUUGAGGAAUGGCUCGGAAGGCGCGUCUGGAAGGCGGCCCUCGACUCCGGUUCAUAAGAUGGUGUCGUUGCCCCAGGUCCUCGCGCCCACAGCGUCGCCUUCAAGUCCACAUGCCGUCGCCACCGUCUACGCACUCGUGAGAUGGGAUCCGCGAUAUGUGACAGUUACACACAAUGUUUCCAAGAAAAAGCCACAGACCAUAAUACCCUAUUUUAAAUACAAUAUUUUAAUUAACAUGCUAACCCAACAGUGGAAAACAAUCAAAAAAGGAGUUACACGAAAUUACAUUUCGUAACUCUCCAAUCACUGUAAAAGAGCUCAUAAAAGAUAUCAGGGUUGUUUAACGGGAAUAGAGGGAUUGGUGGAAUAAUUGUUGUAUUGCUUGAGCCUCGUGAGCAUAUAUAUAUGAGUACAUGAUCAUUUCAGAGUACAAGUCAAGGCAGGAACAAAUCCUAGUCUAUCUAUGCUUUUCUAAACAAUCACAUUACUCAACAUCCCCCCACAGUCACAACGAUAACGACGCAGACGGUGAGACUAGAGAAGAAUCCGAAGGUAAGCCGACACUCAUCCCCUCACAGUCGUAACGGUCGAUGCAUCACGGAAGUUGUGGCCGGAGUAGAAACCGACGAGGUUGCUCAAGCAAGGCGGUAGCCCUUUGUGCCAAUGUCGAGGUAGCCGAGAGCGUGGGGUGGCGUAGCCGUGGUCGAGGUAGCCGUGCAAAGAAUGCCAUGGUCGAUGUCGAGUCGGGUAGCCGGUGUCGAGGGUCGCCUUGGAGCCGCGGGCGCAAGGAGGCGCCGAGUUAGUCAUGGGCGCAGUGGUGUCGAAGUAGUGAUGCGCCGGAAAGAAGACGUAGUUGAGACACGUCGCGUCGAGUUUGCCAAGCCCGGGACACAUCAUGGACGAAGGCACGCAUCGGUGUUGCCAACACCGCGCAUGCGUAGACGGACGAAGUCGAUGUUGACGAUGCGUCGCUCCAAAUUUGCCAGGCCUGGGAACACACUGGAGACGAAGGCACACUACGCAAAACUUUAGUACGGACGAGACGAGGCCUGCUACCAACAUUGAAGAGAUGAAAAUCAAUGUGAACGUUGCAGUGAUGGUUGUGAUAGUUUCUGUAAUCAAGCAGAUACUCACUUGGCAUCCCUUGAUGCGUAAUGAUGCAUAUCAGCAUAUGCAUGGUCUGAAAUUUCGCAGGCCAAUGUCAUGUCUCACCAUCCUCUUCAAUAAAACUGGAUCUCAAUGAGAGUAUCCAAACCAGUGUGUCAGUUUGUUUAUGUGCUCGUGCGUAUUUUCUUUCGUUGCUCCAAUAAAAGAUUAAGUGUCAGUUCCUAUUUUUUCUAUGUUUUUAGCUUUUUUUUAGAUCUGAUUUUGAAACGGAGUCCAAACGGAAUAAAAUCUCCGAAAUGAUUUUUUCCCGAACGGAAGAAGAUCAGGGGGCCUGUGGGCCAAACCAGGAGGGCUCCAGGGAGCCCACAAGCCCCCACUCCGCCACCAGGGGAGGCGGCGGUGGCAGGGCUUGUGGCCUCCCUGAGCGCCCCCUGACCUAGAUCUUUGGCCUAUAUAUUCCCUAAAAUACAGCAAAAAAUCAGGGGAGCCUCGAAAAUACUUUUCCGCCGCCGUAAAUUUCCGUUUCCACGAGAUCUCAUCUGGAGACCCUUCCCGGCGCCCUGCCAGAGGGGACUUUGGAGUUGGAGGGCUUCUUCAUCAUCAUCAUCGCCCCUCCAAUGACUCGUGAGUAGUUCACUUCAGACCUACGGGUCCGUAGUUAGUAGCUAGAUGGCUUCUUCUCUCUCUUGGAUCUUCAAUACAAAGUUCUCCAUGAUCUUCAUGGAGAUCUAUCCGAUGUAAUCUUCUAUGGCGGUGUGUUUGUCGAGAUCCGAUGAAUUGUGGAUUUGUGAUCAGAUUAUCUAUGAUAUAUAUUUGAGUCUUUGCUGAUUUCUUAUAUGCAUGAUUUGAUAUCCUUGUAAGUCUCUCCGAGUCUUGGCUUUUGUUUGGCCAACUAGAUCUAUGAUUCUUGCAAUGGGAGAAGUGAUUGGUUUUGGGUUCUUACCAUGUGGUGACCUUUCCCAGUGACAGUAGGGGCAGCAAGACACACAUUGAGUGUUUGCCAUCAAGGGUAACAAGGUGGGCUCUGUCGUUGAUAUGAGAUUGUCCAUCUACAUCAUGUCAUCUUGCUUAAGGCGUUACUCUGUUCUUUUGGACUUAAUACACUAGAUGAAUGCUGAAUAGCGGUCGAUGUUGGAGUAAUAGUAGUAGAUGCAGACAUUAUUGGUCUACUUGUUUUGGACGUGAUGCCUAUAGAUACAAUCAUUGCCAUAGAUGACGUCACGACUUUGCGCGGUUCUAUCAAUUGCUCGACAAUAAUUUGUUCACCCACCAUCUACUUGCUUUCAUGAGAGAAGUCACUAGUAAACACUACGAUCCCCGAGUCUAUUCACAUCUAUCGUUUACACCUCCGCUUUUACUUUGCUUUGUUACUUUGUUGCUUUCAUAUCUCACUUUGCGAACAAUCUAUAAGGGAUUGACAAAUCCUUCAUAGCGUUGCGAGCAGGUUCUUUGUGUUUGUGCAGGCACUUGUGAUACUCCUUCACUGGAUCGAUACCUUGGUUCUCAAAACUGAGGGAAAUAUUUACCACCGCUACGCUACAUCACCCUUUCCGCUUCGAGGGAACACCAACGCAAGGCUCCAAGGCUGCGGGGAAAUCCUUUGCUUAUUUGCCUAGUAAGUCCCUAAAGGCGUAGCCGUAGCAGAAGGAUUCCUGAUGUCGUUGUUGAGGAGAAUCAAGACAAGAACAGUCUCCCGUCAGCACGUGUUUCUGGCGCCGUUGGAAGGUCAUUUGUUGCAGUAGCAAGCACAUAGAGCAAAAUUAUCUAGAUCAAAAGAUAUAAGUGAAGCACUAUGAGCAUUCUAGCAAAAUCACGAUGAGUGCAUGUCUCUCUCUAAAGGUGUGCAGCAAGGAUGACUGUGACACAACAAAAAGAAAAGACUCCUACGAUACAAGACGCUCUAAGCAAAACACAUAUCAUGUGAUGAAUAAAAAUAUAGCUCCAAGUAAUGUUACCGAUGGAUUAAAGACGAAAGAGGGGAUGCCUUCCCGGGGCAUCCCCAAGCUUAGGAUUUUUGGUGUCCUUUAAUUUGGCUUGGGAUGCCUUGGACAUCCCCAAGCUUGAGCUCUUUCCACUCCUUAUUUCUUUGUCCAUGAGAACAUCACCCAAAACUUGAAAACUUCACAACACAAAACUUAAACAGAAACUCGUGAUAACAUUAGCACAAGAAAACAAACUACCACCACUUUAGGUACUGUAGCAAUCUUGAUUCAUAUUUAUAUUGGUGUUAGAUUACUGUAUUCUCACUUUUCCAUGGCUAGUACCCCCCGAUACUAUUCAUAGUUUCAUCAAAACAAGCAACCAACUCAACAAAAACAGAAUCUGUCAAAAACAGACCAGUUUGUAGCAAUCUGUAUGCUUCGUAUACUUCUGUUACCUCAAAAAUUCUUAACUAUUACGACUGCCUGGGAAAAAGGCAUAUAAACUAGAAGCAAAAAGAAUCAACUCAAAAUCUCUUUCUGAAUAAAAAUAAAAAAUCAUCUCGUGAGAAAAAAGUUUCUGUCUUUUUCCAGCAGGAUCAAACAACCAUCACCAAGUCUAGUCAUAAAGGUUUUGCUUGGCUCAAACACAAAAAGAAACACAAAAGACACAAUCAUAGAAUUAUGAUGGUGUGGACGCAACAAAACAGAAAGAAAAAGAAAUAAAUUCAUUGGGUUGCCUCCCAACAAGCGCUAUUGUUUAACGCCCUUAGCUAGGCAUAAGGCGAUAGUAUCGUCGUCUUUGGUGCUCAAACCAUAAGUAGCGUGAUCACUUAUCAUCUUAAGGUUUUCAUCUUUCUUGCUAGAUGAUUCACCACUAUUUUUGGGAACAAAAAUAGACUUGGUGACCUUAUUGUGGGCAAAAUUUGGAGUAUUCUGCACAGCGGCAAAAGCGGAACCCAAGUUGGUUAUAACAUCCUCUAGUUUGCCAAUCCUAGCGGAAUCAUGACCUAGUUUUUCGUUAACUGUAGGUUCCUUCUCCUUUAAAUUUUUCAAAACCAUUCCCACCUUGGAUCCGUACCGAGUGAUUUGGUUGUGGAUCUUUUUAUCCAAAUUCUCAAUGAUUUCGAUCGUAGCAACUUUAUUUUCAAUGACGUCCAGCCUACGCAUCACAUGUUCCAGAGUUAAGGUAGUUCCAUUAACCAUGAGUGGGGGUGAGCCUGCCAAAUUUAUUACAGCUCCGUAAGAAUCAACGGUAUGGCUAUCUAAGAAAUUUCCACCUACGAUGGUGUCAAGAAUAUACUUAUGCCAAGGAGAAACACCCACAUAAAAACUGGGAAGCAGGACGGUAGUGGAUUGCUUAUGAGUAGAUCUACUCUGAGCAUUGCAAAUCCUAUACCAAGCGUCCUUUAAGUUUUCUUCCUCAAUUUAUUUGAAAUUGAGAACUUUGUUCUCGGGAGUAUCGUUCGAAGUGGUGGAUCUAGCAUGAGGACAGGUAGACUAUCCCACACAAAUGAACAGAAAGCAAGCGAGAGAAAAUGGCGAACAAAAAAUGCAAACGAAAAAGGCAAAUACUUUUUUGUAAAUUUUUGCUUUUCAGAAGUGGAGGAGAGGAAAACGAGAGGCAAAAAAGUAAAUGCAAGAGAUGAAUUUGCGACACUUACUUGGAUGAGUUCUUGACUUGAUCCUCCCCGGCAAAGGUGCCAGAAAUCCUUCUGGUACUUCUCAAACAACAGCGCCAGAAUUUGACACAUUGACGGAGACUUGCUUGCGUUGGUUUUUCCCUUGAAGAGAAAGGGUGAUGCAGCACAGGAGCAGUAAGUAUUUCCCUCAGUUUGAGAACCAAGGUAUCAAUCCAGUAGGAGAAUCCCGUCAAGUCCAGAGUACCUGCGCAAACACAAAAGAGCUUGCACCCAACGCUAUAAAGGGUUGUCAAUCCUUCAAGAUUUAUUGCAAAGUGAGAUCUGAAGGCGAAAAGUGCAACGAAGAAAAAGAGUAAGGCUGAAAAUAUGGUGUGGAGUAGACCCCGGGGCCAUAGUGUUCACUAGAAGCUUCUCUCAAAAUAGCAAAUAUUACGGUGGGUGAACAAAUUAGUGUCGAGCAAUUGAUAGAACCGCGCAAAGUCAUGACGAUAUCUAAGGCAAUGAUCAUACAUAUAGGCAUCACGUCCGAGACAAGUAGACCGAUACUUUCUGCAUCUACUACUAUUACUCCACACAUCGACCGCUAUCCAGCAUGCAUCUAGCGUAUUGAGUUCAUGACGAAUAGAGUAACGCCUUAAGCAAGAUGACAUGAUGUAGAGGGAUAAACUCAAACCAAUGAUGAAAACCCCAUCUUUUUACCCUUGAUGGCAACAACACGAUGCGUGCCUCGCUACCCCUUCUGUCACUGGGUGAGGUCACCGCACGGUAUGAACCCAAAACCAAGCACUUCUCCCAUUGCAAGAAUCAUAGAUCUAGUUGGCCAAACAAAACCCACAACUCGAAGAGAAUUACAAGGAUAUGAAAUCAUGCAUAAGAGAGAUCAGAAGAAACUCAAAUAAGAUUCAUAGAUAAUCUGAUCAAAAAUCCACAAUUCAUCGGAUCUCGACAAACACACCGCAAAAUAAGAUUACAUUAGUUAGAUCUCCAUGAAGAUCAUGGAGAACUUUGUAUUGAAGAUCCAAGAGAGAGAAGAAGCCAUCUAGCUACUAGCUAUGGACCCGUAGGUCUAUGGUGAACUACUCACGCAUCAUCGGAGAGGUCAUUGUGUUGAUGAAGAAGCCCUUCGUAUCCGAAUCCCCCCUCCGGCAGGGCACCAGAACGUGCCCCAGAUGGGAUCUUGCGGAGACAGAAGCUUGCAGCGGCGGAAAAGUACUUUCGAUGAUCUCCUGAUUUUUUCUGGGAUUUUAGGGAAUAUAUAGGCGAACGACCUAGGGCAAAGGUGCCUGAUGACCCACAAGUAUAUGGGAUCAAUCGUAGUCCUUUCGAUAAGUAAGAGUGUCGAACCCAACGAGGAGCAGAAGGCUCUGAUAAAAGGAUUUCAGCAAGGUAAUAACUGCAAGCACUGAAAGUAGCGGUAACAAGUGAUGGUGUAGCUAGGUGAAACGUAGCGAGCAAAAACUAACAAGUAACAAGUAGUAGCAACGGUGCAGCAAGUGGCCCAAUCCCUUUUGCAGCAAGGGACAAGCCUGAACAAAGUCUUAUAGGAGGAAAAAUGCUCCGGAGGACACACGGGAAUUUCUGUCAUGCUAGUUUCAUCAUGCUCAUAUGAUUCGCGUUCGUUACUUUGAUAGUUUGAUAUGUGGGUGGACCGGCGCUUGGGUACUGCCCUUACUUGGACAAGCAUCCCACUUAUGAUUAACCUCUCUCGCAAGAAUCCGCAACUACAGAAGAAGAAUUAAGACAAAGUCUAACCAUAGCAUUAAACUAGUGCAUCCAAAUCAGUCCCUCACGAAGCAACACAUAGACUAGGGUUUAAGCUUAUGUCACUCCAGCAACCCAUCAUCUACUUACUACUUCCUAAUGCCUUCCUCUAGGCCCAAAUAUGGUGAAGUGUUAUGUAGUCGACGUUCACAUAACACCACUAGAGGAAAAGACAACAUACAUCAUAUCAAAAUACCGAACGAAUAUCAAAUUCACAUGACUAUUAUUAACAUGACUUAUCCCAUGUCCUCAGGAACAAAAGUAACUACUCACAAAACAUAAUCAUAAUCAUGAUCGGAGGUGUAAUGAAUAGCAUCAAGGAUCUGAACAUAAACUCUUCCACCAAGUAAUCCAACUAGCAUCAACUACAAAGAGUAAUCAACACUACUAGCAACCUUACAAGUAUCAAUCGGAGUCGUGAGACGAAGAUUGGUUACAAGAGAUGAACUAGGAUUGGAGAGGGGAUGGUGCUGAUGAAGAUGUUGAUAGAUGCCUCCCCUCCGACGAAAGGAGUGUUGGUGAUGAUGAUGGCGACGAUUUCCCCCUCCGGGAGGGAAGUUUCCCCGGCAGGAUCGUCCUGCCGGAGCUCUAGAUUGGAUCUGCUCAAGUUCCGCCUCGUGGCGCUGGCAAAACCACGAAAAAGCUCCCCUCUGAUUUUUUCUGGACCAAGACGCUUCAUAUAGCAAAAGAGGGGGGCUAGUGGGCCGUCAGGGAGCCUACAAGCCCCCACUCCGCCACCAGGGGGUGGCGGUGUCAGGGCUUGUGGCGCCCUGGCAGCCCCCCUCCGGUAGUUCUUUCGCCCAGUAUUUUUUAUAUAAUCCCAAAAAAAUCCACGCAACUUUUCAGGGCAUUUGGAGAUGUGUAGAAUACUGGACUAGGAUUUGCUCCUUUUCUAGUCCAGAAUUCCAGCUGCCUGAAUUCUCCCUCUUCAAACAAACCUUGCAAAAUAAGAGAGAAAAUGCAUAAAUAUGGUACCACAAGUAAUAAAACAUCCCAAAACGCAAUAAAUAUCAACAUGAAAGCAUGAUGCAAAAUGGACUUAUCAACUCCCCCAAGCUUAGACCUCGCUUGUCCUCAAGUGAAAACCAAGUUCCAUAAACAUGUCCACAUGUUGAGGGACGAAGGUGUCGAUAAAACAUAAUACUGACAUAAGGGCAUCAUGAUCAUACAUAGGACAGCAAUACAUCAUAAAGAUUCUUAUGGGAAAGUAACAAUUCCUUCACAAAGCAAAGCAUCAAUCAAAAACCUUACCGUGAAGUAACCAACAAUAGUCCAUAGUCAUUGAAGCAAUUGCAAUUUAUCACAACAUCAGAAAGAGUCAAAUAAGAGCUUGUAAGGCAAACCCACAUACUCAAUCAUCUCUUUUGUUUUCCACAAUUGUUACAACUCACGUGGUACUCAUGGUGUCAAAGUUUCAGCUGGACACAGAGGAAGAUAGGGGCUUAUAGUUUUGCCUCCCAACCAUUUACCUCAAGGCUAAAGUCAACAACAAUAAAGCAUAAGUACUCAACUCCAAGUUGAUAUAUGAAUAUAGAUCUUUCCCAAGCAUGUGACGGUAGCCAAGACAAAGGCAAAGAUAGGGAAUUGGUGAUGAUCACCAUGACUCUUACAAGGGCAAAAAGUAAAGGUACAAGAUAGGCCCUUCGCAGAGGGAAGCAUAGGUUCUCAUGCGCUUUUGAGGUUUGAAUGUGUGUCCUCUUAGUGCGGAGGAACUUCACUUUAUAUUGCCUCCUGUGAUAAAGAACUUUAUUAUGCAGUCUGUCGCUUUUAUGUCUUCCUCAUCACAGGUUCGUACAAAGCUUAUUUUCCACACACUAAUAGAUCAUACAUAUUAGAUAGCAAUUUUUAUUGCUUGCACCGAUGACAACUUACUUGAAGGAUCUUAUUCAAUCCAUAGGUAGGUAUGGUGGACUCUCAUGGCAAAACUGGGUUGGAGGUUUAAGGAUUCACAAGUAGUAUCUCUACUUGAUGCGGGAGUUUUGGCUAAUAUGAGGUGGAAGAAAUCGUCACAUGCUAAGGGAUCUCUAAUCAUAUAACAUUGUUUGGAACCAAGCAAACACAAUUCAUUAUGUUGUCUUCCUUGUCCAACAUCUACUCCUAAGCAUGCAAUAGUUUGGUGAGUGCUCACAAUUGUAAAAAGUGUCUAAGAUGAUAUAUUUAUAUGUGAACCUCUCUUUCCUUAUUACUUCUUAUUAAUUGCAACAAUGACUGAGGUCUAUGUUGAUUUAUUCUCAACAAGUUUCAAUCAUCAUACGUGCCAUAUGUGAAGCUAUCACUUUCCAUAAGAUCGUCUCAUGAUCUUUCAUGCUAUCGUUCUUUUCACACUAUUGAUCAUGGCACAAAGCAAAGUCCUUGACUAAGACACUCUUUAUUAUAUAGCUCGUAAGUUCGAAUACAUCGGGAGAGACAAAAGCAAAAGAUUCAAACUAAACACUAAAGACUUAUUCCUCUAAGAGAAGAAAUAAAAACUGAAAAGGAAAGAACUAAAACAAAGGUAAAAGCAAAAGAUAUAAAGGUGAUACGAUACCAGGGAAACUCCCCCAAGCUUGGCAGAAGCCAAGGGGAUUGCCCAUACCAAUGCUUAGUUGUCUUCCUUUGUUGGUGAUGGUGGUGUUGUUGUCGCCUUUGAUUCCAAGAGAGCUAUCAAUCUUUGAUUUAUACCUUUGAGAUCUGUGACAUGGUUUUCCAGCAAAACAACUUCACGAGAAAGAGAAAUAUUGCGAGCACGAGUUGUUUCGCAAAACCUCAAGAGUUCAAUCAAGGAUGGAGACAACACAUGGAGGAAGGGUUGGAGAAAAUCUACUCCUUCAACGUCUUCAAUGUUGAACAUAGGUUGAACUUCCUCCCUAGCUUGGGUUUUCUCCUUAGCUUGGUCACUGGCUUCCGUGACUUCUACUCUUUUCAGAUCUGCAUGUACUUCAUCAUGAACUUGGUGAAGAUCAUUCUCCCCAACAGAUUCCUGAGACAUCUUUGCUGCAAAUCUGCGGCAGAAAACAAGCUCGAAACGAAAACAGAGGAAAACUACGCGAUACGGAGAUCAAAACCUUCGGGCGACUAUAUAUUGAUUUUUUCUGGGCCAGAAGGAGUCCUCGGCAAGAAAACAGAGUCCGGGAGGCACACGAGGUGCCCACAAGCUUGCCCUCCGCCACCAGGGGGUAGGGGGCGGUGGAAGGGCUUGUGGCCGCCUCGUUCGCUCUCCGGACUGCUUUUUAUUUUUCUAAUUUUCCAAAAAUUCCAAAACGGAAGAAAUUUCCUAUUGGAAAAUCAUCGGAGUGCAAUUUCUUACCGAAACAGAUACAUCUUCGUUUUCAAGGUCUGAAACAGGCUGAUAAACAUCCCUUAUAUACUCCUCUGGAGUUAUGACAUUGAUGACAUUGGUCUCAAUAUUUAUGGGAGUAUGAUGACCCACAAAUAUAGGGGAUCAAUCGUAGUCCUUUCGAUAAGUAAGAGUGUCGAACCCAACGAGGAGCAGAAGGCUCUGAUAAACGGAUUUCAGCAAGGUAAUAACUGCAAGCACUGAAAGUAGCGGCAACAAGUCAUUGUGUAGCGAGGUGAAACGUAGCAAGCAAAAAGUAAUAAGUAACAAGUAGUAGCAAUGGUGCAGCAAGUGGCCCAAUCCCUUUUGUAGCAAGGGACAAGCCUGAAAAAAGUCUUAUAGGAGGAUAAACGCUCCCGAGGACACACGGGAAUUUCUGUCAUGCUAGUUUCAUCAUGUUCAUAUGAUUCGCGUUCGUUACUUUGAUAGUUUGAUAUGUGGGUGGACUGGCGCUUGGGUACUGCCCUUACUUGGACAAGCAUCCCACUUAUGAUUAACCUCUCUCGCAAGCAUCCGCAACUACAAAAGAAGAAUUAAGACAAAGUCUAACCAUAGCAUUAAACUAGUGGAUCCAAAUCAGCCCCUUACGAAGCAACACAUAGACUGGGGUUUAAGCUUCUGUCACUCCAACAACCCAUCAUCUACUUACUACUUCCCAAUGCCUUCCUCUAGGCCCAAAUAUGGUGAAGUGUUAUGUAGUCGACGCUCACAUAACACCACUAGAGGAAAAACAACAUACAACAUAUCAAAAUACCAAACGAAUAUCAAAUUCACAUGACUAUUAUUAACAUGACUUAUCCCAUGUCCUCAGGAACAAAAGUAACUACUCACAAAACAUAAUCAUAAUCAUGAUCAGAGGUGUAAUGAAUAGCAUCAAGGAUCUGAACAUAAACUCUUCCACCAAGUAAUCCAACAAGCAUCAACUACAAAGAGUAAUCAACACUACUAGCAACCUUACAAGUACCAAUCGGAGUUGCGAGACGAAGAUUGGUUACAAGAGAUGAACUAGGGAUUGGAGAGGAGAUGGUGCUGAUGAAGAUGUUGAUGAAGAUGCCUCCCCUCCGAUGAGAGGAGUAUUGGUGAUGACGAUGGCGACGAUCUCCCCCUCCGGGAGAGAAGUUUCCCUGGCAGGAUCGUCCUACCGGAGCUCUAGAUUGGAUCUGCUCAAGUUCCGCCUCGUGGCGGCGGCGAAACCACGAAAAAGCUCCCUCUUGAUUUUUUUUCUGGACCAGGACGCUUCAUAUAGCAAAAGAGGGGGCUAGUGGGCCGUCAGGGAGCCCACAAGCCCCCACUCCGCCACCAGGGGGGUGGCGGUGUCAGGGCUUGUGGCGCCCUGGCAGCCCCCCUUCGGUAGUUCUUUCGCCCAGUAUUUUUUAUAUAAUCCAGAAAAAAUCCACGUAACUUUUCAGGCCAUUUGGAGUUGUGCAAAAUAGUGGACUAGGAUUUGCUCCUUUCUUAGUCCAGAAUUCCAGCUGCCUGAAUACUCCCUCUUCAAAUAAACCUUGCAAAAUAAGAGAGAAAAGGCAUAAAUAUGGUACCACAAGUAAUAUAACAGCCCAAAAGGCAAUAAAUAUGAACAUGAAAGCAUGAUGCAAAAUGGACGUAUCAACUACCCCAAGCUUAGACCUCGCUUGUCCUCAAGCGAAAACCAAGUUCCAUAAACACGUCCACAUGUUUAGGGAUGAAGGUGUCGAUAAAACAUAAUACGGACAUGAGGGCAUCAUGAUCACACAUAGAACAACAAUACAUUAUAAAGAUUCUUAUGGAAAAGUAGCAAUUCCUUCACAAAGCAAAGCAUGAAUCAAAAACCUUACCGAGAAGUAACCAACAAUAAUCCAUAUUCAUUGAAGCAAUUGCAAUUUAUCACAACAUCAGAAAGAGUCAAAUAAGAGCUUGUAAGGCAAACCCACAUACUCAAUCAACUCAUUUGUUUUCCACAAUUGUUACAACUCACGUGGUACUCAUGGUGUCAAAGUUUCAGUUGGACACAGAGGAAGAUAGGGGCUUAUAGUUUUGCCUCCCAAUGGUUUACCUCACGGGUAAAGUCAAAAACAAUAAAGCAUGAGUACUCAACUCCAAGUUGAUAUAUGAAUAUAGAUAUUUCCCAAGCAUGUGACGGUAGCCAAGACAAAGGCAAAAAGGGAAUUGGUGAAGAUCACCAUGACUCUUUCAAGGGCAAAAAGUAAAGAUACAAGAUAGGCCCUUCGCAGAGGGAAGCAGAGGUUGUCAUGCGAUUUUGAGGUUUGAAUGCGUGUCCUCUUAGUGCGGAGGAACGUCACUUUAUAUUGCCUCCUGUGAUAAAGAACUUUAUUAUGCAGUCUGUCGCUUUUAUGUCUUCCUCAUCACAGGUUCGUACAAAGCUUAUUUUCCACACACUAAUAGAUCAUACAUAUUAGAGAGCAAUAUUUAUUGCUUGCACUGAUGACAACUUACUUGAAGGAUCUUAUUCAAUCCAUAGGUAGGUAUGGUGGACUCUCAUGGCAAAACUGGGUUGGAGGUUUAUGGAUGCACAAGUAGUAUCUCUACUUGGUGCAGGAGUUUUGGCUAAUAUGAGAUGGAAGAAAUCGUCACAUGCUAAGGGAUCUCUAAUCAUAUAACAUUGUUUGGAACCAAGCAAACACAAUUCAUUAUGUUGUCUUCCUUGUCCAACAUCUACUCCUAAGCAUGUAAUAGUUUGGUGAGUGCUCACAAUUGCAAAAAGUGUCUAAGAUGAUAUAUUUAUAUGUGAACCUCUCUUUCCUUAUUACUUCUUAUUAAUUGCAACAAUGACUGAGGUCUAUGUUGAUUUAUUCUCAACAAGUUUCAAUCAUCAUACGUGUCAUAAGUGAAGUUAUCACUUUCCAUAAGAUCGUCUCAUGAUCUUUCAUGCUAUCGUUCUUUUCAUACUUUUGAUCAUGGCACAAAGCAAAGCCCUUGACGAAGACACUCUUUAUUAUAUAGCUCGUAAGCUCGAAUACAUCGGGGGAGAGACAAAAGCAAAAGACUCAAACUAAAAACUAAAGACUUAUUCCUCUAAGAGAAGAAAUAAAAACUGAAAAGGAAAGAACUAAAACAAAGGUAAAAGAAAAACAUAUAAAGGUGAUACGAUACCAGGGCAACUCCCCCAAACUUAGCAGAAGCCAAGGGGAUUGCCCAUACCAAUGCUUAGUUGUCUUCCUUUGGUGGUGAUGGUGGUGUUGUUGGAGCAGUCUUGAGCUUGUCUAAUUUCCACUUGAGCAAAAAGUUCUGCUCCCUUAGAUCGUCAUUUUCCUCCUCAAGUUUCAAAACUCUAUGGCAAAGCUCCUGCUUACUCUCCUGCAAGAAACGAGAAGGGAUAAACAAGGUCUUAGGCUUCUUCCUAUGGUCAGGGAGGCUUGACUUCUUGAACUCCACAUGGGUGUUUGCUGGUUGAGGUAGAGGAGCCUCCUCUUCAUCGUAACUCGUUUGCUCCUUCCCUUUGGGCUUAUAGUCCUCUUCCUCAUCAGUGGUCCAGCCAUAUGGUUCCAAGUCCCCAUAGACCUUGGGGUUAGCAAGGUAGUCAGCCACAUAGCUCUCUCCCUUUGAAUCUUGAGAAUACAUCUUGACCUAGAUCUGCGGCAGAACAAGCUCGAAACGAAAACAGUGGAAAACUGCGCGAUACGGAGAUCAAAACCUUCGGGCGACUAUAUAUUGAUUUUUUUUUCUGGGCCAGAAGGAGUACUCCGCAAGAAAACGGAGUCCAGGAGGCACACGAGGUGCCCACAAGCUUGCCCUCCGCCACCAGGGGGUAGGGGGCGGUGGCAGGGCUUGUGGCUGCCUCGUUCGCUCUCCGGACUGCUUUUUAUUUUUCUAAUUUUCCAAAAAUUCCAAAACGGAAUAAAUUUCCUAUUGGAAAAGUAUCAGAGUCCAAUUUCUUACCGAAACAGAUACAUCUUCGUUUUCAAGGUCUGAAAUAGGCUGAUAAACAUCCCUUAUGUACUCCUCUCGAGUUAUGACAUUGAUGAUAUUGGUCUCAACAUUUAUGGGAGUACCAGAGAUGUAAUGCUUGAUUCUUUGCCCGUUUACCACUCUAGGAAAAUUUCCUUCCGUGUUAUCGAUUUCGAUGGCACCGGAACGAUAUACUUCCUUGAUAACAUAGGGACCUUCCCAUUUAGAGAGAAGCUUGCCUGCAAAGAACCUCAAACUAGAAUUGUAUAGCAAGACAUAAUCACCUACAUUGAACUCUCGUUUCUGUAUUCGUUUGUCGUGCCAUCUCUUAACCUUUUCCUUGGACAACCUGGCAUUUUCAUAUGCCUGGGCUCUCCAUGUUGGAAUUAUGCCCUAGAGGCAAUAAUAAAUGUAUAGUUAUUAUUAUAAUUCCUGUAUCAAGAUAAUAGUUUAUUAUCCAUGCUAUAAUUGUAUUGAAUGAAGACUCAUUUACAUGUGUGGAUACAUAGACAAAACACCGUCCCUAGCAUGCCUCUAGUUGGCUAGCCAGUUGAUCGAUGAUAGUCAGUGUCUUCUGAUUAUGAACAAGGUGUUGUUGCUUGAUAACUGGAUCACGUCAUUAGGAGAAUCACGUGAUGGACUAGACCCAAACUAAUAGACGUAGCAUGUUGAUCGUGUCAUUUUGUUGCUACUGUUUUCUGCGUGUCAAGUAUUUAUUCCUAUGACCAUGAGUUCAUAUAACUCACUGACACUGGAGGAAUGCUUUGUGUGUAUCAAACGUCGCAACGUAACUGGGUGACUAUAAAGAUGCUCUACAGGUAUCUCCGAAGGUGUUAGUUGAUUUAGUAUGGAUCAAGACUGGGAUUUGUCACUCCGUGUGACGGAGAGGUAUCUCGGGGCCCACUCGGUAAUACAACAUCACACACAAGCCUUGCAAGCAAUGUAACUUAGUGUAAGUUGCGGGAUCUUGUAUUACGGAACGAGUAAAGAGACUUGCCGGUAAACGAGAUUGAAAUAGGUAUGCGGAUACUGACGAUCGAAUCUCGGGCAAGUAACAUACCGAAGGACAAAGGGAAUGACAUACGGGAUUAUACGAAUCCUUGGCACUGAGGUUCAAACGAUAAGAUCUUCGUAGAAUAUGUAGGAUCCAAUAUGGGCAUCCAGGUCCCGCUAUUGGAUAUUGACCGAGGAGUCUCUCGGGUCAUGUCUACAUAGUUCUCGAACCCGCAGGGUCUGCACACUUAAGGUUCGACGUUGUUUUAUGCGUAUUUGAGUUAUAUGGUUGGUUACCGAAUGUUGUUCGGAGUCCCGGAUGAGAUCACGGACGUCACGAGGGUUUCCGGAAUGGUCCGGAAACGAAGAUUGAUAUAUAGGAUGACCUCAUUUGAUUACCGGAAGGUUUUCGGAGUUACCGGGAAUGUACCGGGAAUGACGAAUGGGUUCCGGGAGUUCACCGGAAGGGGGCAACCCACUCCGGGGAAGCCCAUAGGCAUUUGGGGGGUCACACCAGCCCUUAGUGGGCUGGUGGGACAGCCCACCAAUCCCCUAUGCGCCAAGAAAGAAAAAAUCAAAGGAGAGAAAAAAAAAAGGAAGAAGUGGGAAGGGGGAAGGACUCCCUCCCACCAAACCAAGUAGGACUCGGUUUGGGGGGGAGAGUCCUCCCCCCUGGCUCGGCCGACCCCUUGGGGAUCCCUUGGACCCCAAGGCAAGGUCCCCCUCGCUCCUCCUAUAUAUAUGGGGCUUUUAGGGCAGAUUUGAGACGACUUUCUCAUGGCUGCCCGACCACAUACCUCCAUAGUUUUUCCUCUAGAUCGUGUUUCUGCGGAGCUCGGGCGGAGCCCUGCUGAGACAAGAUCAUCACCAACCUCCGGAGCGCCGUCACGCUGCCGGAGAACUCUUCUACCUCUCCGUCUCUCUUGCUGGAUCAAGAAGGCCGAGAUCAUCGUCGAGCUGUACGUGUGCUGAACGCGGAGGUGCCGUCCGUUCGGCACUAGAUCGUGGGACUGAUCGCGGGAUUGUUCGCGGGGCGGAUCGAGGGACGUGAGGACGUUCCACUACAUCAACCGCGUUCUCUAACGCUUCUGCUGUACGAUCUACAAGGGUACGUAGAUCACUCAUCCCCUCUCGUAGAUGGACAUCACCAUGAUAGGUCUUCGUGCGCGUAGGAAAAUUUUUGUUUCCCAUGCGACGUUCCCCAACAGUGGCAUCAUGAGCUAGGUUAAUGCGUAGAUGUCUUCUCGAGUAGAACACAAAAGGUUUUGUGGGCGGUGAUGUGCGUUUUGCUGCCCUCCUUAGUCUUUUCUUGAUUCCGCGGUAUUGUUGGAUUGAAGCGGCUUGGACCGACAUUACUCGUACGCUUACGAGAGACUGGUUUCAUCGUUACGAGUAACCCCCUUUGCUCAAAGAUGACUGGCAAGUGACGGUUUCUCCAACUUUAGUUGAAUCGGAUUUGACCGAGGAGGUCCUUGGAUGAGGUUAAAUAGCAACUCAUAUAUCUCCGUUGUGGUGUUUGCGUAAGUAAGAUGCGAUCCUACGAGAUACCCUUGGUCACCACGUAAAACAUGCAACAACAAAAUUAGAGGACGUCUAACUUGUUUUUGCAGGCUAUGAUUGUGAUGUGAUAUGGCCAAUGAUGUGAUGUGAUAUAUUGGAUGUAUGAGAUGAUCAUGUUGUAAUAGAAAUAUCGACUUGCACGUCGAUGGUACGGCAACCGGCAGGAGCCAUAGGGUUGUCUUUAUACUAACAUAUGUGCUUGCAGAUGCGUUUACUAUUUUGCUAGGAUGUAGCUUUAGUAGUAAUAGCAUAAGUAGCACGACAACCCCGAUGGCAACACGUUGAUGGAUGAUCAUGGUGUGGCGCCGGUGACAAGAAGAUCGUGCCGGUGCUUUGGUGAUGGAGAUCAAGAAGCACGUGAUGAUGGCCAUAUCAUGUCACUUAUGAAUUGCAUGUGAUGUUAAUCCUUUUAUGCACCUUAUUUUGCUUAGAACGACGGUAGCAUUAUGAGGUGAUCUCUCACUAAAAUUUCAAGACGAAAUUGUGUUCUCCCCGACUGUGCACCGUUGCGACAGUUCUUCAUUUCGAGACACCACGUGAUGAUCGGGUGUGAUAGACUCAACGUUCACAUACAACGGGUGCAAAACAGUUGCACACGCGGAACACUCGGGUUAAGCUUGACGAGCCUAGCAUGUGCAGACAUGGCCUCGGAACACAUGAGACCGAAAGGUCGAGCAUGAAUCGUAUAGUUGAUAUGAUUAGCAUAGAGAUGCUUACCACUGAAACUAUUCUCGACUCACGUGAUGAUCGGACUUGAGAUAGUGGAUUUGGAUCAUGUACCACUCAAAUGACUAGAGAGAUGUACUUUUUGAGUGGGAGUUCUUAAGUAAUAUGAUUAAUUGAACUAAUUGUCAUGAACAUAGUCUAAUGGUCUUUGCGAAUUACGAUGUAGCUUGCGCUAUAGCUCUACUGUUUUUAUAUGUUCCUAGAGAAAAUUUAGUUGAAAAUUGAUAGUAGCAACCUUUGCAGACUGAGUCUGUAAAACCGAGGAUUGUCCUCGUUGCUACGCAGAAGGCUUAUGUCCUUAAUGCACCACUCGGUGUGCUGCACCUCGAGCGUCGUCUGUGGAUGCUAUGAACAUCCGACAUACACGUUACUGAUGACUACACGAUAGUUCAGUGCAAGAUACUUGAUGGCUUAGAAGCAAGGCGCCGAAAACGUCACGGAACAUAAGUGAUGUUCCGAAGAGAUGAAAUUGUGAUUUCAUGCUUGUGCCCUUGUUAAGAGGUACGAGACCUCCAAACAAGAAUCUUUGUCCACAAAGUAAAAGAGAAAAGCUCAAUCGUUGAGCGUGUGCUCAGAUUGUCUGAGUGCGACAAUCGCUUGAAUCAAGUGGGAGUUAAUCUUCCAAAUGAGAUAGUGACGGUUCUCCAAAGUCACUGCCACCAAGCUAUGAGAGCUUCGUGAUGAACUAUAACAUAUCAAGGAUAGAUACUAUGAUCUUUUGAGUGAUUCGCGAUGUUUGACACUGCGAAAGUAGAAAUCAAGAAGGAGCAUCAAUAGUUGAUGGUUAGUAAAACCACUAAGUUUCAAGAAAGGCAAGGGCUAGAAGGGAUACUUCGUGAAACGGCAAAACAGUUGCUGCACUAAUGAAGAGACCCAAGAUUAAACCCAAACCCGAGACUAAGUGCUUCUGUAAUGAGGGGAACAAUCACUGAGGCGGAGCAACUCAAGAUACUUGGUAGAUAAGAAGGCUGGCAAAAGUCGAAAGAAGUGUAUUUGAUAUACAUGAUGUUGAUGUGUACUUUACUAGUACUCCUAGUAGCACGAGGGUAUUGGAUACCGGUUCGGUUGCUAAGUGAUUAGUGACGCGAAAUGAAAGCUACGGCAUAAACGGAGACUAGCUAAAGGCGAGGUGACGAUGCGUGUUGGAAGUGUUUCCAAGAUUGAUAUGAUCAAACGUCGCACGCUCCCUCUACCAUCGGGAUUGGUGUUAAACCUAAAUAAUUGUUAUUUGGUGCUUGCAUUAAGCAUGAACAUGAUUGGAUCGUGUUUAUUGCAAUACGAUUAUUCAUUUAAAGAGAAUAAUGGUUACUCUAUUUUCUUGAAUAAUCACCUUCAAUGGUUUAUUGAAUCUCGAUCGUAGUGUUACACAUGUUCAUGAUAUUGGUGCCAAAAGAUACGAGUUGAUGAUGAUAGUACCACUUACUUGUGGCACUGCCGCUUGAGUCAUGUUAGUAUAAAUUGCAUGAAGAGGCUCCAUGCUGAUGGAUCUUUGUACUCACCUGAUUUCGAAUCACUAGUGACAUGCGAAUCAUACCACAUGACCAAGGCCUUGUUUUCAUUGAGAUGAAAUAAGAUAGUAACUUGUUGGAAGUGAUACAUUUUGAUGUAUGCAGUCCAAUGGGUGCUGAGGCACGCAGUGGAUAUCAUUAUGUUCUUACUUCACUGACGAUUUGAGUAGAUACUAGAGUAUUUACUUAAUGAAUCACAAGUUUGAAAUAUUGAAAAGUUCAAUUCUGUUUCAGAGUGAAGUUCGUCGUAAUAAGAGGAUAAACUGUCUACGAUAUGAUCAUAGAAAUGAAUAUCUGAGUUACGAGUUUUGGUACGCAGUUAAGACAAUGUGGAAGUUGUUUCGCAGUUCAUGCCACCUGGAACAUCAUAGUGUGAUGAUGUGUCUGAACAUCAUAGCCACGCACUAUUUGGUAUGAUGCAUAAUAUGAUGUCUCUUAUCGAAUUACCACUAUCGUUUAUGGGUUAUGCAUUAGAGACAACCGCACUCACUUUAAAUAGGGCACCGCGUAUUUCCGUUGAGAUGACACAGUAUAGACUGAGGUUUAGAGAAAUCUAAACUGUCGUUUCUUGAAAGUUUGGGGUUUCGACACUUAUGUGAAAAAGUUUCAGUCUGAUAAGCUCGAACCCAAAGCGGAUAAAUGCAUCUUCAUAGGAUAUCCAAAACAGUUGGGUACAUCUCCUAUCUCAGAUCCGAAAGCAAAGUGUUUGUUUCUAGAAACGGAUCCUUUCUCGAGGAAAGGUUUCUCUCGAAAGAAUUGAGUGGGGGGGGGGGGGUAGUAGAACUUGAUGAGGUUAUUGAACCAUCACUUCAACCAGUGUGUAGCAGGGCGUAGGAAGUUGUUCCUGUGGCGCCUACACCAAUUGAAGUGGAAGCUGAUGAUGGUGAUCAUUGAGCUUCGAAUCAAGUUACUACAAACCUCGUAGGUCGACAAGGUCGCAUACUGCUGCAGAGUAGUACGGUAACCCUGUCUUGGAGGUCAUGUUGUUGAGCAACAGUGAACCUACGAGUUAUGGAGAAAGCGAUGGUGGGCCCAGAUUCCGACAAAUGGCUGGAAGCCAUGAAAUCCGAGAGAGGAUCCAUGUGUGAAAACAAAGUGAAGACUUUGGUAGAACUACUUGAUGGUCAUAGGACUAUUGAGUGAAAAUGGAUCUUUAAAGGAAGACAGACGAUGAUGGUGAUAAGUCACUAUUAAGAAAGGCUAGACUUGUCGCAAAGAUGUUUUCGACAAGAUCAAACAGUUGACUCUGAUGAGACUUUCUCACUCGUAGCGAUGCUAAAGGUCUGUUAGAGUUAUGUUAGUUGUUGAUGCAUUGUUUAUGAAAUAUUGCACGUAGGAUAUCAAAACAUUGUUUUCUCGACGGUUUCCUUGAGCAAACAUUGUAUGUGAUACAACCAGAAGGUUUUGUCGAUCCUAAAGAUACUAGCAAGUAUGCGAGCUCCAGCGAUCCUUCAAUGGACCGGUGCAAGCAUCUCGGAGUUGGAAUGUAUAUACUUUGAUGAGAUGAUCAAAGAUUUUGGGUUUGUACAAGGUUUAUGAGAAACUUGUAUUUCUAAAGAAGUGAGUGGGAGCACUAUAGAAUUUCUGAUAAGUAUAUGUGGUUGACAUAUUGUGGAUGAGAAGUAAUGUAGAAUUUCUGUAAAGCAUACAAGGUUGUUUGAAAGGAGUUUUUCAAAGGAAAUACCUAGAUUGCGCUACUUGAACGUUGAGCAUCAAAGAUCUAUGGAGAUAGAUUGAAAGCGCUUAAUAGAAGUUUCAACAAGAUGCAUGCCUUGACAAGUUUUUGAAGGAGUUCAAAAUAGAUCAACAAAGAAGGAGUUCUUGGUUGCGUUGUAAGGUGUGAAUUUGAGUAAGACUCAAAACCCGACCACGGCAGAAUAAAGAGAAUAGACGAAGGUCGUAUUCUAUGCCUUAGCCGUAGAAUCUAAAGUAUGCCAUGCUGUGUACCGCACCUGAUGUGUGCCUUGACUCAAAGUCUGUUGAGAGGUACAGAGAGUGAUCCAUGAUUGAAUCACUAGCAGCGGUCAAAAUUUAUCCUUAGUAACAAAUGGACUGAGGAAUUUUUCUCGAUUAUGGAGGUGGUUAAAGAGUUCGUCGUAAAGGGUUACGUUGAUGCAAGCUUUGACACUAAUCCGAAUAACUAUGGGUAGUGAAACGGAUUCAUACAGUAGAGUAGAUGUUUGGAGCAUUUCCGAAUAGCACGUAGUAGCAGCAUCUAUAAGAUGACAUAAAGAUUUGUAAAGAACGCACGGAUCUGAAAGUUUCAGAACCGUUGACUAAAAACCUCUCUCACGAGCAAGACGUGAUCAGACCCCAUAACUAUACGGGUGUUGGAUUCGUUGGAAUAACAUGGUGAUGUGAACUAGAUUAUUGACUCUAGUGCAAGUGGGAGACUGUUGGAAAUAUGCCCUAGAGGCAAUAAUAAAUUAGUUAUUAUUAUAUUUCUUAGUUCAUGAUAAUCGUUUAUUAUCCAUGCUAUAAUUGUAUUGAUUGGAAACACAAUACUUGUGUGGAUACAUAGACAAAACACUGUCCCUAGUAAGCCUCUAGUUGACUAGCUCGUUGAUCAAAGAUGGUCAAGGUUUCCUGGCCAUAGGCAAGUGUUGUCACUUGAUAACGGGAUCACAUCAUUAGGAGAAUCAUGUGAUGGACUAGACCCAAACUAAUAGACGUAGCAUGUUGAUUGUGUCAUUUUGUUGCUACUGUUUUCUGCGUGUCAAGUAUUUAUUCCUAUGACCAUGAGAUCAUAUAACUCACUAACACCGGAGGAAUUCUUUGUGUGUAUCAAACGUCGCAACGUAACUGGGUGACUAUAAAGAUGCUCUACAGGUAUCUCCGAAGGUGUUAGUUGAUUUAGUAUGGAUCAAGACUGGGAUUUGUCACUCCGUGUGACGGAGAGGUAUCUCGGGGCCCACUCGGUAAUACAACAUCACACACAAGCCUUGCAAGCAAUGUAACUUAGUGUAAGUUGCGGGAUCUUGUAUUACGGAACGAGUAAAGAGACUUGCCGGUAAACGAGAUUGAAAUAGGUAUGCGGAUACUGACGAUCGAAUCUCGGGCAAGUAACAUACCGAAGGACAAAGGGAAUGACAUACGGGAUUAUACGAAUCCUUGGCACUGAGGUUCAAACGAUAAGAUCUUCGUAGAAUAUGUAGGAUCCAAUAUGGGCAUCCAGGUCCCGCUAUUGGAUAUUGACCGAGGAGUCUCUCGGGUCAUGUCUACAUAGUUCUCGAACCCGCAGGGUCUGCACACUUAAGGUUCGACGUUGUUUUAUGCGUAUUUGAGUUAUAUGGUUGGUUACCGAAUGUUGUUCGGAGUCCCGGAUGAGAUCACCGACGUCACGAGGGUUUCCGGAAUGGUCCGGAAACGAAGAUUGAUAUAUAGGAUGACCUCAUUUGAUUACCGGAAGGUUUUCGGAGUUACCGGGAAUGUACCGGGAAUGACGAAUGGGUUCCGGGAGUUCACCGGAAGGGGGCAACCCACUCCGGGGAAGCCCAUAGGCAUUUGGGGGGUCACACCAGCCCUUAGUGGGCUGGUGGGACAGCCCACCAAUCCCCUAUGCGCCAAGAAAGAAAAAAUCAAAGGAGAGAAAAAAAAAGGAAGAAGUGGGAAGGGGGAAGGACUCCCUCCCACCAAACCAAGUAGGACUCGGUUUGGGGGGGAGAGUCCUCCCCCCUGGCUCGGCCGACCCCUUGGGGAUCCCUUGGACCCCAAGGCAAGGUCCCCCUCCCUCCUCCUAUAUAUAUGGGGCUUUUAGGGCAGAUUUGAGACGACUUUCUCACGGCUGCCCGACCACAUACCUCCAUAGUUUUUCCUCUAGAUCGUGUUUCUGCGGAGCUCGGGCGGAGCCCUGCUGAGACAAGAUCAUCACCAACCUCCGGAGCGCCGUCACGCUGCCGGAGAACUCUUCUACCUCUCCGUCUCUCUUGCUGGAUCAAGAAGGCCGAGAUCAUCGUCGAGCUGUACGUGUGCUGAACGCGGAGGUGCCGUCCGUUCGGCACUAGAUCGUGGGACUGAUCGCGGGAUUGUUCGCGGGGCGGAUCGAGGGACGUGAGGACGUUCCACUACAUCAACCGCGUUCUCUAACGCUUCUGCUGUACGAUCUACAAGGGUACGUAGAUCACUCAUCCCCUCUCGUAGAUGGACAUCACCAUGAUAGGUCUUCGUGCGCGUAGGAAAAUUUUUGUUUCCCAUGCGACGUUCCCCAACACCUUGGUCACCACGUAAAACAUGCAACAACAAAUUAGAGGACGUCUAACUUGUUUUUGCAGGGUAUGAUUGUGAUGUGAUAGUAAUAGCAUAAGUAGCACGACAACCCCGAUGGCAACACGUUGAUGGAUGAUCAUGGUGUGGCGCCGGUGACAAGAAGAUCGUGCCGGUGCUUUGGUGAUGGAGAUCAAGAAGCACGUGAUGAUGGCCAUAUCAUGUCACUUAUGAAUUGCAUGUGAUGUUAAUCCUUUUAUGCACCUUAUUUUGCUUAGAACGACGGUAGCAUUAUGAGGUCAUCUCUCACUAAAAUUUCAAGACGAAAUUGUGUUCUCCCCGACUAUGCACCGUUGCUACAAUUCAUCGUUUCGAGACACCACGUGAUGAUCGGGUGUGAUAGACUCAACGUUCACAUACAACGGGUGCAAAACAGUUGCGCACGCGGAACACUCGGGUUAAGCUUGACGAGCCUAGCAUGUGCAGACAUGGCCUCGGAACACAUGAGACCGAAAGGUCGAUCAUGAAUCAUAUAGAUGAUAUGAUUAGCAUAGGGAUGCUUACCACUGAAACAACUCCCGACUCACGUGAUGAUCGGACUUGGGAUAGUGUAGGUGGAUCAUGAACCACUCAAAUGACUAGAGAGAUGUACUUUUUGAGUGGGAGUUUAGCAUAUAAUUUGAUUAAGUUGAACUCUAAUUAUCUUGAACAUAGUCUAAGUCCACUUUGAAUAUAUUUGUGUUGUAGAUCAUGGCUCACGCAAGUGUCAUCCUGAAUUUUAAUACGUUCCUAGAGAAAGCUAAGUUGAAAGAUGAUGGAAGCAACUUUGUAGACUGGGCUCGUAAUCUUAAGCUAAUCUUACAAGCUGGGAAGAAGGAUUAUGUCCUUAAUGCUGCGCUAGGAGAUGAACCGCCCGCUACGGCUGAUCAGGAUGUUAAGAACGCUUGGUUAGCGCGUAAGGAGGACUACUCAAUAGUUCAAUGUGCAGUCUUGUAUGGCUUAGAACCGGGACUUCAACGUCGCUUUGAGCGUCAUGGAGCAUUUGAGAUGUUCCAGGAGUUGAAGUUUAUCUUUCAGAAGAACGCCCGGAUCGAGAGGUAUGAGACCUCCGAUAAAUUCUAUGCUUGCAAGAUGGAGGAAAACUCGACUGUCAGUGAACAUGUGCUCAAAAUGUCUGGGUACUCAAACCGUCUAGCUGAACUGGGGAUUGAACUCCCGCAAGAAGCUAUCACUGACAGAAUCCUUCAAUCACUGCCGCCAAGCUAUAAAGGCUUUGUGUUGAACUACAACAUGCAAGGGAUGAACAAGUCUCCCGGCGAGUUGUUUGCGAUGCUGAAAGUCACAGAGUCGGAACUCCGUAAAGAGCAUCAAGUGUUGAUGGUGAGCAAGACCACUAGUUUCAAGAGAAACGGCAAGGGCAAGAAGGGCAAUUCGAAGAAGAGCGGCAAGCCUGUUGCCAAUCCGCCGAAGAAACCCAAGGCUGGACCUAAGCCUGAAACGGAGUGCUUCUAUUGCAAGGGUAUGGGUCACUGGAAGCGCAAUUGCCCCAAGUAUCUGGCAGAUAAGAAGGCGGGCAAAGAAAAAUCAGGUAUAUUUGAUAUACAUGUUAUUGAUAUGUACUUAACCGGCCCUCGUAGUAGUGCCUGGGUAUUCGAUACCGGUUCUGUUGCUCACAUUUGCAACUCGAAACAGGAACUACGGAAUAGACGAAGGCUGGCGAAAGACGAAGUGACGAUGCGCGUAGGAAACGGUUCCAAGGUUGAUGCAAUCGCCCUCGGCACCGUGUCACUUCAACUACCAUCGGGAUUAGUGAUGAACUUAAAUCAUUGUUAUUUAGUGCCUGCGUUGAGCAUGAACAUUAUAUCUGGAUCUUGUUUAUUGCGAGACGGUUACUCUUUUAAGUCUGAGAAUAAUGGUUGUUCUAUUUCUAUGAGUAACAUCUUUUAUGGUCAUGCACCGAAUGUGAGAGGAUUGUUCAUAUUGAAUCUUGAUAGCGAUACGCAUAUACAUAACAUUGAGACCAAAAGAGUUAGAGUAAACAAUGAUAGCACCAUAUUUUUAUGGCACUGCCGUUUGGGUCAUAUUGGUGUAAAGCGCAUGAAGAAACUCCAUGCUGAUGGACUUUUGGAGUCACUUGACUUUGAUUCACUUGACACGUGCGAACCAUGCCUCAUGGGCAAGAUGACUAAGACUCCGUUCUCCGGAACAAUGGAGCGUGCAAGUGACUUGUUGGGAAUCAUACAUACCGAUGUGUGUGGUCCAAUGAGCGUGGAGGCACGCGGCGGAUAUCGUUAUUUCCUCACCUUCACUGACGAUUUAAGUUGAUAUGGUUAUGUCUACUUAAUGAAGAACAAGUCUGAAACAUUUGAAAAGUUCAAGCAAUUUCAGAGUGAAGUAGAAAAUCAUCGUAACAAGAAGAUCAAGUUUCUACGGUCUGAUCGUGGGGGUGAAUAUCUGAGUUUCGAGUUUGGUACUCACUUAAGACAAUGUGGAAUUGUUUCGCAGUUAACACCGCCUGGAACACCACAGCGUAAUGGUGUGUCCGAACGUCGUAACCGUACUUUGUUAGAGAUGGUGCGAUCUAUGAUGUCUCUUACUGAUUUGCCGUUAUCAUUUUGGGGUUAUGCAUUAGAAACAGCUGCAUUCACUUUAAAUAGGGCACCAUCAAAAUCCGUUGAGACGACACCAUACGAACUGUGGUAUGGCAAAAGACCAAAGUUGUCGUUUCUUAAAGUUUGGGGAUGUGAUGCUUAUGUCAAAAAGCUUCAGCCUGAAAAGCUGGAACCCAAAGCGGAGAAGUGCGUCUUCAUAGGUUACCCAAAGGAGACAGUUGGGUACACCUUCUAUCUCAAAUCCGAGGGCAAAGUGUUUGUUGCUAAAAACGGAACUUUUCUCGAGAAGGAGUUUCUCUCGAGAGAAUUGAGUGGGAGGAAGAUAGAACUUGACGAGGUUGUCGAACCUCUCAUCCCUCUGGAUGGUGGCGCAGGGCAAGGGGAAACCUCUAUCGUUGCAACACCGGUUGAGGAGGAAGUUAAUGAUGAUAAUCAUGAAACUCCAGUUCAAGUUUCUGUUGAACCACGCAGGUCGACGAGAUCACGCGCUGCUCCAGAGUGGUACGGUAAUCCCGUCUUGUCAAUCAUGUUGUUAGACAACAAUGAACCUGCGAGUUAUGAAGAAGCAGUGGUGGGCCCAGAUUCCAACAAAUGGCUAGAAGCCAUGAAAUCCGAGAUAGGAUCCAUGUAUGAGAACAAAGUGUGGACUUUGGAGAUACUACCUGAAGGCCGCAAGGCUAUUCAGAACAAAUGGAUCUUUAAGAAGAAGACGGACGCUGACGGUAAUGUGACCGUUUAUAAAGCUCGACUUGUGGCAAAGGGUUUUUCACAAGUUCCAGGAGUUGACUACGAUGAGACCUUCUCACCCGUAGCGAUGCUUAAGUCCGUCAGAAUCAUGUUAGCAAUAGCUGCGUUUUUCGAUUAUGAAAUCUGGCAGAUGGAUGUCAAAACGGCGUUCCUUAACGGUUUCCUUAAGGAAGAGUUGUAUAUGAUGCAACCCGAAGGUUUUGUCGAUCCUAAAAAUGCUGACAAGGUGUGCAAGCUCCAGCGAUCCAUUUAUGGACUGGUGCAAGCGUCUCGGAGUUGGAACAAACGCUUUGAUGAGGUGAUCAAAGCAUUUGGGUUUAUACAAGUGGUUGGAGAAUCUUGUAUUUACAAGAAAGUGAGUGGGAGCUCUGUGGCGUUUCUAAUAUUAUAUGUGGAUGACAUAUUACUGAUUGGAAACAACGUAGAGCUUUUGGAGAGCAUAAAAGGUUACUUGAAUAAAAGUUUCUCUAUGAAGGACCUAGGAGAAGCUGCUUACAUUCUAGGCAUUAAGAUCUAUAGGGAUAGAUCAAAACGCCUGAUAGGACUUUCACAAAGCACAUACCUUGAUAAAGUUUUGAAGAGGUUCAAAAUGGAACAGUCGAAGAAAGGGUUCUUGCCAGUGUUACAAGGUACGAGAUUGAGUAAGACUCAGUGCCCAGCAACUGAUGAAGAUAGAGAGCAUAUGCGCUCCGUCCCCUAUGCUUCAGCCAUAGGCUCUAUCAUGUAUGCAAUGCUGUGCACUAGACCGGAUGUUAGCCUGGCCAUAAGUAUGGCAGGUAGGUUCCAGAGUAAUCCAGGAGUGGAUCACUGGACGACGGUCAAGAAUAUCCUGAAGUACCUGAAAAGGACUAAGGAGAUGUUUCUCGUGUAUGGAGGUGACGAAGAGCUCGCCGUAAAAGGUUACGUCGAUGCAAGCUUUGACACAGAUCCGGACGACUCUAAGUCGCAAACCGGAUACGUAUUUAUUCUUAAUGGGGGUGCAGUAAGCUGGUGCAGUUCCAAGCAAAGCGUCGUAGCAGAUUCUACAUGUGAAGCAGAGUACAUGGCUGCCUCGGAGGCGGCUAAGGAGGGUGUCUGGAUGAAGCAGUUCAUGACGGAUCUUGGAGUAGUGCCAAGUGCACUGGAUCCAAUAACCUUGUUCUGUGACAACACUGGUGCCAUUGCCUUAGCAAAGGAACCAAGGUUUCACAAGAAGACCAGACACAUCAAACGAUGCUUCAACCUCAUCCGCGACUACGUCGAGGAGGAGGACGUAAAUAUAUGCAAAGUGCACAUGGAUCUGAAUGUAGCACACCCGCUGACUAAACCUCUUCCACGGCCAAAACAUGAUCGACACCAGAACUGUAUGGGUGUUAGAUUUAUUACAAUGAAAUUCACAUGGUGAUGUGAGGGCUAGAUUAUUGACUCUAGUGCAAGUGGGAGACUGUUGGAAUUAUGCCCUAGAGGCAAUAAUAAAUGUAUAGUUAUUAUUAUAAUUCCUGUAUCAAGAUAAUAGUUUAUUAUCCAUGCUAUAAUUGUAUUGAAUGAAGACUCAUUUACAUGUGUGGAUACAUAGACAAAACACCGUCCCUAGCAUGCCUCUAGUUGGCUAGCCAGUUGAUCGAUGAUAGUCAGUGUCUUCUGAUUAUGAACAAGGUGUUGUUGCUUGAUAACUGGAUCACGUCAUUAGGAGAAUCACGUGAUGGACUAGACCCAAACUAAUAGACGUAGCAUGUUGAUCGUGUCAUUUUGUUGCUACUGUUUUCUGCGUGUCAAGUAUUUAUUCCUAUGACCAUGAGAUCAUAUAACUCACUGACACUGGAGGAAUGCUUUGUGUGUAUCAAACGUCGCAACGUAACUGGGUGACUAUAAAGAUGCUCUACAGGUAUCUCCGAAGGUGUUAGUUGAUUUAGUAUGGAUCAAGACUGGGAUUUGUCACUCCGUGUGACGGAGAGGUAUCUCGGGGCCCACUCGGUAAUACAACAUCACACACAAGCCUUGCAAGCAAUGUAACUUAGUGUAAGUUGCGGGAUCUUGUAUUACGGAACGAGUAAAGAGACUUGCCGGUAAACGAGAUUGAAAUAGGUAUGCGGAUACUGACGAUCGAAUCUCGGGCAAGUAACAUACCGAAGGACAAAGGGAAUGACAUACGGGAUUAUACGAAUCCUUGGCACUGAGGUUCAAACGAUAAGAUCUUCGUAGAAUAUGUAGGAUCCAAUAUGGGCAUCCAGGUCCCGCUAUUGGAUAUUGACCGAGGAGUCUCUCGGGUCAUGUCUACAUAGUUCUCGAACCCGCAGGGUCUGCACACUUAAGGUUCGACGUUGUUUUAUGCGUAUUUGAGUUAUAUGGUUGGUUACCGAAUGUUGUUCGGAGUCCCGGAUGAGAUCACCGACGUCACGAGGGUUUCCGGAAUGGUCCGGAAACGAAGAUUGAUAUAUAGGAUGACCUCAUUUGAUUACCGGAAGGUUUUCGGAGUUACCGGGAAUGUACCGGGAAUGACGAAUGGGUUCCGGGAGUUCACCGGAGGGGGGCAACCCACUCCGGGGAAGACCAUAGGCAUUUGGGGGGGUCACACCAGCCCUUAGUGGGCUGGUGGGACAGCCCACCAAUCCCCUAUGCGCCAAGAGAGAAAAAUCAAAGGAAAGAAAAAAAAAAGAGGAAGAAGUGGGAAGGGGGAAGGACUCCCUCCCACCAAACCAAGUAGGACUCGGUUUGGGGGGGGGGGGAGAGUCCUCCCCCCUGGCUCGGCCGACCCCUUGGGGAUCCCUUGGACCCCAAGGCAAGGUCCCCCUCCCUCCUCCUAUAUAUAUGGGGCUUUUAGGGCAGAUUUGAGACGACUUUCUCAAGGCUGCCCGACCACAUACCUCCAUAGUUUUUCCUCUAGAUCGCGUUUCUGCGGAGCUCGGGCGGAGCCCUGCUGAGACGAGAUCAUCACCAACCUCCGGAGCGCCGUCACGCUGCCGGAGAACUCUUCUACCUCUCCAUCUCUCUUGGUGGAUUAAGAAGGCCGAGAUCAUCGUCGAGCUGUACGUGUGCUGAACGCGGAGGUGCCGUCCGUUCGGUACUAGAUCGUGGGACUGAUCGCGGGAUUGUUCGCGGGGCGGAUCGAGGGACGUGAGGACGUUCCACUACAUCAACCGCGUUCUCUAACGCUUCUGCUGUACGAUCUACAAGGGUACGUAGAUCACUCAUCCCCUCUCGUAGAUGGACAUCACCAUGAUAGGUCUUCGUGCGCGUAGGAAAAAUUUUGUUUCCCAUGCGACGUUCCCCAACACUCCAUUCAUCUAACGAGCUGAUAUCAAGCAACCGCUUCUCACUGGCAAGUUUGAAAUCAAAGUUGAUCUCUUUGAUUGCCCAAUAAGCUUUGUGUUUCAGCUCAAGAGGUAAAUGACAGGCCUUACCGUAAACCAUUUUAUACAGUGACAUGCCCAUAAUAUUCUUAUAAGUAGUCCUAUAAGCCCAUAGUGCAUCGUCAAGUUUGCUAGACUAGUUCUUUCGAGAUCUAUUGACGGUCUUUUGUAGGAUCAACUUGAUCUCCCUAUUACUCAACUCCACUUGACCACUAGACUGAGGAUGAUAAGGAGAUGCAACUCUAUGGUUGACAUCAUACUUAGCUAGCAUCUUGCGGAAAACACCAUGAAUGAAGUGUGAACCGCCAUCAGUCAUCAGAUAUCUAGGGACUCCAAAUCUUGGGAAUAUGACUUCUUUAAGCAUCUUAAUAGAGGUGUGGUGAUCAGUAUUUUUAGUGGGGAUAGCUUCUACCCACUUAGUGACGUAAUCCACAACAACUAAGAUGUGAGUGUACCCAUUGGAACUCAGGAAGGGUCCCAUAUAAUCAAAGCCCCAGGCAUCAAAUGGUUCAAUGACAAGUGAAUAGUUCAUAGGUAUUUCCUCAUGCUUACUGAUAUUCCCUAUCCUUUGGCAUUCGUCACAAGACAAGACAAACUUACGAGCAUGCUUGAAGAGAGUGGGCCAAUAGAAACCUGAUUGCAAUACCUUAUGGCCAGUUCUAUCUCCAGCAUGGUGUCCUUCGUAGGCUUCGGAAUGACACUUCUGCAAGAUCUGUCCCUGUUCAUGUUCAGGCACACAACGUCUAAUAACACCAUCUACUCCUUCCUUAUAAAGGUGAGGAUCAUCCCAAAAGUAGUGUCUCAAAUCAAAGAAGAAUAUCUUCUUUUGCUGAUAGGUGAAACUGGGUGGUAUGUAUUUGGCUACGAUAUAAUUUGCAUAAUCGGCAUACCACGAUGCACUAUGUGAAGUGUGGAUGACAUUUAAUUGCUCAUCAGGAAAGCUGUCGUCAAUAGGUAGUGGGUCAUCAAGGACAUUCUCUAGCCUAGGCAAGUUAUCUGCUAUAGGGUUAUCAGCACCCUUUCGGUCAACGACGUGCAAAUCAAAUUCCUGUAGCAGGAGAACCCAUCUGGUCAGCCUAGGUUUAGCGUCCUUCUUCUCCAUGAGGUACUUAAUAGAAGCAUGAUGAGAGUGAAUAGUGACGUUGGAGUCAACUAUGUAAGAUCUGAACUUUUCACAUGCAAACACGACUACUAAAAAUUCCUUCUCCGUAGUGGCAUAGUUUCUUUGGGCACUGUCUAGAGUUUUACUAGCGUAGUGAAUAACAUUCAACUUCUUGUCAACUCUUUGUCCUAGACCAGCACCAACAGCAUAAUCACUAGCGUCGCACAUGAUUUCAAAGGGCAAGUUCCAGUCAGGUGGUUGAACAAUAGGUGCGGUUAUCAAAGCCUUCUUAAGUAUUUCGAAAGCUUCCUCACAAUCCUCAUCAAAAACAAAAGGAACAUCCUUCUGCAAGAGGUUGGUAAGAGGCCUAGAAAUCUUAGAGAAGUCUUUAAUGAACCUUUUAUAGAAACCAACAUGACCUAGGAAACUUCGUAUACCUCUGAUAUCUGUGGGGCAAGGCAUUUUCUCAAUUGCAUCAACCUUAGCCUUAUCAACUUCAAUGCCUCUUUCAGAGAUUUUGUGUCCUAAGACGAUACCUUCAUUAACCAAAAAGUGGCACUUCUCCCAAUUCAAGACGAGGUUGGUUUCUUCGCAUCUCUGUAAGACUCGAUCAAGGUUGCUGAGGCAAUCAUCAAAGGAAGGCCCGUAAACGGAGAAGUCAUCCAUGAAAACCUCAACGAUCUUUUCACGAAAGUCAGAGAAUAUAGCCAUCAUACAUCUUUGGAAGGUGGCAUGUGCAUUACAUAAGCCAAAAGGCAUACGUCUAUAGGCAAAGGUACUGAAAGGGCAGGUGAAAGUGGUUUUCUCUUGAUCAGAUUGUGCAACAGGUAUCUGCGAGAAACCUGAAUAACCGUCUAGAAAGCAGAAGUGAGUGUGCUUUGAUAGCAUUUCUAGCAUUUGGUCGAUGAACGGCAAAGGAUAAUGAUCUUUCCUGGUUGCCUUGUUCAGUUUCCGGAAGUUUAUCACCAUUCUAUAGCCGGUAAUAAUCCUUUCUGGGAUUAGUUCAUCCUUAUCAUUAGGAACGACGGUGAUACCUCCCUUCUUAGGUACGCAAUGUACUGGACUUACCCAAUCACUAUGAGCAACAGGAUAAAUGAUUCCUGCUUCCAGAAGUUUUAAUAUUUCUUUUCUAACGACCUCUUUCAUCUUAGGAUUUAAUCUCCUUUGAUUAUCAGCAACUGGUUUAAAGUCAGGAUCGGUUUUAAUCUUGUGCUGACAUAGGGUAGGACUAAUACCCUUAAGAUCAUCAAGAGUAUAUCCAAUAGCAGCGCGGUGCUUCCUCAGAGUUGUUAGUAACUUCUUCUCUUCGCGCUCUGAGAGGAGGGCACUAAUAAUGACAGGAUAUAUCUCCUUCUCAUCAAGAUAGGCAUACUUAAGAGUAUCCGUCAACUGUUUAAGCUCGAACACAAGAUCACCCUUUGGUGGGGGAGGAUCCCCAAGCAGUUCAACAGGCAGAUUAUUCUUGAGAAUAGGAUAUUGUUCUAAGAUAAUUUUAGCUAUCUCAUCUCUCUCCUCCAUAUGCACAUCAUUUUCAUGCUCAAGUAGAUAUUGCUCUAAAGGAUCCGUAGGAGGUACGGCAAUAGAGGCAAGAGCAAUGAUUUGAUCCCUACCAGACGACUCUCUUUCAUGGGUUUGUCUUUCAAAUUGGAGAAGUUAAAUUCGUGAGACACACCCUCAAAACUUACUGUGACAGUCUGCUUAAUGCAAUCAAUGUGAGCGUUGACAGUGUUGAGAAAGGGUCUACCAAAUAUGAUGGGACAAAAGCUAUCUUGUGCAGUACCAAGGACGAGGAAAUCAGUAGGAUACUUCGUCUUACCACACAGGACUUCUACGUCUCUCACAAUUCCCAAAGGGCAGAUAGUGUCUCUAUUAGCUAGCGUAAUAGUGACAUCAAUGGGUUCUAACUCAUCAGGUGCAAUCUCAUCUUUCAUUUCAUCAUAUAGAGAACGGGGUAUUGCACUAAAACUAGCUCCCAUAUCACAUAAACCAUGGUAACAGUGAUCUCCUAUCUUAACAGAAACAACGGGCAGGCCAACUACAGGUCUGGCGCGCCCAAGAUGCGACCCUAUCCUCAAUUUGGCACGAAGGCCUCGUCAGGGAUAGAAGCGCAUCUCGUCGUGUCGCAAGAAUGGAUAUCGUCACAAGUACAUGUACUGAAAAGAAGAGUUAUAUAUACAGAGUUGGCUUACACUCGCCACAAGCUACAUCAGAGUCACAUCAGUACAUUACAUAAUCAUCAAGAGUAAGAGCAGGGCCCGACUAUGGACGAAAACAAACGAGAAAAAUAAGAACGACGUCCAUCCUUUCUAUCCCAGGCUGCCGGCCUGGAACCCACCCUAGAUCGAUGAAGAAGAAGAAGAAGAAGCAACUCCAAAUGAACAAUCAACGCGCUCACGUCAAGUAACCUUUACCUGUACCUGCAACUGGUGUUGUAGUAACCUGUGAGCCACAGGGGACUCAGCAAUCUCAUUUCCAGAGGUAUCAAGACUAGCAAAGCUUAAUGGGUGAGGUAUGGUUAAGUGGUGAGGUUGCAGCAGCGACUAAGCAUAUAUUUGGUGGCUAACUUACGAGUACCAGAAAUAAGAGGGGGAAGAUCUACGCAUAACGGACGUGAACUACUGAUGAUCAAAUGAAUGAUCCUGAACACCUACCUACGUCAGACAUAACCCCACCGUGUCCUCGAUCGGAGAAGGAACUCACGAAAGAGACGAUCACGGUUACGCACACAGUUGGCAUAUUUUUAAUUAAUUAACUUCAAGUUAUCUAGAACCAGUGUUAAACAAGGUUUCCAUGUUGCCACAUAACCGCGGCCACGGCUUUCCGAAAGGUUUAACCCUGCAGGGGUGCUCCAACUAGUCCAUCACAAAUUACCACAAGCCGCAUAGAAAUCCUCAAUCACGAAGCUCGCGAUCUCGUCGGAUUCCCUAGUGGAAAACCUCAACUCUGAGAUUACCCAAAGCAUCACCGGAAUCCCGAUGCACAAGAUAUCUCGUCAAAGGUAAAACUAAUCCAGCAAGGCCACCCGACGUGUCGACGAUCCCGAUAGGAGUCGCGUACCUCGUUCUCAGGACACGACGGAUGAGCAAUGGUUACCACACCAAACGCCGAGUUGCCCCGGGUAGCGUUAAUAAGCUGCUCUGUUUUGGACCAACACACAUGAGGAGCACUGGCCCAGGGGUUGAUUAAAAUAGUCCGCGGGUGCCGGCGGGUCCCUAUGCAAUUUUAUUAGGUGAUUAGGAAAAUGUAGUACCAAUGUUGGGCCUUGCCAGACCAGCUUUAAUCUAAAACGAAUUAUCAAGGGGGUCCCCAUAACAACCCCGAUCGUGUUAGGAGCGCUCAUUUAUGGAACAUAACACCGGUAGCCGGAAACUAAGGGGGCAAAGGUGGAACAAAACACCAGGCUAGAAAGGCCGAGCCUUCCACCUUUUACCAAGUAUAUAGGUGCAAUAAAUUAAAUAGCAUUUAAAUAUGGUGGUAUAACAAGGAACCCAUGUUUUCACAUGGAAGAAACUACAGCUGCAACUAGCAACGCUAACACAGGGUCAAGCAAGCAGUAACAUAGCCAAUCAUUGGUUUGCUAGGUUGAACAGGUUGAAGAUUAAGAUGGCAUUGUUGAGAGGCUGAUAUUUAACAAGUGGUAGGCAACGAGACAUAAUCGAUAGCAUCGAAAUAACUAGCAUGGCAAUGAUACUAAUGGUAUCUGGGGACAUGAUCAUCUUGCCUGAGAUCCCGCUUGGAAGAAGAAUGCCUCCGUGAAGCAGACGAACCGAUGUAGUCGAACGGGUCCUCACAAUCCGGCACGCUGCGGAACUCUAGCGAGACGAAGCCAACCGGAAACACAAAUCAACACACGAAAUUCACCACACGAUGCACAACACAUAUGAUGCAUGAGCAGCUGAAUAUAUGCAAGUCACGGCAUGAAAAUUCACACAAUCAAACACUACACAUUAAGUGAAGUUCAAUAUGCAACGAGUUACAAAUUGACGAAACUCCACGUUAAUUUAUUUAGUUCUAUCCCAAUUAAAUACACGGCAAUAUUAAAUGUGGUUAAACAUGGCAAGAGGUGAAGCGUGAUUAAUCUACCUAUCUAGGCAUUUUAAAUGAGGUCGGAUAUGACAUAUAGCAUCUCCGAGAUGACCUCACUUGUUAAUUUACGAUUCUGUCCAGAUCUGAACUAAUGCAUUUAAUUGGUUGUUAAACAGCAAAACAAAUAGGUUCACAUGAUUCUACGCGUCAUGGCAAGCAAUCUACACAUAAAGAACAUCUCCAACGGAGCUACGGGUCAAAAGUUACAAGCAUCGCAAGAUAUGAUGGCAUGAAUGCAAUAUGUGUGCAACGACGGCUACGAGCACUUCAAAACAUACAAACAGCAAGAGAAAAUGAAACUACACAAGAUCCUAAGCAAGUUUCAUGUAGGACACGAUCAAAUCAGAGCUACGGUUCAACAACUACGAGCAAAACAAGAAAUCUUCACAAUCUGCCAAAAUCAGCCACAUGGCAUUUUAUACGCCUCACAACUUCGGCUACACAACUCCGAUAAGCUCAAGCAAGGCAUGGCAUGGAAGAGGACAAGAAUCACUACUACGAACAACUAACAACAACUAGCAUGGCAGCAAGGAGCACUAGGAAAAGAAGACACAAAAUGGCAUCUCACACACUAUUUCAGACUUAGUGAAAAUUACACCUCAUGAAAGUGCAGUUUUCGAUCUGAAGCAAUGUUGACAGCAGCAAAACCUAUAGCUACAGGAGUCCAAAUGGCAUGAAAAUUAACAGCAUGCUAGAGAAUCACAAGGGGUAGAACUAACUCCAUUGGACCAACCUCAAAAGAGCUACAGAUCACAAGAUGCAAGCAAGACAAGAUAGCAACAAAAUAUAACAGAUUCCAGACUUAGAAAUAUUUCAGCACGUCUAAAACAGCACUAUUUCUAGCAACUUGAGGGCUAUCGAAACACACCUAAACAUGCAUUUCUAUUGCAACCAAAAAUACCAGGGGCUAAUCAAAACAUCCAAGAUCAACUCUCUAGUUGACAACUCCGUCAAACGACGUACGGAAUAAAUCCUACGAAUUAAUCAAAAGGGCAACAUAGCAAAAUAUCUUGCGAACUAACUUGCUCUAAUGCUAAAAAUAAUUGCACAGAAAAAUCCAUGGGAUUUUGCUACCCCGAAAACAUAUAAAAUAUGUGGGGUUUGCAACACAAAAUAAUGCCACACAUUAAUGCGAGAAAAUAACCUAUAUACGGGAAAAUAAACUACCGGCAAUCCAUACACGCAAAAAUACAAAUGACAGGUCUAAAAAACAUGAUAAAAUGGUCCCUAAAAAAUAGACAUUUUAUCUACGUCAUACGGGCAACCCGGUCUUGCACGAAAAAUAAAUACAGGUCGAAACCUAUUAGGACAGCACACUUAUCUAGGCAAACAGCAUGCUAAACAACGUCAAACAAAUGUGCAAGUUUUAAAUUCGGAUUCUACGCGAAAAGUUACACGAGAUACAUAUCUAAAUCUUCGCGAUCCGACUUACGGAUAAUAUUCUGCGGGCAUUCUAAUAUAGUCUGAUUACUGGAAUUAAUUAAAUUCCUAAAAUUCCUAAAUGGGCCGAACAGGUGGGCGCGAGGUAACAGGUCAGUGCAUGGGCGUAGAAUAGUGGCUUGGGGGGUGCUCACCUCGGGCCUUGGCCCGGCUGGAGGAGCAGGCCGAGGGGCGCGCUGGGCCUGGCUCGGGCGCUGGCCAGGCGCUAGCUGGGCCGCGACGCUCCUGGGCCUGGGGCGACGCAGCUGGACGAAGGGGGCCUGGGGCGCGGGGAAGAGUGGCUGGGCCUCGGGGGCGCUCUGGGCCGAUGCGGGGCCCACGGGGCGGCGCUCUGGGUCUCCUCGUCGCCCUCCUCUGGCCUACCGCACGAGGCAUGGCGGCGCCGACCUGGAACCGCCGGAGGGCGCUGACCACAGGGCGGAGACGGUCGGGACGGGGCCGGGGUCGGCCGGAUCUGGCCGGCCUUCGCCAGAUCUGGCCGCCGGCGGGGGCGAGGCAGCAAGGGCGGCGGUGCUGGCGGGUCAAGGCAGCAAGGGCUCGGCCGACAGGGAGAGCGCGGCGCUCCGGCGGCUGCCGAUGGCCGGCGGGAGGCGGCGGGACCGAGUGUAGCAGGAGCUGCGAGGCUCCCCGGCGAGGGGCUGGCCGGCGGCGCAGGAGGCUCCGGUCAAGGAGGUGCGGCGGCUCCCGGGAGGAGGAGGCACGGGCAGGGAGGUCGAACGGGGCGGCGGCGUGAUGCGGGCUCGGGUGGGCUCCAGAUGGGCCUGGCAUGCCCACGGCGGCUGGGGCUGGGGAGAGAGAGGAGAGGUUGUGGCGGCUAGGGUUAGGUUUAGGUGGGGCGCGGAAAACAAGGCAGGUUAGGGAUGGGUGUCCGAAAAUUAGAAGGGGUCUAUAUAUAGACAAACGGGGGGGCUCGGUUAACCGGAAUCGCGCUCCGGAUCCAACCGCGGGGUCGGAUUCGGACGAUUCCGCACGAGGGAAUGGGUACGCGGCCGUGUAGAGGGGAUAUCCGGAGAUGAGAGGGAGAACGGGCGAUGCGGCACGAAUUUUAAAAACACCGACAGACGUCCGACGGUGGACCGAAUACGGUGCCGCUACGGUCGACCGUUCGGGUACCAGACGGACUCCGAUCGCGACGAAAUUCGACAAGCGGCCUAGCUAUAACUAAUCACGACCGCGUGCCAAGUCUCACCUUGAUCAGAGAAAGUUUUAACCGCGCUUUUAAAACAGGGUUUCGACGGUGCCGCGGGCGUGUGCGAGUGCGGUCGGGCUCAGAACGGACGACGACGCGAACCGGCAACUAACAACGGAUGCAAGUUUUGAAAACUGGCGGCAACGGAGAUGCCGAUGCGAUGCAGAUGAUGCGCAUGAUGCGAUGAUGAUGCGACAAAUAACAUAAAUAACACGACGAAAACGGAAAGGAAAGGGAAUCUUCUGGAACGUCGGCAUCGGGCUGUCACAACUCUCCUACACUACAAGAAGAUCUCGCCCCGAGAUCCAAGAAUGAAAGGGGGAGAGGAUGAGAAAGAACAAGAGGUAAAACUUAGUCGCUUCUUGACAAACGAGUGAAACCAACGAUCCUUGAAGGUUGCAAGGCAAUGAGAAAAGAUAUGAGAGGAAGCAAGAAUUCACGGAAAAUUUCGACAGCACUUCGGUAGGAAAAUGGGACAAAAAAUUCGAUAAGAUGGUAGAAAUAGACAAUAUACAUAACAAACAACUAAAUAGAACAAGGGAACACCAUGAUCUUGAUAGAACAACACAAUAUAACCAAAAGAGCAACAUCACAAUGCCUCCGGAACAAUAGAAUAGGAACUAGCUCAAGCGAAAGAAGAGAAUGAAGAAAGAAAUGACAACUAUCAACUCCAAUGAACUUGGCAAGCAUGCUUGCAAGAAAAAUUGAACGAAGUUGUUGGAAAAACAAUAACGAAAAGAACAAGAUAGUAGUGGGCUUAUGGAAAUCAUCUCAACAAAUAUGAGGUGACAACCAACCACUAAAAGAAAGAAGGAUAGAUUGGGAGAAACAAGAUAUGAACAAUUCUUACACCAAGAGGAUGCAUUGAGAACUUAGAUUAAAGACAAGCACCAUGAUAGUACAAUCCCUAGGAAAAGCUUUAGGUGAAAUCCAACCCAAGAUAGCUCAAAGGAGAAAUCAUGGGUUGAAAUAUCUCAUGAUCAUAGAAUUGGUGGGUUUAAUUAUCUCAUUCUUGAAAGGAAAAUUCUCUGAGGCUCCUACACUAACAAGAAGGCUAUAAUACCACCUCAAAGGAAAAGGAAUAACAAAUGCACUUGGGAAUGCAAGAGAACGGAUACUUGAGGAAAGAAUUGAUAUGAUGAUGAACCACCAUGAAGGACCUCCGUAAGAAUGAUGCAACGAUAAGAAGGUAGAAAAGGAUAAGAUUAUGACCUUGCCAAGAUUUAGAUGAAGCCUCACAGAGAGAAACUUGAUAGAACUUGGAACUCCGGAAAGAAAUAUAGGCACUUGAGAAAAGAAUUUAUAUCAUGAGUCCUCCGGAAGAAGAAUUGAAAUCUCUUGGAAGGAGGAAGGACAAUAAUAAGAAUUAUGUUAUGCUCAUCCUUCAUCAAGUUUAAUUGAUGACAAGCAACGGAUUUAGCAUACAACUUAUUCUUGUAGAAAAGAUUGAGGAGAGAUAUGAGCACAAACUAGAAGAAGUCUUGAAGGAGACACCGGUGAGAAUUUAAAUGAAUGAGGCAACCAUGAAUGACUCAAGAAAGAUGAGAAAGAUGAGAUCAUGAACCACCUAACAGAAAACUUGAAUAAGGCACCGGAAUAAUCGAGAGACGAACGAAGAGACAACAAUUGAGAAGAAUUGAGGAUGAAAGCCGAAAGCUGAGAACGAAGAAUCUUCUAAAAUGAUGGCCUUCGGAGGAACGAGAAAUAAAAACGACUCAGAGAAGCACCGGAUAGCACGAAAGGGAUUACCCACGAUUGGGAAUAAUUCAAGAUGAUGCCAGAAGGCUGAAACGAUGAAUCAUGAAGAUAAUGGGCCAAGAUUGAGAGAAACACUCCUUCAAAUGCAAGCUGAGAAUGAUGACGAUAACAACGCCAAGAAUUACUAAGACACUCCGGAAUAAAGAAGAAUGAAAGGUUGAGCCAAAGAAUGAAUUAAUUCAAAUAGAACUUGAAGAAGUAAUAUGACUGAUGGAAAUCAUACUUACGUCAUAGUUGAAAGAUUUAAUGAUCUCCGGGAAAAGAUUAAAAAUGCCAGGAAAGAUCCUGGGAAAGAACCAGUGGGUUAUGGGCCCACUCAAAGAAACCACCGUUAGAAAAGAUUGCUAGACCGAGAGAUAUUGCACCGGUAUGAAGAGAACUAGAUGAGGUUAGCACCUCGAAAUAAUUAAAGAAUUGAGAACAAGAAUUCUGAGAUAACUUCAACGCUCCGGAUAGAAUAGAGAGAAAUAACAACAAGAAAAUAGACUAAUAAAAAUUUCCAACAUAGGAAAUAAUUACAAGGAUGAAAAGGAUAUGAUGAACACAGACAACUGAAUUGAAUUCACCGGUAAGGAUGACAAAAAUGAACAAAGAGGAACACGAAGCUCCUGAGAAUCUUCACAAUGAAUCAUCGGCUACGAAAGGAAGAAGAGAUAGCGGAAGCACAAUGAAAUGAAUGCGCUUGGAUGAAAUCCAAUCACCGAAGAAAAAGGGCGGGAGGGCGGGAAAAAAACAAAGACAACUUGGGACAGAUGAGAUGAACUCCGGAUGGAAUAAAAGAAUGCUAUCGACAAUCCACUUGAGGAGAAGCACACCGGUUGGAAAAGAAAAAACAUGACGACUCCGGUCGACAAGAAUUGAUAAGACAACUGAUUAAGCAAAAGAAUUAGCAUUCACGUAAAAAUAUGAGAACACAGAUUAGGAAAGAUCUGAAAUCACCACUUGACAUCGAAGCAACACAAAUUACCAUAUUCAACAAAACAAAGGGUGAGGCUUAUGAAACAAGCCAGAACAAACUCAUGAGAAAGAUUUCGUCCGAUAUUUUCAUGGACAGAUCGCACGGGCUCGAUUUUACAGUAGCCAUCAAGUGCAAGGUAGUGCACCCGACAUACGAAGUAUCCCCGAGUCGUAGCAAGCUACAAGGACUCUUUAAGACACAACGUGUACCGCUGUAAGUCGACCGUGAACAAACGAAUCCACUAGAUGUCGAACCCCAACCUAACAACAUGCAUUUGUUGGAAGAUUGUCCUAUAAGCAACUACUUGAAUUCUCACCUAUGAACUCCCGAAAUAUCUGGUCAUGUAAUCUGGUACACGGAUACAAGGAGUAAUAUCACACAACUCCUAUACUAACCCGUCACUUGUAUCACAUCCGUCAACACACGACCAGAAUCUCGGACCUUCAUCUACUACAGACCCUCGUGAUCACAACGAUACAGAGUAUGGCAGUACUCCCGAACAAUCUGCACCAGUACCGGGGAUAUCGGGGUUAUCUCGCCACUACUAGUAUUGAAGCAAUUACGAACAUCCUUCGUUCUGAGAUACUAAGAAAUCUGAAUGAUAACGAUGUGCUGAAGAAUCCCCUGGAGCUCAACUCCCCGGAAGAAGAUCAAGUCAGACAGGAGGCACCAAGACAGAACUCCGUCACAUCGGCAUCAUAUAGAUUCCAAAAAUAUCUGUGUGAUCCUAAAAAAAAAUUUGAGUGAGAAGAGGAGUAGAAUAAAUUAUUACGUCAAGAUUCCUCACGAGAGCAUAGAAGAGGAGAAAAAAGAAUCCUACUCUCCGAUAUAUAACUAGACUCAAAGUAUUUUUACUAGACUCGACUCGGUCAAAUUUGAUUAAUGAAGGGGGCUCCUAGGUCGGUACUGGUCUGAUACCAACUUGUCACGCCCAAGAUGCGACCCUAUCCUCAAUUUGGCACGAAGGCCUCGUCAGGGAUAGAAGCGCAUCUCGUCGUGUCGCAAGAAUGGAUAUCGUCACAAGUACAUGUACUGAAAAGAAGAGUUAUAUAUACAGAGUUGGCUUACACUCGCCACAAGCUACAUCAGAAUCACAUCAGUACAUUACAUAAUCAUCAAGAGUAAGAGCAGGGUCCGACUACGGACGAAAACAAACGAGAAAAAUAAGAACGACGUCCAUCCUUGCUAUCCCAGGCUGCCGGCCUGGAACCCACCCUAGAUCGAUGAUGAAGAAGAAGAAGAAGCAACUCCAAAUGAACAAUCAACGCGCUCGCGUCAAGUAACCUUUACCUGUACCUGCAACUGGUGUUGUAGUAACCUGUGAGCCACAGGGGACUCAGCAAUCUCAUUUCCAAAGGUAUCAAGACUAGCAAAGCUUAAUGGGUGAGGUAUGGUUAAGUAGUGAGGUUGCAACAGCGACUAAGCAUAUAUUUGGUGGCUAACUUACGAGUACCAGAAAUAAGAGGGGGAAGAUCUACGCAUAACGGACGUGAACUACUGAUGAUCAAAUGAAUGAUCCUGAACACCUACCUACGUCAGACAUAACCCCACCGUGUCCUCGAUCGGAGAGGGAACUCACGAAAGAGACAAUCACGGUUACGCACACAGUUGGCAUAUUUUUAAUUAAUUAACUUCAAGUUAUCUAGAACCAGUGUUAAACAAAGUUUCCACAUUGCCACAUAACCGCGGCCACGGCUUUCCGAAAGGUUUAACCCUGUAGGGGUGCUCCAACUAGUCCAUCACAAAUUACCACAAGCCGCAUAGAAAUCCUCAAUCACGAAGCUCGCGAUCUUGUCGGAUUCCCUAGUGGAAAACCUCAACUCUGAGAUUACCCAAAGCAUCACCGAAUCCCGAUGCACAAGAUAUCUCGUCAAAGGUAAAACUAAUCCAGCAAGGCCGCCCGACGUGUCGACGAUCCUGAUAGGAGUCGCGUACCUCGUUCUCAGGACACGACGGAUGAGCGAUGGUUACCACGCCAAACGCCGAGUUGCCCCGGGUAGCGUUAAUAAGCUGCUCUGUUUUGGACCAACACUCAUGAGGAGCACUGGCCUGGGGGUUCAUUAAAAUAGUCCGCGGGUGCCGGCGGGUCCCCAUGAAAUUUUAUUAGGUGAUUAGGAAAAUGUAGUACCAAUGUUGGGCCUUGCCAGACCAGCUUUAAUCUAAAACGAAUUAUCAAGGGGGUCCCCAUAACAACCCCGAUCGUGUUAGGAGCGCUCAUUUAUGAAACAUAACACCGGUAGCCGGACACUAAGGAGGCAAAGGUGGAACAAAACACCAGGCUAGAAAGGCCUAGCCUUCCACCUUUUACCAAGUAUAUAGGUGUAAUAAAUUAAAUAGCAUUUAAAUAUGGUGGUAUAACAAGGAACCCAUGUUUUCACAUGGAAGCAACGGCACCUGCAACUAGCAACGCUAACACAGGGUCAAGCAAGGAGUAACAUAGCCAAUCAUUGGUUUGCUAGGUUGAACAGGUUGAAGGUUAACAUGACAUUGUUGAGAGGCUGAUAUUUAACAAGUGGUAGGCAACGAGACAUAAUCGAUAGCAUCGAAAUAACUAGCAUGGCAAUGAUAGUAAUGGUAUCUGGGGAAAUGAUCAUCUUGCCUGAGAUCCCGCUUGGAAGAAGAAUGCCUCCGUGAAGCAGACGAACCGAUGUAGUCGAACGGGUCCUCACAAUCCGGCACGCUGUGGAACUCUAGCGAGACGAAGCCAACCGGAAACACAAAUCAACACACGAAAUUCACCACACGAUGCACAACACAUAUGAUGCAUGAGCAGCUGAAUAUAUGCAAGUCACGGCAUGACAAUUCACACAAUCAAACACUACAGAUUAAGUGAAGUUCAAUAUGCAACGAGUUACAAAUUGACGAAACUCCACGUUAAUUUAUUUAGUUCUAUCCCGAUUAAAUACACGGCAAUAUUAAAUGUGGUUAAACAUGGCAAGAGGUGAAGCGCGAUUAAUCUACCAUCUAGGCAUUUUAAAUGAGGUCGGAUAUGACAUAUAGCAUCUCCGAGAUGACCUCACAUGUUAAUUUACGAUUCUGUCCAGAUCUGAACUAAUGCAUUUAAUUGGUUUUUAAACAGCAAAACAAACAGGUUCACGUGAUUCUACGCGUCAUGGCAAGCAAUCUACACAUAAAGAACAUCUCCAACGGAGCUACGGGUCAAAAGUUACAAGCAUCGCAAGAUAUGAUGGCAUGAAUGCAAUAUGUGUGCAACGACGGCUACGAGCACUUCAAAACAUAUAAACAGCAAGAGAAAAUGAAACUACACAAGAUCUUAAGCAAGUUUCAUGUAGGACACGAUCAAAUCGGAGUUACGGUUCAACAACUACGAGCAAAACAAGAAAUCUUCACAAUCUGUCAAAAUCAGCCACACGGCAUUUUAUACGCCUCACAACUUCGGCUACACAACUCCGAUAAGCUCAAGAAAGGCAUGGCACGGAAGAGGGCAAGAAGCACUACUACGAACAGCUAACAACAACUAGCAUGGCAGCAAGGAGCACUAGGAAAAGAAUACACAAAAUGGCAUCUCACACACUAUUUCAGACUUGGUGAAAAUUACACCUCAUGAAAGUGCAGUUUUCGAUCUGAAGCAAUGUUGACAGCAGCAAAACCUAUAGCUACAGGACGCCAAAUGGCAUGAAAAUUAACAGCAUGCUAUAGAAUCACAAGGGGUACAACUAACUCCAUUGGACCAAUCUCAAACGAGCUACAGAUCACAAGAUGCAAGCAAGACAAGACAGCAACAAAAUAUAACAAAUUCCAGACUUAGAAAUAUUUCAGCACGUCUAAAACAGCACUAUUUCUAGCAACUUGAGGGCUAUCGAAACACACCUAAACAUGCAUUUCUAUUGCAACCAAAAAUACCAGGGGCUAAACAAAACAUCCAAGAUCAACUCUCUAGUUGACAACUCCGUCAAACGACGUAUGGAAUAAAUCCUACGAAUUAAUCAAAAGGGCAACAUAGCAAAAUAUCUUGCGAACUAACUUGCUCUAAUGCUAAAACUAAUUGCACAGAAAAAUCCAUGGGAUUUUGCUACCCCGAAAACAUAUAAAAUAUGUGGGGUUUUCAACACAAAAUAAUGCCACACAUUAAUGCGAGAAAAUAACCUAUAUACGGGAAAAUAAACUACCGGCAAUCCAUACACGCAAAAAUACAAAUGACAGGUCUAAAAAACAUGAUAAAAUGGUCCCUAAAACAUAGACAUUUUAUCUACGGCAUACGGGCAACCCGGUCUUGCACGAAAAAUAAAUACGGGUCGAAACUUAUUAGGACAGCACACUUAUCUAGGCAAACAGCACGCUAAACAACGUCAAACAAAUGUGCAAGUUUUAAAUUCGGAUUCUACGCGAAAAGUUACACGAGAUACAUAUCUAAAUCUUCGUAAUCCGACUUACGGAUAAUAUUCUGCGGGCAUUCUAAUAUAGUCUGAUUACUGGAAUUAAUUAAAUUCCUAAAAUUCCUAAAUGGGCCGAACAGGUGGGCGCGAGGUAACAGGUCAGUGCAUGGGCGUAGAAUAGUGGCUUGGGGGGUGCUCACCUCGGGCCUUGACCCGGCUGGAGGAGGCGGCUCGAGGAGCAGGCCGAGGGGCGCGCUGGGCCUGGCUCGGGCGCUGGCCAGGCGCUAGCUGGGCCGCGGCGCUCCUGGGCCUGGGGCGACACAGCUGGACGAAGGGGGCCUGGGGCGCGGGGAAGAGUGACUGGGCCUCGGGGGCGCUCUGGGCCGAGUCUCACCUUGAUCAGAGAAAGUUUUAAACGCGCUUUUAAAACAGGGUUUCGACGGUGCCGCGGGCGCGUGCGAGUGCGGUCGGGCUCAGAACGAACAACGACGCGAACCGGCAACUAACAACGGAUGCAAGUUUUGAAAACUGGCGGCAACGGAGAUGCCGAUGCGAUGCGCAUGAUGCGAUGAUGAUGCGACAAAUAACAUAAAUCACACGACGAAAACGGAAAGGAAAGGGAAUCUUCUAGAACGUCGGCAUCGGGCUGUCACAAGGUCCGUGUUUGUCUUUCGCGUGAGGUUUACCAAUUCUAGCGGAGUCCUCACAGAAUUUGAUAACAUGCCCAUCUAUGUCUUCGGCUAAGAGAUCUUUGAUAAUAGCAACACUAGGUAUCACAGUUGGUCCAAGUGGUCUAAUGUAACCCCUACGUAUCACAGUUGGAGCUUUAGAAUAAUCCUUUAUCCUAGCAGGGUAUGGUGGUUUCUCAGUGUAAGCACAAGGAACAACAGGAUCACUAAAAGCAAUGACUUUCUCCUCAACUAGAUUGGUUUUGGCUAUGUUGCUUUCUACAGGAGGAUGAUAUUUAAACCACUUCUCUUUGGGAAGAUCAACAUGAGCAGCAAAAGAUUCACAAAGAGAAGCUACUAUCUCAGAGUCAAGUCCAUACUUAGCGCUAAAAUCUCUAGAAGUGUUUGUCUCAACAAAAGAUUUAACGCAAUCAAACUGGAAAUUCAUACCUAACUCCUUACCUUCCUCCGGCUCCCAAUCUUCAGAGUUGCGUUUGAUUCUCUCCAAUAAAUUCCACUUGUGAUCAAUAUCCUUCUUCAUAAAAGAACCGGCACAAGAAGUGUCAAGCAUGGUACGAUCUUCAUGACAAAGCCGAGCAUAAAAGUUUUGAGUGAUGAUUUGCCUCGAGAGCUCAUGAUUGGGGCAUGAAUAUAGCAUUGAUUUAAGCCUCCCUCAAGCUUGAGCUAUGCUUUCCCUGUCAUGAGGCCAAAAGUUACAAAUAAAGUUCUGAUCACGAUGUACUAAAUGCAUAGGAUAGAACUUUUGAUGAAAUUCCAAUUUCAACCGAUUGUAGUCCCAUGAUCCAGUAUCAUCACAUAGCCUAUACCAUGUCAACGCCUUAUCCUUCAAAGAUAAAGGAAAGACUUUCUUCUUUACCUCAUCCUCGGGCAAACCUGCAAGCUUAAAUAAACCACAAACUUAAUCUACAUAGAUUAGAUGCAAGUGUGGAUGUGAAGAUCCAUCUCGUGUAAAAGGAUUAGCCAGCAGUUUCUAAAGCAUACCCGAAGGAAUUUCAUAAAAGAUAUUUUCAGUAGGUACCUCAGGUUGAGGAGCAACUCCUCGUGCUUCCGUUCAUGGUGAAGAUACCCCGAACAAACUCCUCAAAGGAACAAUUUCCAUAGUGACAAGUGACAAUAAAUUUCAGCAAAGUAUAAAAAUGUUUCCUUACCAAUUUCCACUUACCAAAGGCACUUCACUCCCCGGCAACGGCGCCAGAAAAGAGUCUUGAUGACCCACAAGUAUAGGGGAUCAAUCAUAGUCCUUUCGAUAAGUAAGAGUGUCGAACCCAACGAGGAGAAGAAGGCUCUGAUAAACGGAUUUCAGCAAGGUAAUAACUGCAAGCACUGAAAGUAGCGGUAACAAGUGAUUGUGUAGCGAGGUGAAACGUAGCAAGAAAAAAGUAACAAGUAACAAGUAGUAGCAACGGUGCAGCAAGUGGCCCAAUCCCUUUUGCAGCAAGGGACAAGCCUGAACAAAGUCUUAUAGGAGGAAAAACGCUCCCGAGGACACACGGGAAUUUCUAUCAUGCUAGUUUCAUCAUGUUCAUAUGAUUCGCAUUCGUUACUUUGAUAGUUUGAUAUGUAGGUGGACCGGCGCUUGGGUACUGCCCUUACUUGGACAAGCAUCCCACUUAUGAUUAACCUCUCUCGCAAGCAUCCGCAACUACAAAAGAAGAAUUAAGACAAAGUCUAACCAUAACAUUAAACUAGUGGAUCCACAUCAGUCCCUCACGAAGCAACGCAUAGACCGGGGUUUAAGCUUCUGUCCCUCCAGCAACCCCUCAUCUACAUACUACUUCCCAAUGCCUUCCUCUAGGCCCAAAUAUGGUGAAGUUUUAUGUAGUUGACGUUCACAUAACACCACUAGAGGAAAAGACAACAUACAACAUAUCAAAAUACCGAACGAAUAUCAAAUUCACAUGACUAUUAUUAACAUGACUUAUCCCAUGUCCUCAGGAACAAAAGUAACUACUCAAAAAACAUAAUCAUAAUCAUGAUCAAAGGUGUAAUGAAUAGCAUCAAGGAUCUGAACAUAAACUCUUCCACCAAGUAAUCCAACUAGCAUCAACUACAAAGAGUAAUCAACACUACUAGCAACCUUACAAGUACCAAUCGGAGUCAUGAGACGAAGAUUGGUUACAAGAGAUGAACUAGGGAUUCGAGAGGAGAUGGUGCUGAUGAAGAUGUUGAUGAACAUGCCUCCCCUCCGACAAGAGGAGUGUUGGUGAUGACGAUGGCGACGAUUUCCCCCUCCGGGAGGGAAGUUUCCCCGGCAGGAUCGUCCUGCCGGAGCUCUAGAUUGGAUCUGCUCAAGUUCCGCCUCGUGGCGGCGGCGAAACCACGAAAAAGAUCCCCUCUGAUAUUUUUCUGUACCAAGACGCUUCAUAUAGCAAAAGAGGGGGGCUAGUGGGCCGUCAGGGAGCCCACAAGCCCCCACUCCGCCACCAGGGGGUGGAGGUGUCACGGCUUGUGGCACCCUGGCAGCCCCCCUCCGGUAGUUCUUUCGCUCAGUAUUUUUUAUGUAAUCCCAAAAAAACCCACGUAACUUUUCAGGGCAUUUGGAGAUGUGCAGAAUAGUGGACUAGGAUUUGCUCCUUUUCCAGUCCAGAAUUCCAGCUUCCUGAAUUCUCCCUCUUCAAAUAAACCUUGCAAAAUAAGAGAGAAAAGGCAUAAAUAUGGUACCACAAGUAAUAUAACAGCCCAAAAAGCAAUAAAUAUCAACAUCAAAGCAUGACGCAACAUGGACGUAUUAGUGUCCCAGGGAGCCCACAAGCCUAGGAGGCGCGGCCCCCCUAGGCGUGGCUAGGGGACUUGUGGGGUCCCUGGUGCCCCCUGUCCUGAUUCUGAGGCUUCCCGAUCUUCUUCUGUUUCGGAAAAAAUCUUUUUGGAAGUUUCGUUCCGUUUGGACUCCGUUUAAAAUCCUCCUCUGAAAGGGGUCAAAAACAUGGAAAAAACAGGAACUGUCACUUGGCACUGAGUUAAUAAGUUAGUCCAAAAUAAGAUAUAAAAGGUAUACAAAACAUCCAAAGUUUGACAAGAUAAUAGCAUGAAACCAUCAAAAGUUAUAGAUACGUUGGAGACGUAUCAGGUUCCCCCUCAUGUGUUCUUCUAGGGUUCAUGCUGGGCUAGAUCCCCUUCAUGUGUUCUUCUAGGGUUCAUGGGGCUAGGGUUAGGGUUCAUGCUGCAGCACGAUAUGUCAGUUGUACUCGGGUUAGGGUUAGGGUUCAUGGGGUAAAUAUGUCAGUUGAAUAUAGAAUGACAUAGUUGUUUUGAUCUGCGUAGAGAAGCAAGUCGCAUUAGGCCGUGUGAUGGGUGGCGGUGGCUGGGUAGAUGCGGAUGCUAGAGCUACCAUUGUAAUGAGCUAAGUUGUAUGCUUCUUCUUUUGGUGAUGGUAUUUCCCUGCAAGGCCAGAUACCCAUCUAUUUAUUACAACUGUUAUGGUGUCUUCAAAGUUAAUACUACUAAGAGCUAGAGCUUGUGUUUUUCUUUGGAAACAGUCAGUGGUGAUGCUGAUGCUAGGUGUAGGUGAGCUAUUCAGACUUCAUUGUUGGUGUUUGGCUUGGCUUGGCUUGACUUGACUUGAGUAGUAGUGAUUCUAGGUGUAGGUGAGCUAUUCAGACUUCAUUGCUGGUGUUUGGCUUGGCUUGGCUUUAGUUGACUUGAGUAGUAGUGAUGAGUCUGGAUAUAGGUGGCUUGUUUUAAUUUUUUCUGAACAUAAUUUGUUGUUCAUUUGAAAUAACAUGGCAUAAUAUAUUCUGUAUGCUGUUUCGAUGAUGGGAAGAACAUUUAUCUUGCUGAAGCAUGCGAUUAAUUCUGCUGUGCUUUUUUUUCCUUCCAAAAAGAGGAUUAUCACGGGCCUCUGCAUCAAGCGAUGAACACUGUCAUAUAGUUGUGUUGUGCUGCAUGAAUGAAUGCGGAAUGAUUCGGUGGCAGUGAAAAUCAUGAUUGUAUAGACAACAUUUGGCUAGAGUCUUAACACAUAAAUUUUGAGUAGAAUCCUAUUAAUUUCUUGUUAGUGUGUCUUACUUGAGCGGUGCUUUAAGUGAAUGAUGUUGGGCAACCAGUUAAUGCAUAUGUUUGCCACCAUUAGGGAAUACAGUUGAGUAAUUACUUUGCUUAUAGAUGAUUGCAGGUACAUGGAUAAAAUUUCAAGUUAAAACAUAAAAGCAAUUGUUGUAAAUAGUUAAUGCAUUGCUUCACAUAUAUAGUUUUCUUCAACUAUCGGUUUAGUACAUUACUACCUCUUGUUUCACAUGUAUUAAUACUAAUACAUUGCUACACUUGUAUGUGCAUGCUGGUCCAAGUGCUUCAAUUUAGUUGCUUGCUUCAACUAUCAGUUUAGUACUGAUGCAUUAACUGUAUGUGCAUUGCUACACGUGUAUGUGCAUGUUGGUCCAAGUGUUUUACAUGUAUUAGUACUGAUGCAUUAACUACAUCACCAUAUUGUUGAUCCAACAAGUUUGCUUCACAUGUAUUACAUGUAUAUGCAUGCUCGUCUAAAUGAUUUCCUUUAUUGAUAUAAGUGCAUCAUUUUACUUUAUCCCUGUUGUAUCUGAUUGUUGUUUAUUCUAUUUUGCAAGCACCACCUCAAGAUCAUCCAUGGCAAGGAUGACAAGGUCAAACCCGAGGCAACCCAUUGGUGUGCAAGUUGCUCCUUGUGGUUAUACUGUCAGAUUUAUAAAAUGUGUCUUAAUAUGCUAAGUGAAAUGUAAUAUGCUAAGUAAAAUAUCUUGGAGGGUGGUGAUGUAAAAUAUUGUCAGAUUUUAUUAUGCAAAUGUAUUGCUGUAAUCUGAAUUAGCUGGCUUAGCUGUGUGUGUGUGUUGGUACUCUUCCUUAGCUGAAUAAGUAUUAAAUGAUAAUAAAAUAUCAUAAGAUAUGUUUGGCUGUCUAUCUAUGCAUUCCAACAAUUAACCUAAUAAUUAUGUUUCCUUUGCCUUGCAAAGAUGAGCAUCCUCUCACCGAGUACGAGAAGGUUAGGGCUAGAAAUAUGAUGAGGAACAAUCGGAUAUUCGAGUUCCUUGGCAUUGGUGCAAUAGCGUCAAUGAUUAGGAAAACAAAUGAUGUACAAGAAGGUAGAACUAAUGAGGUUCAAGAAGGUAGUGGAGUUAUCAAUGAUGACCUAGAGUACAAUCCUGAGGAUGAAGUUGUAGUGCACAAGAAUGUUAAGGUGCAAACUCUCUCUUGCUUGGAGGGUUCGGGUUCUUGUAUGCUCUCUGUUUCCUUGUCCUCACAUAUUUAUCUUGUGAUCUAUUGUUUAUUCUGUGUUAUUUAUAUAAGGCACCGAAGGAAUCUAGAACAAAGAGGCCUGGUGUUAAGAAGACAGCCAGCAAGAAGAGGAAGAGCUGAGAAGCAUCUGCUGCAAUGCAUCCAGGAAGGGUGAUGGCCCCACCUCCAGGACAAACAAAGAGGAUCCUGGAACCUGAUGAACCUGAUAGAGUCACAAGGCAGAAAGCAACUAUGGCGGCUGUGACGGACCAUCAGGAAAGUCCGCUGGGCAUGGACUUUGAGAGCUCGGUGGAAAUGUCUGAUGAGUUUUCGCCCAUGGAUGAAGAAACCACUCUCUGCAUGGAUGAAAGCGGCACUGCCUGCCUACGCCUCAGGCGUGGUGCACCUUCUAUUGACAGGAAUGAUGUCGUCAGUGAAGAAGAACAGCAACUUGUGCUUCAACCAGGCAAGUUCACCUUCUCUUUUACUAGUGCAUUUUGCAAAUGGAAGUGAUCAUGUAUUCUUACCUGUUUAGCAGACCCAUUCCUGCAUUUGUCGAUUUCUCUUCUAAUUUACGAGUUCAAUUUCAUUUUCAGAUGCAAUGACUAACAAGCAUAGACUUAGAAAGGGCAAAGGGCUAGAGAGAAUUACCAAGUCGCUUGGCACAAAGGUGCCUAUCCAAAUUGCCCAAGGGAUGAAGCGUCCAGAGAAGCCUCUACAGGCAGCAAAGUUUGCUUCUGAGUGUGGACUCGUUGCAAGAAGCCAUCUGCCGGUUCUUCCUCACUUCAAGGAAUACAAAAAUAAUGCUACUCUAGUGGAGGACUACAUUGGGAAAGUUGAUGUAAGCUACUUGUUUUAUAGUUAAUGUGCUACUCUAUUUUCUGUUUUGUAGUUAAUGAUCACUAAUGUUGUUCCUUCCUUGUUUGUUGUCUUGGUAGGCAAAUUUUGAGAUGAACACACACUCGGAGACCAUCAAGUACGCGCGCAAGGAUGUUCUGCAGAAAAGUUCAAAGAAUCGACGCCAUAAGAUCAAGAAGUAGUAUUUUGAUACCGUAGCAGCAAACAAAGUGAGCACCAAGUCUCCGGUGUCAGAUCUGACGGACGGUGAAUGGCAAGCUCUGGUGCAGAUGUGGUCUACCCCAAGACACAAGGUUUGUAUAUGCUCUGUUUGCUGAUUUAUGUUCUGCACAUCAGGAUGGGAAUGGGCCAUGGUCCCCUUCUUCCUCUUCCAUGUUUCUGAUCAGAGUAGGAACAAUAGAGAGCAUCAACUUUCAAAAUCAACACCAUAUGUAAUACACUGACUCUUAUAUAGUACUAGUUGUUCAUGUACUUGUGCUAGUGCAGGAUAACUGAAAUAUUUCCAAAUCGAAUAUGCUCAGACUCGUAUUGUCCUACUAUACUACUGCCUAUUCGACUUUCUUUCAACUUGGCAAAUAACAUUGUGCUUUUUUGUAGGAAACCUGUGUGUCGAACAAGAUUAAUCGAGAAAAGGUCGUGUACCAACAGAGAAUUGGUUCCAGGCACUACACAGAACACAUUUUUGCCACUGUGAGUACCUUUUUCUAAAGACCUUACCAUUUGAUCCUCGUUGAAUAUCAUUUCUUAUUCUUGCUGAAUAACAUUUUGAUUUUUGUUAAAAAACAUUUCAGAAAGAAGAGCAUAAGGGUGAGGAGUUGUCUGCGAUUGACUUGUUCAAGGCCACCCACAACAGCAAGAAGCACGGGUUUUCGGAGCCAGGCAAGAUUGCUAUAGUAAGUCACUCCAUGCUUUUGUCCAGCUAGUUCAAAGUUUUGUCUAUAGACCUCAGCCCUGUUUGAUUCACAACCAGCAAGAACACACCCUAGAUUUGAUGUUGUUUGCUAGAGCCAAUGAUAGGUUUGGUAUCUCAACAAAGAUAUCAGAAUUUGUUGUACAGUUCUCAACAAAGAUAUCAGAACUUGCUGUAGCUAUUUGUUGCAUUUUUAUGAUAUGAUGAAAAUUGAUCUGAAUGUUAGUUCUCAACAAAGAAGCCAUAUUAUAUAGAACCACCAUAUUGUUCCGAUUGCAUGUCUCUAGAUCACAUAAGUGUGUACACUUGUUGUAGCCAGAUUCAAAUAAUGCUUUAAGUUUAGUAGCUAUCAUCUACUUCUGUUUGAGUUUGAGUAAAAUAUCUACAUAUAGAUUUUGUGUGCUGGUUUGAUUACUUCAAAUAAUCCAUUUCUUGGUCUGGUUUGGUGGCAUUCUUGUUUGGUUUCUCUUGCAGAAUGUGAAAUAGAUAUGCCACUAAUGUCUAUCAUUUUCCUCCAUAUGCUAGCUUAUGUGUACACUUGUUGUAGCCAGAUUCAAAUAAUGCUUUAAGUUUAGUAGUUAUCAUCUACUUCUGUUUGAGUUUGAGUAAAAUAUCUACAUAUAGAUUUUGUGUGCUGGUUUGAUUACUUCAAAUAAUCCAUUUCUUGGUCUGGUUUGGUGGCAUUCUUGUUUGGUUUCUCUUGCAGAAUGUGACAUAGAUCUGCCACUAAUGUCUAUCAUUUUCCUCCAUAUGCUUGCUUGAGAUGGAAAAAAUGAAGGGCGCGCCGGUGUUACUGCAACAAAAGACCUUCCAACGGCGCCAGAAAUAGGUGUGUCAAUGGCACCAGGAAUCCUUCUGCUACGGCUACGCCUUAAGGGACUUCCUAGGCAAAUAUGCAAAGGAUUUCCCCCGUGGCCUUGGAGCCUUGCGUUGGUGUUCCCUCGAAGUGGAAAGGGUGAUGUAGCGCAGCGGUGGUAAGUAUUUCCCUCAGUUUGAGAACCAAGGUAUCGAACCAGUGAAGGAGUAUCACAAGAGCUUGCACAAACACAAAAAGCUUGCUCCCAACGCUAUAAAGGGGUUGUCAAUCCCUUAUAGAUUGUUCGCCAAGUGAGAAGUGAAAGCAACAAAGUAACAAAGCAAAGUAAAAGCGUAAGUGGAAACGAUAGGUGUGAAUAGACCCGGGGGCCGUAGUGUUUACUAGUGGCUUCUCUCAUGAAAGCAAAUAGACGGUGGGUGAACAAAUUACUGUCGAGCAACUGAUAGAACCGCGCAAAGUCGUGACAUCAUCUAUGGCAAUGAUUAUAUCUAUAGGCAUCAUGUCCAAAACAAGUAGACCGAUACUUUCUGCAUCUACUACUAUUACUCCACACGUCGACCGCUAUCCAGCAUGCAUCUAGUGUAUUAAGUCCAAAAGAACAGAGUAACGCCUUAAGAAAGAUGACAUGAUGUAGAUGGACAAUCUCAUAUCUACGAUAGAGCCCACCUUGUUACCCUUGAUGGAAACUACACGAUGUGUGCCUUGCUGCCCCUACUGUCACUGGGAAAGGUCACCACACGGUAAGAACCCAAAACCAAGCACUUCUCCCAUUGCAAGAAUCAUAGAUCUAGUUGGCCAAACAAAAGCCAAGACUCGGAGAGACUUACAAGGAUAUCAAAUCAUGCAUAUAAGAAAUCAGCAAAGACUCAAAUAUAUAUCAUAGAUAAUCUGAUCACAAAUCCACAAUUCAUCGGAUCUGGACAAACACACCGCCAAAGAAGAUUACAUCGGAUAGAUCUUCAUGAAGAUCAUGGAGAACUUUGUAUUGAAGAUCCAAGAGAGAGAAGAAGCCAUCUAGCUACUAACUACGGACCCGUAGGUCUGAAGUGAACUACUCACGAGUCAUUGGAGGGGCGAUGAUGAUGAUGAAGAAGCCGUUCAACUCCAAAGUCCCCUCCGGCAGGGCACCGGGAAGGGUCUCCAGAUGAGAUAUCGCGGAAACGGAAGCUUGCGGUGGCGGAAAAGUAUUUUCGUGGAUCCCUUGAUUUUUUGCUGUAUUUUAGGGAAUAUAUAGGCGAAAGAUCUAGGUGAGGGGGGCGCCAGGGAGGCCACAAGCCUGCCCACCGCCGCCCCCUGGUGGCGGAGUGGGGGCUUGUGGGCUCCCUGUAGCCCUCCUGGCUUGGCCCACAAGCCCCCUGAUCUUCUUCCGUUUGGGAAAAAAUCAUUUCGGGGAUUUUAUUCUGUUUGGACUCCGUUCCAAAAUCAGAUCUGAAAAGAGCCAAAAACACAGAAAAAACAGGAACUGGCACUUGGCACUGAAUUAAUAAGUUAGUCCCAAAAAAGAUAUAAAAGGUACAUAAAACAUCCAAAGAUGACAAGAUAACAGCAUGAAACCAUAAAAAAUUAUAGAUACGGUUGAGACGUAUCAGCCGGUACCAGAAGGUGAAGAACCAAAGUCUGAUGCUGAGAUUGUUGAAGAAGUGCUCAAGACCGAAGUCAAGCAAAGCACAUUCCUCAGGAAUGUUGGGCUCAAGUCAUCUAGUAACAACUUUGGCAAAGGAACUGCUGUUGUGGCUGCUCAUGUUCGUGAUCUUGAGCAGAAACUGGAGAGGUCGGAGCUUCAAGCUGAAGUGGUGCAAGAAGAAAUGGCAGCAAUCAAACUAAAGGCGGAAGAAUUUGAAGCUGCACGCGACAAGGAACUUGAGCUGCUGUGCAAGAAGUCUCAAGAACAGGAACAGAAGUUAGCCCACUUGAUGGCUCUCUUCUACGCUAAAGCAUCGUAGAAGUUGAACAUGUCGUAGAACUUGUCCUAGAAACAGUGAAGUGGGCUAACUUCUCAAGAACCUCAUGAAGUUAGCCCACUUGAUUGGUCAUUCUGGUGAUGAAACAGUGAAGUGCUCUAUUUGAACCUGUGAAGUAUUUUGAACCUGUGAACCUGAUGAAGUAUUUUGUGAAACAGUGUCUUGCUCUAUUUGAACCUGAUGAAGUAUUUUGUGAACCUGAUGAAGUUGUCAAUUAUUUGAGUUUUGUUUGGACCAUUUGGUUUGGUCACUAAAGUUAGUUUGGACUGCAAAAAGGCUGAGGCCCAAACAAGAAAUAGACUAAAAAGGCUUGCGCCUAAAAAAAGAGUAGGCCAAGGCCCAAAUCAGAAUUUGUCUAAAAAGCUUGGGCCUAAAAAAAGAGUAGGCCAAGGCCCAAACAAGAACUGGACUAAAAAGAGUAGGCCAUGGCCCAAAAGAAAAGUGGCCUAAUAAAAAACAUGCUUAGUAAAAGAUUCUAUCCUAGAAAAUAAAAGGCCAAAUUAUUGGGCCCGGCCCAUGUAGAAGAUCGGAAUGGACCGGGCUGAAUCUAAUUUACGACCUUUUCAUUUGGUCUUAAUUCUGCCACAUCAGCCUGCCACGGUGGAUCUGAAGUGGUGUAGGCGGAUUGCAAGUGACCAAAUCAGUUGGUCGUUAAACCUACGACCUUCUGUUUGGUCGUAAAAUCCUACGACCAAUCUAGGAAAAAUGUCAUUAUAGUUCAUUAGAGACCCUCAGCUUUUGACCGUCUGUUUUUGGUCGUAAAAAGGUCACAAAUGGAAAUCAAUGACCAUUCGGUGACCAAUAUUGAAGGUCGUUAGUUGACAUAUUUCUUGUAGUGCCUCUCCGUCACACGGAGUGACAAAUCCCAGUCUUGAUUCAUACUAACUCAACGGACACCUUCGGAGAUACAUGUAGAGCACCUUUAUAGUCACCCAGUUACGUUGCGACGUUUGAUACACAUAAGGCAUUCCUCCGGUGUCAGUGAGUUAUAUGAUCUCAUUGUCAUAGGAAUAAAUACUUGACACGCAGAAAACAAUAGCAAUAAAAUGACACGUUCACAUGCUACGUUUAUAGUCUGGGUCUAGUCCAUCACAUGAUUCUCCUAAUGAUGUGAUCGAGUUAUCAAGUGAUAACACUUGCAUAUAGUGAGAAAACCUUGACUAUCCUUGAUCAACUCGCUAGCCAACUAGAGGCUUGCUAGGGACAUUGUUUUGUCUAUGUAUCCACACAUGUAUCUAUGUUUUCUUUCAAUACAACUAUAGCAUGGAUAAUAAACGAUUAUCUUGAAACGGGAAAUAUAAUAAUAACUAUUUUAUCAUUGCCUCUAGGGCAUAUUUCCAACACUUACCUUUACGGAAGAGUCAUGGUGAUCUUCACCACUUCGUAUAUUUCGCCUUUAUCUCUUGGCAAGCAUCAUGUGGUGGGGAAAGAUCCAAGCAUAUAUGGCCAUUCAAAUAUAUUUGAUCAUGAAUUAUUAUUGUUGACAAUUAUCCGUAUGAUAAAUAAGUUGGGAGGCGAAACAUUAAGCCCCUAUCUUUCUCUGUGUUCGAUGGAUGCUAUCUGUUCUAAAAAUAUGCUUUGAGUGUUAGCAAUCAUGGAAGACUACAUGAUAGUUGAGUAUGUGGAAUUUGCUAAAUCAAAAGCUUUUACAUAUACCCUUCCUGAAAAUAAGACGAAUUGCAAUUGUUUGGUGACUGAAAGCAUGGUUUAUUAGUUUUCAAAAAAAAUUAUGGUCUUCACUUUAACAUGUGAAUAGAUUAUUACUUUAUCAUGAGAUGUUUUAUGAGAUGAGCUACAGUUUAUGGUUUAUAUUGAUGCUAGAAAAAAGUGUUUGGGAGUAUCAUUGAUCAAACUUGUGCACUAUGCUAGCAUUCACACUUCAUAAAUUAUAUCUUUUAUCAUUUACCUAUUCGAGGACGAGCAUGAAUUAAGCUUGGGAAUGCUCAUACGUCUCCAACGUAUCUAUAAUUUAUGAAGUAUUCGUGCCAUGUUUACAAUAAUUUUAUAUGAUUUUGGUAUGAUUUUAUUAGAACUAACCCGGACUGACGUUGUUUUCAGCAGAUCUACCAUGGUGUCGUUUUUGUGUGGAAAUAGAAGUUCUCGAAAUGGGCUGAAAAGUUACUGAGAAUAUUUUUGUAAAAUAUAAAAUAUACUGGAGCAAAGAGCUGGGCCAGGAAGUGGACCAGGAGGUCACAAGCCUGCCACUCAAGACCACCCCCUAGGACGCGCCUGUGUGGCUUGUGGACUCCUCGAGCACCUCCUUGACAUGAGACUGGCGCCAAAAAUUCCUAUAAAUACCAAAACCCCCAAAAAGAAACCUAGAUCGGGAGUUCCGCCGCCGCAAGCCUCUAGAGCCACAAAAACCAAUCGGGAGCCCGUUCCAGCACCCUGUCGGAGGGGGGAAACCAUCAUCGGAGGCCAUCUUCAUCAUCCGGUGGUCUCCAUGACCAGGAGGGAGUAGUUCACCCUCAUGGCUAAGGGUAAGUACUAGUAGCUAUGUGUUCAAUCUCUCUCUCUCUCUCUCUCUCUCUCUCUCUCUCUCUCGUGUUCUUGAGAUGGCACGAUCUUGAUGUAUCACGAGCUUUAUUAAUAUAGAUUAAUCAUAUGGAGUUUUCUCCUCUCUAUCUUCUUGUGAUGAAUUGAGUUUUCCCUUUGAAGUUUUCUUGUCGGAUUGAGUCUUUAAGGAUUUGAGAAAACUUGAUGUAUGUCUUGUGAUGGGAUAUCUGUGGUGAUAGUGGGAUGUUCUAUUGAUUCACUUGAUAUAUGUUUUGGUGAUCAACUUGUGAAUUCCGUGACCUUGGGAAUCUAUGCAUAGGGGUUGGCACAUGUUUUCGUCUUGACUUUCCGGUAGAAACUUUGGGGCACUCUUUGAAGUUCUUUGUGUUGGAUUGAACAUGAUGAAUCUUAAAUUAUGUGAUGCAUAUCGUAUAAUCAUGCCCAUGGGUACUUGUGGUGACAUUGGAGUAUCUACGUGACAUUAGGGUUUUGGUUGAUGUGUAUCUUAAGGUGUUAUUUUAGCACGAACUCUAGGGAUGUUCGUGACACUUAUAGGGAUAGCUCAUAAGGUUGAUUAGAAAAGAUAACUUUGAGGUGGUUUCGUACCCUACAAUGAUUUCUUCGUUUUUUCUCCGCUAUUUGUGACUUUGGAGUGAACUCUUUGUCGCACGUGGGGGAUUUAUAUGUUAGUAUUGUUGAGAGAACUUGCACUAGUGAAAGUAUGGACCAUAGGCCUUGUUUCCAAGCAUUUAUACAACGUUUUGCUUUGAUGUUUACUAUUUGUUACCUUGCUGUUUUAUAUUUUCAGAUUACGAAAACUUAUAUCUACCAUCCUUAUUACACUUGUAUCACCAUCUCUUCGCCGAACUAGUGCACCUAUACAAUUUACCAUUGUAUUGGGUGUGUUGGGGACACAAGAGACUCUUUGUUAUUUGAUCGCAGGGUUGCUUGAGAGAGACCAUCUUCAUCCUACGCCUCCCACGGAUUGAUAAACCUUAGGUCAUCCACUUGAGGGAAAUUUACUACUGUCCUACAAAACUAUGCGCUUGGAGGCCCAACACGAGCCUACAAGAAGAAGGUUGUGUAGUAGACAUCAGCCAGCCAUGAGUCCUAAAGAUCACACAAUGAGUUCUCACUGAAUGCACCAAUGUCGGUGUCAAAACCGGCAGAUCUCGGGUAGGGAGGGUCGAGUUGUGAGAUCGGAUCGACGGUAACACGAGGCAACGAACACGAGCUUUUUACCCAGGUUGGGGCCCUAACGAUGGAGGUAAAACCCUACGUCAUGCUCUUGUUGUAUUGAUGAUGUAGCGAUUAUAGAGUUGAUCUACCUCAAGAUUGUGAGUUUGUGGGCUAAACCCUAGGAGUUAUGAUGUUGUGUAUAUGAUUGUCCUCUACGGGCAAACCCCCACAGUUUAUAUAGGUACUUGGGGUACUAGGGUUACAUGACUGUCGAUUAUCGUCUAUGGGUUACAUGUCAAACGGGUCAUCCUUUCCCUGGAGUGCACGAUAACUCUUUGGUAGAAUCCGUGAUAUUCUCACAAUCCUUUAUUGGGCCUCCGAAGUCCUUCCUCCAAGGUGGGCCUCUUGCUCAGCACAUGGACUAGUCCACCUCGGAUGGGACCACUUGGUCGAGGACUCCCGCUCCCAGCUACCAAGAAUGGCUUUUUUGUAUAGGAAGAAUGGGUCCUCCAAAAUGAAUGUGGAUGUUGGUAUUUCCAGGCCAGGCUUAUAUGUUACUGAUGUUGCAGUCUGUAGGGAUGAUCAAGGAUUAUAUUGGACACUUUAGCUCUUGUCUUAUCGGAGAUUAGUGAUCCUGUAGGCUUGGAAUCUAUUGCUUCUCCCGAAGGCAUUGCAUUGGCUAUAGACUUGAAUCUCCACAGGGCGCAUAUUGUGAUGGAUUGUCUAAACGCGGUCAAUCACAUCGCCACUUUACAAGAUGGUAAAUAUGAUGUGGUUUUCAGUGAUAUUAGUGCUUCUAGGUCUUCUUUCACCUUAUGUAAUUUCUUCCAUGAGAGAAGAGGCUCAAAUUAUGAAGCCCGUAGUCUAGCUAGGUUGGGAGACACACAUGGCUUGGUCUGCCCCAUGACACUCUUUGUAUUCCAAUAAUUAUUAAUGAAUAAACCUAGUGGAUUGUGCUAAAAAAGGAAAAUUGUUCAAGCAGCUCAAAAUAGUGUCAGUAUACUUUUUAUACAAAUUUCAUGACACUUACCAACAAUUUUCACUAAUUUAUAAAAAUAUCCGUGAUAUUUAAAAAAUGGUUGUACCAUCCAGCAAAAACUCGUUUCAAAAAAUUUCAUGAAAUAUAAAAAUGUGCUCACUCAAUUUUUAAAACAUGUUCGUGACUUAUAGAAGUGCUUAUAACCAUUUAAAAAUGAUUUUAGCAUUUGUAAAAAUGUUCAUGAAAAUGUAAAAUAUAGUUCGUGUAAAUUUUGGAGAAUUUUCACGGCAUACAACAACAUGUUCAUGAAAAAUGUGAAAAUUUGUUCAGACACUUUUUUUAAAUGUUUAUGCCAUAUAAAGAUGCUCACUCUUUUAUUUUACAAAUAACAUGAAAAACAAAAAUGGAAAAAUAAGGAAGAAAUUCAACUGAACAAAGAAAUAUAAAAUAUAAUAAUCGCUAGAGAAUAAAGAAAGAAAAGAAAAGAAAAAGAUGCAAGCUUCCAGAAACCGCAUAAAAGGUUCGCAAAACCUGUCACUACCGUACAUAGAAGCUUCUCAAAAUGGCACAUGGAAGGUUCUCAAAACCGAAGUUGGGUUGGCGCACUUGAAUCAGCAACGUAGGCGAAUGCUCAUUUCAUCUCAGAGUAAGCCAGAUUCAACAUUUGCGUGCUAUCCCUUGUAUCAACCUCUUAUUUGAUUUUCUGCUCCAACACAUGCCACUCCUAUCUCUUCCCACAUCAUCAGAUUUGUGAAAGAUUCAUUGUUAAAUUUUUUUCAACAAAAUUGUAUUAUCUCAUCGUACAAACUUUCCCGAUCCCAGGUAGAGGUCAAUUGCGUUCUAGAACAAAGUAAUGGUGCUCACUCAUGAGUGAAUCUACCAUCGAUGCGACACCUUAUGUUAGACAUUUGUAUACGAUGACUUUGUAUUAAAAAUGGCAUCUUAGAUACCUUAGUUUGUGCUUUGCUGGGCAUUCUAGAGGUUUUUGGAUCCACCACAGGUGCUUAGACAAGGUGCUAAGUGCAUCGAAGGACUUAUGAACUAAAUUCCCCUAUGCAUGUAUAUAUGCUUAGCUUUUUCUAGCUAAGAUUUCUCCAUUUUAUUGUUUAGCAACAAAAAUUCCGCAUGCAUACGUGUUUUGCAUAGAUUCACUCGUUUGACAUUGUUGUUUCUUCCUUGGGUCUUCAUGCUUUCUCUUCUUCUUAAUUGCUUUGCUACGUCAACUUUUUGCCGAUGUGGCAUUCUUAGCACCGUGGAGGGUUGAAAAGGCCCUAAAGCACAUAAGGACAAGAACUAGCUAACUGCCAAAAGUUUCGGUUUUGAGGGAUUCAUUACCAACACUUAAGUAAUAUACCAUGUGAACUGCGGUCGCAGAUGGUUUAAUACAAACAUGUUCACGUGCACGUAUCUCACAACCAUCAUCUUUAUCAUACACACAUGAUUAUAACCAAAUUUCUCUUGGGAUGGAUGACAGUCAUAAGGUCGCCUUUUUGCCAUUGCCGCCUGUGAUUAAAGACACUUUGUUGUCAUUGCCAAAGUCGGCUCCUUGGCAAGGCAAGAAGGACAAGGUCCAAUAUUUGUCCAUAAGCUAUUUUAAAAAGUAUCAUGUUUAAGGAGUGAUUUUUUUUUUAGAAAAGGAGGAUGACCCCCGGUCUCUGCAUCUGGGAGAUGCAUGCGACCAUUUUAUUGAUUAUUUCCGAGGACCUUACAAAGUAGUACAACAAUAUGUCUGAAUCCGCCAUCUUGGCAACAUUUGCCGCUACUCCUAUCCAUAUGAUGAAGGGGUGCAAGCUGAGCCAAAUACCCAGACCUCUCACCUAAGCCUAACAUCUAAAGCCGGAGGCCCCGACCGAGCCACAUACCGGGUCAGGGGCACAAACCGGUCUGACACACUCACAUGUGUCGCCGUCACCAUCUUCCACUGGUUCAUCUUCAGAGCAGAUUGAGGUACCAGCCUUGGCAGGUGCCUCCGCCAUCGACGCCACCAUGACGCCAAACGACGACCUCCACCAACGCGAGUCCAUCUCCAAGCAGCGGACAUAGAUCCAUGCUAGGAUAGGGUCGCACCACCGCCGUCGCCCACCACCCACAAGCACCAGCCAGCCCAAGGUUCCCAAAGCGGCGCCUUCAAGAAGGGAACGACGCCGUGAGCGCCGCCGCUGCCCAACAAAGUUAGGGCUUUCGCCCGGGAGACCUAGGGGAAGGGGAAGUGAGGGGAUCAGUCCAUACCGACGCCUCCAAGGAGGGGAACGGCGCCCUCAGGCGUCGCCGUCGACGCAGUCGGCCAUGGCCGGCCAGGGAUUUCGCCCGAACUAGAUCCCCAUCAUCAGCAGUGCCUCCUGUACAGAACCGGCGACCCAAGGAAGCACGGUCCGACCAUGCUAGCCCGCACGCCGAACAUGGGAGGAGGGGAUGCGCCAGAUCGCGCGCACCGACCACCGCAGAAGCUGCCGCCGGCCGGCAACGACCACUGGAUCCCGCCGCCCGCGCGGCUCGAACGCGAGAUCCACCGUCCGCACGACUGCUAGCUUGUCGUGCCUCAUCCAUGGAGCCGCCGCUCCAGAUCCGGAGUUCCCCACACAGAGGCAGGGCAGCCAAGGCCCCGCCGCCACGAUCCUUGGCGCCCCGGGCUUGCCCGACGGCUGCCUCACGCGGCGGCGAGGAAGGGAGGGGGAGGGAGUUGGGCGGCUAGGGUUGGGAGGGGGAGGGAGUUGGGCGGCUAGGGUUGGGAGGGGAAGGGGAUGUUUAAGGAGUGAUAUGCAACUAGAAACUGAUUUUGUCAUUGUCACGUGUGGAUAAUGAUUGUGAGUGGAGUUUAGAAGUGGAGUGAAGUAGAGUUUAGAGGUGGAGUGUACCCCUUCAAACACACUCGUAGUUAACAGCUAGGAGCUUUUGUUUUCGUCCGGCUGGCAUGAACACGUAACAUUUACAACAACCAUCACUUGGACAUACCAUGUGCCACAACCACCAUCUCCUAUAACUAAGAGCCAUCCAAGCCCAGUCUCAAUACUCCCAUCAACCAAAGCCUGUGUUCUGCAAGAUAGCCUGCCAGCCAUGGGAAGCAAGGGCCUCAAGGGUGUGAUGGUGUGUUUACUCAUACUGGGGUUGGUUCUGGAACAUGUGCAAGUAGAAGGCAAGAGUUGCUGCAGGAGCACCCUAGGAAGAAAUUGCUACAACCUUUGCCGCGUCCGUGGUGCUCAGAAGUUAUGCGCAAACGCCUGUAGGUGUAAACUCACAAGUGGCCUAAAAUGCCCUUCAGGCUUCCCGAAAUUGGCCCUUGUGUCAAACUCAGGUAAAGGGAAUGAACUCCUUCUAUUCCAUAUUACUAGUUCUUUCUAAAAUAAGAUGUCAUCAUAUAAAGCGUAUGGCCAGUUCGAGUUUUCUAAGUUUUCCGAAUAAUAUAAUGAACUUUUUUUAAAAAAAAUCCGAUGAUAUUUGUAUGAUCAGUUUUUCAUGAAUAAUGUUUCCAUAAAUAUAAGUUUUCUUAACUUUUUACCAACAAGUAAAUUUUUUUGAAAGGCGGUCUCUUAGGGUCCGGUUCAUCAAAAAAGUUAGAGAAAAGUUGCCUGGUUACCAACAAGUAAUUGUGAAAUGACUAAUAAAAAGCGAAUGAUGGAGACGAUGCCAAUAUCGAAGAUGAUAAUCGUAUUGUAACAGAGGAAUUGUUUGUCUUAGAUGCGAUUAUAUUUACAUGCUAGAUAUUUUAUUUUGACAGAUGAACCAGACACCAUCGACUAUUGCAACUUGGGGUGUAGGGCUUCCAUGUGUGACUACAUGGUCAACG